GGGGGGGGGGGGGGGGGGGGGGGGGGGGGGGGGGGGGGGGGGGGGGGGGGGGGGGGGGGGGGGGGGGGGGGGGGGGGGGGGGGGGGGGGGGGGGGGGGGGGGGGGGGGGGGGGGGGGGGGGGGGGGGGGGGGGGGGGGGGGGGGGGGCGGGGGGGUGGGGGGGGGGGGGGGGGGGGGGGGGUGUUAGUGUCACAUAUUAGUUGAGGGAAUGGAAUAUUGCCUCCUGAUGUCUUUGGCCAUCCUCACCUCAUGAGCUAAUUUUUGGAGUUAAGUUAGACUUGAAUCCAUUUUCAUGACAUGGUAUCAAAGCCAGACAUAUCCCUGCUCUUGGUUUAUCCAUAAUUGGUCCCUCAUGAUAUAUUGUCCACACACCAGAUGUCCAGUCCUUGGUAUACAAGGGGAAAUGAGUUUCUCAUAUUGGUUGAAGGAAUGAAGUAUUGUCUCCUUAUAUGUCUUGGGCAAUCCUCAUCUCAUGAGAUGAUUUUUGAGAUUCAGUUAGACUCAUCACUCAAGGUCCAUUUCCUUAAAGACGAUUCUCAACAAUUGGUGCAGAAGAUAAUGUGACCUAAGGAGAUGGAAAAGCUAUCUUGAUCAACUCUUCAACUCGAAUCAAAAGGAUAACUUUACAGAUCUCCACACAUCUUUACGCGAUAGAAACUUUAACUAUACUCGUAUAAGUAGGCCAGUACAAGUAAAGGAUGUUAUGAGAAAUACGAUGAUUAGAAAAACAUGUAGUCCAGAUGUUAAAGUAGUAUGUCUUACCAAGCUAUUUAAUGUUAUACUAAGAAGUCGUAGGAUGCUUAACAAGUAAAUGAAGAGUAGCUUCAUUCCAAUAUAUUAAGAACAAAGAAGAUAUUUAAAGUUGUGUCAUCCAUCGUGGCAUUAAACUUAUGAGUCAUAUUAUGAAACUUUGGGGAAGAGUGAUGGAGCAUAGACAUUCUUCUAUCAGAAUAAGGCAUAGACAAAUAGAUACUACAACAGCCAGAGAGCCAAUUGAGAUUUAUGCCUAGUAGAUCUGCAAAGAAAGAAAGAUUUGCAUGUUGUGUUCAUUGACCAAGAGAAAGCGCAUGAUAGAGUGCCAAGAAAAUCCCCCUAGUUGAUGUUGGAGGAUAAACAAGUUCAUAUUAAACAUAUAAAUAAAUGUCAUAAAGGACAAAAGGACAUGUAUGAGAGAGCUUCCACUUGUGUAAAACUGUGGUGAGUUUCCCAUGAUCAUGGAUCUACACCAAGGAUAGACUUUGAGACUAUACUUGUUUAAUUGUGCCAUUUAAAGACGUGUAAUCUGAUAGAACUAGUGAAAGUGUCAACCAAAAGUUUGAACUAUGGGGAAGUACUCCAGAGAAUAAUAGGCAUUUGGUUCGAAAUGAUAGAAAAUUUGAUCUCUGAGUAAAAAAAUGUGUUAUUUAUACGACAUUUGGUUUCUGGCAUAAAAUCUAGUAGAACUAAUCUCCAUAUAAUCCAUAAAACGUUUCUCCUGUAAGAAAGAGUACCAAGUGCCAUGAUGUGUACUUAAAUUUUGAAACUAUUCAAUAGGAAAAUCCCUACUUUUGAACCACAUCUUCAUUAAAAUUCUAAAAUACUUCAGCUAUUAAGGUUUAAAGGUCUUAAUACUUGUCCAGUCAAGAUGAAAACCCUUGAAUUCUGAACGAGGGAGUAGUACUUAUAUUUUGCAUUUGAAAGUAAUGACAAGUAUCUUUCUAAUUAAGCAGCAAAGCAGAUUUGUUGUUCCUCCUUAAUAACCCUUCCCUAAACAUUUAUCACAAAUAGUGGCAUAGUUUGACUAACCAUGCAGUUAGCAAAUUUUAACGUUGGCAGUGGUCGCCCAGGCAGAAUAUUUUCAUGCUUCUGAACAGCACUUUAUCAAAAACUGCACAAGGAACGUAUCGCACAGAGAAAAUGGUGGGGUACUGUAUGCAAAAAUAAGAAUGAGAACCAAGACACCACAUCACCUGCCAUAUACCUCCCAGGCAGUAGCACGGAACAAAUAUGAAGAGCCUAAAAGUUGCAGCACAGAUCCAGGGAUGGAACAUGGCUGCCCACAGAACUGGAACGCGUCAGUAUUACUCCUACAUUCAUUCUCCUGGGAAAAGACAACAGAACCUUUUGGUUUCUUCAAAUUCUUAAUCCAUUGAGUACAAAAGGCCCCAUCUGAGAUCAUUAAUGAAGCCUCAUCCCCAUAUUCAUUAAUCAGAUGAGAACUCAACCUCAGUUCCUGCAAGAAUGAAUACAAUCAGGGUAAAGAAAUGGACAACUCAAAAGAAACUUUAGACUUUAAAAGAUAAAGCAAACAUCUUGGAGCGAAUAUAACCUUGCAGACAUUGGUUGGGCAUGUUGCAAGUUUCAUGGAAGCCUUUGGACCAAAUGACAGCAAAGGUCGCUGCACUUGCUGCACAUUAAAUGUCAUAGGUUCAGUAUCCUUAUAAAUCAAAGAUAAAGACAUCAAUCAUAUGAAGAGAGCAAAAAGCCCUCUAAAAAUACAAUGUUCAGCAUCGACUCCCCCUGAUCAGAGGAACUAUGUGUCGUGUUAACAAGAAAAUACGGAGAAAAUAUUCUGGCUCGAUGUUGCAAAUAUUCCUGGUAAAACUGUUAAGCACUUUACAGCUGACCAAAGGAAUCAUAUAAGUAGAACACAGUAAGCGAACUUCUAAAAUUGUAGCAGAUGACAUUUAAGCUCAUAUCUGGUCAGGUCUUCGAAUGGAAAGUGAAGUAGUGACACUUAACCUGCUUCAAAGAGCAACUCAGAUGAUCACUUGAUUCUAAGAAAGCGGGAAUGGAUUAGAAAGAUUAUCUCAAUUAAACACCCUCGCUUUAUUUCUAUAAAAUUGAAAAGGCAGCUUUGAUUUAUGGCAUCACAGGACCUCUCUUUUCAGGUCAAGAUCUGUUCCCUGUAUUAAGCCAGCUCUUACUCAUAUUGUGAAAUUCAAAGUUAUCUCCUGGGAGAAUUCUGUUCAUGGAUGUUGUGUGAAGGCCACUUUCGUGUUUGGAGUGAAGUGCAAGAAUGUGCUGAGAAAUGAACACUCUUGUAAGUAGAGGCAGACCCACGGGAUGGGUUACGGAUGCAUGUGCAACCGUUAACUUCGAAAAAAAAUUAGUAUAUAUGUGUAUAUACCUUGAAGACUAGGAUAUAUUUUAAAAGGACCCCACAAACAUAUCUGCUGGGCUGGGUCAUUUGGUUAGCGUGCAGCUUAGGCCCAAGAGCGCUGCCGCGCGACCCGAGUUUGAACCUUGGCUGGCUGCUACAUCAUUUUUUUUAGCUGACAAUUAAAAGAAAUGCAUAAAACAUGUACGUGACAGGUUUCGAACACAAAACCUAACCUAUGCAAAGUGGUGCCCAAACCACCGGUCCGCAGAACAACCUUCAUCAAAUAAAUUCAUAUUUUUCCUUUGGACACCAGUUCUAUGGAUGUUUAAUAAAAAAUCUAGACUAUGCAGUUGCCUGACAUCGUUUCGACUAACGUGCAUCUGCCUUUAGUGGUGCCCCCGUUGACUUCGAAUCCUAGGUUCGCCUCUGUAAUCGUAAGGACCAAAACAUGAACUUUGGCUCUUUGAAGAAGAUAAUUUCUUAAAAAUUAAGCAUGAGCCAUGCAUAAAGUUCUAUCACUUACAUGCCCUAAAUGUGAAACAUAGACCCUGGCAAUUUGGGGAUACUGGGAUAGCAUACAUUUUCUUUUAGCAAAGUUGACUUUUCCAAAAGAUGAAAUGGAAAAACUGCAAUGACCUUGGAAUAUGCCUACAGUGUAUACAACUCAAUAAAAUACAAUAUAAAUAAUAAUUUAUAUAUGGUUUCAAUUCCCUUAGGUCAUGUGGGAUGUUUUAUAUGCAUGAUGAGGAUACGUAAUUGCAAAAUGGACAGUCAUAUUUUGCCUUUACUUUCAAAAUAGAAGACAUACUUACAGGAGUUAAAGAGAAAAUGAUGAUACCACAAAAAAUUAAUGCCUACAGUUUAUUGUUUCUAAUUAGGUAUCGGUUUGUCAUCAACCUGCUUCUCAACUGUAGAACCCAACAGUUGAUCUGAGAACCCACUACUUGAUUAGAUGACUGCAACGUCAGGUCAGAAACUAUAAGAACUUUUUACUCAUAAAUAUUUAUUUCAAAAAUGGAAAUAAUUGCCUUUCCUGGUAAGGUUAUUAUAUGAAGAAUCCAACUAAAAUAACAAGGGUUAAUUUUAUCCUAAAAAAUCUAGUACUUCUAUAUGCAUUGCUGCAGCACUGAAGCACUCCAAGUCAAAUUUGGUAAGGGACUCUACAGUGUCUAUUUAAAACCUAUAACAGGGGUACUAUAACAUGUUGAGAACUUAGUUUUUGAAGACUCAUAUAGCUCAUUUGCUCUAGGAAAACAGUGGUUACUGCAUUCCUUGAAGUUUUGCUUACAAAAAUAUGCUUUCCUAUACGUUUCUUAGGCGCAUCACAGCACAGGGGCCUUUAUUAAUGACUUCAAGGCUACAACAACUGGACCUAAGAAUGUGGUUGGUGGCUCCCUGGUUGUUUACAAAUGAUUCUUUAAUUGUGAUGCUAAUGUAGGCCAAAGUACUUGAGAGGAGUUUGGUUGUGGUUCCAAUCUAUGUCAGAACAUAGGAUAGGAUCAAUUUAAGGAUGAGUCCAAUUGGAAUAUCACAACCUAAAAAAGUUGAUGUAAGUUUUCUAGAUGUAAAUCAGCAAUCCGUAAUGCAUUUGUGGCUACCUUUAGCUUCCAAUCACAAUUCAUAUCAGCUUGGAAUCCCAUUUUACUGGAGUUUAAGAAACCACUUGGAGGAAGGAAGAAACAUACCUCUUCUAAGGGGUGUAGUUAGUUGGGGAAAACAGCCUAACAGGUACCAACCGGUCUGCUUGCUACAUGUCUCUCUUAGAAAUGCUGUAGCAGGGGCUAAGAAAAUUGAGCAGCUGUAGAGGAAUUAUUCUUUGGAUGGAAAUCAAAGUGAAAAGAUUUCACCUGUUGACAGGGGUCAUAUCACUUUGCCUAUUAAGGAAUGUCUGUUGGGGUCCUUGGGGAUAAGGGAUGUAACAGUUAAAGUUUUGCAUGGAAAUGGUUAUGAAGGGUUGAGUAUGAAGCACUAGGGAUGGUUGUUCUCAGGGAUAAGUAUGGGAGGGGAGAGGCGAAUGGAGCACGCCAGAAUUAUCAAGCCCAUAGGGGAAAGCCCUGCGAAGUGAAUCUUAAGCAACUGGGAAGAAUUUGGGAUUGGGCCUUUCUUGAUUGAUUGUUGGAUUGAGUAGCAUUUCAGAAAACAUAUUUAAUUCGAUGAGAGAACACACACAACAAUUUAGGUUCAGCUUAGUUUAGAGAUUUGAACUUUUCUCAAACAGACACGAAAUGAAUUGUAGUUUUUCAACAACAAAACCACUAAUCCAAAUCUCAGUGGAUAAUGGGCUUGCCUCUCUGCUCUUCUCCACUUAAAUAACAAACUUGGUUCACUAUAUAGGAUUCGAACUUAUGACAUGCACCUACCAUAUAUACCACAUUGUAUUAGCUCUACUCUUGAACCAAAGCCUGGGGCAUAAUGUGUCUAACAAUUUAAGAUAUCUCAUAUAGGAGACAUAAACCGGAUGAUGAAUGUUAAAAGUAACCAUAGUAUGAUUAUUUUUGACAAGGCCAAGUCUGAUUAUAUAAAGUAAGAAAUGCUAAUAUUACUGCUUUAUAAGAACUAUUAAGUUCAUGAACUCAGCCUGGCAUUGGCUAUUCUACACACUCUCCAAAUCUCAAAAGUUCACCAUACCCCCAUUGGAUUAUCCAGUAUCCUAUAGAAAAAUAUCUAUGUUACAAUUUAAUUAUGAGCACCCAAAGGCAACAAAUUCAAUUGAGAAAUUUGUGCUACAUAUUCAACGACACAAAAUGAGUAAUACCAUGCAAUAAAUAAGCGAGAACAGCUACCGCUUCUCUUUCUUACUGCCUUUACAAUUUUUUCACCAAUACAUAACACAACUGUACUCGUGCAAAUGGAUUUUUCCCUUGGAGUAUGCUAUGACUUGAAUCACCUUAGAUUAUCUGGUCACUGUAAUGAAUAAUAAGAGAGUGAUCAAAGCACUUACAGUCAGGUCAAAUUUAGCCAUGGCAAGAUGAUUAGAUGCAACCAGCCGUUUCAGCUUUAGACUUUCUGCUCGCUUUAAGGAUCUUCUCAGGAGAACAUAUAAGAGCUGUUGAGUAGAUAAUGAAGUUCCUAUACUGGUAACUGGUGAAUAGGAUGAACCAAUAAGUCCCCUCAUGUUUGAGACUCCAAAUUCAGACAAUAACUUGCAAAUUGCUGCUAACGUGUAAGCAAGACAACUGUCAUUGUUUUGCUGCACAUGAGGAGAGGAGAAACAUAAGAUCUCCUAGUAAGAAAUGUACAUAAAUUAAAUAAAGAGGCAACUCUACAAAGGAAAGUUAUUAAAGGCACAUCUGGCCGGUUGAUGUCUUGAAACAAAAUGAUACCUGGGAGGACCUAAUAUCCAUAUUUCUUGCUCUAUACAACAACAACAACAACAACCCAGUGAAUAUUUCUUGCUCUAUCCAGGACAAAAAAGUAAAAAUCUUUCUACCAGAGUUUUGAUCAAUACAGUGAAACAACACCACCAACAUACACCAGUGUAAUCCCACAAGUGGCAAAUGUCUUAAGCGUGAAUUGAUCCCUAUGACAAGCCAAAAUCAUUGAGGACAUGGAUACUUCAGCUGAGUCUAUUUGUAUCUAUUCAUCAGGAGGUUUCAUACCUUUAGCAUUUAAACAGUUCAGAAUGAGCAGCUGAUAGUGGAGAGGUUUCCAUUUUCUGAGCAGCUCCUAGGCCACUUACUGUUACUGCAUCUGUCACAAGGGUUCUACUGUAACGGAGACGGAUAUUGUUUUGGAGAUUUGUAAUAUCGGGAUCUUUUCAAAUUUAUCUAUUCAGAGUUUGGACUUUUCGGAAGUCAGCUAAACUUGCUAUGCAAUUUGCUAAAAAUUAUUAAAGCUCCUCUACAGAUAGAGUGUUUUGUUUUGGUUUAGAUGAUUGUUUAGCACAACAGUUGAAGUUUUGAGUCAUUCAUAAAUCGGGAAAAAUGCAACAGCUAAAGUUACUUAUAGAUAUUUAAAAAAAUAAAAAGUGAAAAGUUGUUGUGAAAAGUGUAGAAGAUAGGAUCCAUGUAACUUUUGUUACAAUAUGGGAUGUGAUAGGAAAUUUCUAGGAUACUGAAAUGAUUUGCAGAUUGAUCAAAAGAUGAAAAUACACGCGGUAUCUUUUAUGUAUAGUUUAUGUUGUAUUUUGAUAUUUCUAGUUUGUAAACUAUAACAGCGCUAAUUUUCCCAGGUAUCCAAUCAUGAAUGAAGGUCCAACAGACAUCAAUACAACAGCAGUGCGCGUACAUCAUCAUGUGCAGACACCCCAUGGAAGGAAUUAUUGAAAAAUGAAUCAUUUGCCAACAAGUUGGUGACAAGAAAAGUAUUUGUUCAUAAUCCGAUGACGCAGUUUAACAAAAACGCCUACAGAAAGAAAGCAGAAAAUUCAAUGAUCUCCAAACUAUUAAUCAACGAUCGGAUGAUUGGUGUGAUGAUAUCCUUCUUUAACAUAGCAAAGGUGGUAUCCAUCAAUUAUAUUUUUUAACUCCUUGUUAGGAUAAACUUUUCGAGACAAAUAUUUGUAGACUGCAAUCAAUAGAAUUAAGAUGGGCAAUACAACUAAUUUAGACAAAGAUUAAGAGCUGGCCUCAAUUUAGUUAAUUUUUAGUAAGUUAUGGACUCUUCUUCCACUAAGUCAGGUCAUCAGUCAGCAUCAUGUUUUCUUACAGGAGUAAAUGUUCUGUCCAGCACAUUGUACAACUUGAGAAGAAACAAAACUUGAAACUGGUGACAGAAAACUGUGAAAAUAUGGCAUCAAAGAAGCACUCUUUGUCCAACAGACUAAGUUGUAAGUACUAGAAAGAAGGAAAAGAAGAUGCUAUCAAUGAGCAGCCACAGCUAAAGUAGCAAUAGAUACAUGUAAGAAGCAAAAAGGUUCCCAUAUAAGCGCUAUGCAAAAAGAACCAAUUACAAGAUAGUCAAGAAAUAUCCUAUUGUAGAAAACAAAUGCAUGGAAAUUUAUGCGCACAGAACAAGGGUAUGAACCUGCCCAAAAGUACUCAAUCCAUCCUAAUUUGUAUGAUAUGCAUCUGUUUUUGCAACACCCGAAAUGCUUGAUAAAAUUAUACAAAUAUUAAUAUUCCAAAUACUCUCAGUUCAUUUAUAAUUCUAAUCAUUUAAGAAAUUCAAAAUCAGACAAUGACAAUUUGUCCCAUCACACUAACUUAUCAACUAAAAAUAAUAAUAAUAAUAAUAAUAAUCAACUAAUAAUAAUAAUAAUAUCUUCUACUCCUAUUAAUAUAAUAAUAAGUCAAAUGAUAUUCUUAGAACUCCAUGGUCAUUCAUACUACAUUUAACAAAAUGAGAAAGAAGUAUUAUUCUUGAGGUUUCGAUGAUAAUUGAGUGGCUGAGAAAAGGUAAAGUUAAUAUGGGUCCAUCCCCUAAGAGUUUCUUCCAUUUACAAAGCACCAAUAACUGACUUUAUUUCUCUCCUAAAAUGACAGACAAACAUAGCAAGGCAGAAGAGGAGGUCAACCAACCAAACUGACUUUUUUUUUUUUGCUAAGUACUAGUCUAUCAAUCGCAAAAUGGCGGUACAAGUGAUUAAUAGAGCAAAUUAGUAUCAUUGCAGAGAGCUUCUUUUUUUUUUUUUUUUAUGACAAGGGAAACCCGCAACCGCUACCCUUUGGGUGCACACAGGGUAAAACCCCUGCUCCUAUGCAAUAGCUCGCAAACCACAUAGGAGAGGUAACCCGCACUAGGCAAGCCCGGUGCGACCAGCUCGACCCAGAAAGCAAACCCCUUCCUUUCGCUGGCAAGGGGUUUCGAACUUGAGACCUCCAACAUGAAAGUCUCAAACCCAAACCACUGGGCCACCUCGAAAGGUGCAGAGAGCUUCUUUUUGGUUAUUAAUAACCUAGUUAUAUAUCAUUAACUUAUUUUUUCUGGUAUGAAGACGACAUGAGUUGAACAUAGUCAAUGAGGAUUCAUAUAGCCGACUCCAAUUUGUUUGGGAUGGAGGUGUAGUUGUUAUUGUUAGUUGUAUCAUUGCAGAUGCUUAUGUUGAUUGCCAUUAAGAUCCCGUGAUCUUUUCAUCUAAAAAGUACUCAUAUGACACAUUUGUAUUGAUGCAAGUGUUACAAAGAAUAUGCUAUGCCACUUUAGAGCAUAAAAGAAUGAAAGAUAAAAUAAUGUAACAGAUUAAGGAAGCCCUAGUCGAAAGAAAGGGAAGGAACAAAACAGCUACCUGCUGAGACACACGGACUGCUUCUGUCAACACCUGAAAAUUAUAAAGCAAAUAAUUGUCAUGCCGAAGUAGCAACACCAAAGAUCCUAAGACCACUCCUAUGCCCACCCUCACCUUCAUUACACCAAUAACGGAGGGAUGACGUGCAUCAAACUCAAUAAAGUAGCAUAACAUGGACAAUGAAGGUAGGAAAUGACAUUGAAUAUGCCUACCUCCAAAGCUUGCUUUGGGUGCCCAAAAUGAAAAUGCAUCAUCCCCAAGCACAAUAACGCAAUUUCAUAUCUACCAAAGCUAUUGCAGCCUGUUGAAGAAGAGGAUGCGAAAUCACAUCCUUCUGUCCCUGCACUUUGGUAAAAAUACUUCUCAGAUCUAUUUGCAAGGUGUUAGAAUAUCACAUAAAUACAUUUUCCAAAGCUAAGGUUGGCCCAAAGGGUUAGCUCCUGACAAAUUUCUCGGUCAUCAAAAAAAUCAUCACGUAAAUACGUGUCUAAAUUUAUUGUACUGGAAUAAAAAUAAUCUUAUAGAAUAGUCUAUUGGAUACUGUAGGAUAUACUAUGUUCAAUUGAGGAAUAUUAAUUUACCUUGUUAGCAUGGAGACUGAUUACCUAAUAUAUAGUGUGUAGCCUACGACUCCUACAUAAGGAGCGCCUCUAAUAAAUAUGUUAAAAAUCAAGUUAAUUAGAAGUUUUUCUUCUUUUAGUACAGAAUUAAAGCAUCUAUGGUCUUGGUAAAGACUCAAAGUGUAUUGCCUGCCCGGCCAUCUUUUUUCUUCAUUUUAGUGUUCGGCACUGCUUCGCUCUUCAACAAUCGGUGUCACUACUCUACGAAUGACUAUUCAUUCAUUCAAGCGUUGGUCCUCUCUCCGACAACAAUUGAGGUGCCACUCCUCUCUCUAGAAUCAUUCAGGGCGACCAUUCUGGUGCAAUGAAUCAUCCUGGCAACUGACAAUUCUAUUUACUACGCGAUUAGUGCCCUCCUUUAAACCAUGAUCAUUGUUUUGUGAUUCAAGUUAUGCUGAUGGUGUAUUGAAAAUUUACAGCACCAUAUCUCUGUUUGGUGAUUGAGAAUAGACACCUCUUUAUGAUGGGGGAUUCAAGGCUUACUCUCAAAAUCCUUGUUUGCAUAAUCUUGCAAGCAGUUCCUUUUAUCAUGCACUUACCAACGACUCUCUAGAGAAGAAAUUCUAGCACUUCUUUUUUGUGAUUGUGCACUAUUCUAACGAUAUCUCAGUUAAUUUCUAUUGACUUCAAAUAAGUAAAACUUAAGUUAGUCUUGCCACUAUGAGUUUUAGGGGGUCUGGCAGAUUAUCAAGUCUAGAUUCAUUCAACUUGUAUAACAGAUAUCAUAGAACAUUUUUAUUUGAUUAUAGAAUAUUUACUUACUUUUUUUUUGGGGGGGGGGGUUGAAUUAGACCCCGGGUUUACUUUUUAUCAUGGUAUCAGAGUUCUGGCCCACCCAAGUCUUGGUUCACCCGAUGUUGGACCCGUUCGGUGUCAAGUACAGAAAUGGCCCUCAGAUGGGGAUGGUCUUGAUACUUUGUCCCUGUAAGGAAAGUCUAACGAAAAUGGCCUCCAUAAGUGGUAUUGACUUUUUGGCCCUGCGUAACAAUUUUUUUUUAAAAUAGCUUCCACUUCAAAAAAUUCUAACUCUUGUCAUAAAGCAGACGUUCAAGAUAUUCUGACACAAUGAACCUGCUCAAUAGACCAGAAGUUCUACCUUAUAGGCAAAAGCUAGAACUUUGGUAUAAAGUUUUCCCGUCAUGCAUAAGUUCUAACUUUUGCCCAUAAGGCAAACAUUAAGGAUAUUUCAAGCCAGUAAACCUAUUCAAUUGACCACAAGUUUUGUCUUAUAGGCAAACAUUAGAACUUAUGCCUACAUAAAUACUUUUUUUUGAUAACCGAGAAAUCUGUCUGUGACCCGCCCUUUGGACCAAUCACAGUCUCUAAACUCGAUGGAUAAUGGGUCCGCCCCUCUACCUUUCUCCACUUAAAUAUUGGGCGCUUUGCAUGGUGUGGGGCUUGAAUCUGCGACCUAAGCACCAAAUCCUCCACUUUUGCCACUCGAGCUAGGCCUUGGGGGCUAUGCCUACAUAAAUACUUUUUUUGAUAACCGAGAAAUCUGUCUGUGACCCGCCCUUUGGACCAAUCACAGUCUCUAAACUCGAUGGAUAAUGGGUCCGCCCCUCUACCUUUCUCCACUUAAAUAUUGGGCGCUUUGCAUGGUGUGGGGCUUGAAUCUGCGACCUAAGCACCAAAUCCUCCACUUUUUGCCACUCGAGCUAGGCCUUGGGGGCUAUGCCUACAUAAAUACUUCCCGACGAAUUUUUUCAAGUAAAGGUUAUUUUUAAAAUAUUUUAUUAAGCGGGGACAAAAAUUCAACACCGGACACUUUGGGGGACAUUAGGCGUAAUUUCCUCCAUCAUGUAUUGUUUACGCUUCAAAUGUCCAGUCCUGGGUGUGAGAGGAAUGUUAAGUCCCACAUCGAUGGGUAGAAGGCAAAAUCUAUCUCCUUAUAUGGUCUUGGGCAAUCCUACCUCUUGAGGUAGCUUUUGCAGUUGAGUUAGGUCUAAGGUUUAUUUCUUUAUAAACUCAAUAAGCUAAGGGUCAUAUUCUUAUUUUUCAAUAAAAUGAAAGACGCAACAAAACCUAUAAAAAAACCUUUAGAAUUUUAUGCAUUGUUGCACUAUGCCUUAUCAUUUUUGUUUGUCAAUAUACCAUCUAGAAUAUAAAUUCUAACGGAUUUUCCACCCCUUAUUCUAGUAGAAAAAAAUUACAGCUCAAUACCUUUGGGCCAUCUAGUUUAUAAAAUAUGUACACGGUGUAUAAGUAGUGUACUUUAUACUAAUAUGCAUAUAAUAUACUAAUACAUAUAAUAUACAUAUCUAUACAUAUUCAGUUUCAAAAAAAAAACAUAUCUAUACAUACUUAUACGUAUAAUAUACAUACCUAUACAUAUAAUAGACAUACAUAUAAAUAACAUAUAGACACCAUAUAUAACUAGGUGUAUUGUAGUGUAUACUUCGGGCAUGUUUGGUAAACUAGAUGGUCGAAUGGUAUAUAUUUGUAGCUAUCCCUUCUAGUAAUUGCUUUCACAAAAAAGUUAUUGCACCUAGGAACCAAACAUCUAACUGAACCUACGAAUCGACCAUUUAACUUGAAGAUAUAACUGAAUUAUUAACGCCCUCUCAAAAUCUAAUUAGUCUAUGUUCAUAAGCCUGAUAAGUUCAUCAUAGGCAAUAAGAUUCUUAAGUAGCAAUUAGUUUGCUUCACCAUAGUCUAAUCAUUGAGGAUGCCUAUAGAAUUGCAAGUGUAAGCUCAAGCGGUGGCUAACCUGAUUUUUCACUGAAGGAGGUUCAAUUGAAUCCACUUCAUUGGAAAAUUUUAUUGUGCUAAUAGGAUAAAAAUAUUUUUUUCACAUAAAUUUUUUAACCUCCUUGAUAUAAAGGAAAAGUUUUAAAUGUAGUGGUAACAUGGAUUCAAAAAUUGCUUAAGGUCACAAGCUUGAAUCCUAAAUGUGGCAUUUUUAUAUUUUUAUGAAAGUCCUCUUGUUAGGAUUUUUGGUCCACCACUAAGCCCAAGGACACAUUAUGGUAGCCUAGAAUGCUUAGACAACAUAUUUUUUUCAAAACCAAAUACAGUGUUAUCAAAGGUGCACUUAAGCCCUAAAGGCUAAAGCGAUGCUCAAAAUGUGUUGAGCGCUUUGCCUCACUUAAUGUGUGUUUUAAAAUCGUCAUCAAGGUUCUAAGAUAUAUUCUUCCUUCCAAUGAGCUUCUUCUGAAGAGGCAACACUAUACAAUUAAUAUUUCACUUUAUCUUUGUUCUUUUUUUCCAAUUUCCUAGUUCAUACAUUUGUCAUUCAUGCUUAUAAUUAUUAGUUCUUGGACUAAAUAUAUAUAUUUGUAUUUUUAUCUCCCUUUGUGUCUUUUUUCAUUAAAACCAACACUUAAUUUGCGCUUAAAUCCCCAAUGGACAUUAGAGCUUUGGCUUUUGAUAACACUGACCAACUGUCUAAUAUUCUAGUUGAUUAUUGGCGUUUUGAGUUAUGCGCGAGGUAACUACAACUAUUAUACUACAUUGACCAGCAUACAAAGAUUAUAUGAGUACAUAUUAAUGCAAACAUGAAGGAAGUUUGAAAUGUAACAGACAACAUAAUAGAUCAUAUAAGUAUACCUGUAAUCAAAAUAUCGGUGAAUAUUUUCUAGAGCAGUAUGAUAGUCCUGAUGAUAAAGGCUAUUCAAGUAACGCAAGAAAUGAACCUUCAGUGCACAAAAAGUUACUUUAGAGACAGAUAACACAAAAUAAACUCAAAUCCCCAAAACACCUCACUCCGUAAAAUCUUACACGAUGUAGUUCAGGAGCUAAUUUAAGAAGGUCCUUCAAUACAGACUCAAAAGCAUUCAAAGGGAAGGAGCUUCCCUGCCUGAAAGAGAAAUAUAUUAUUCAUUCAGUGAUUCACAAGUGUCUUUGGACAAACAUGAUGUGCUGAAUAGUAGUAUCUAUAAAACUUCAAUGACCUUUCAAUCGUAUCAGCUUGCUCCAAUAGAUAACCUUGUAUUUGCCAGUUUGUACGUAAGAAAGCCCCAGAUGGAGAAUCAUCAGGAUCAGAUAAAUCACGAGAAGAAGAUGCACAUGCGCCAACUUCUCUAGGCUUACUGAUUUUUCUAACUUGUGGCCCAGGAGAAAAAUCACGAUCUGCAAGCCAUGACUAACCAACAUUAGGCACUUAAAAAGCAUACAUAUCAUUUGUCUAGGCUUAUUCAUUUCUGAAAGCACUUUAGUAAGCAAGAACCAAAGACAGCUUAAAGCUGAACAUUAUACUCAAAUUACUUACCACAUAUCAACACAUCUUACCUUAGGCAGGUAAAUAAGAAUAGUACAGCAAUCAAAAAGGAGUAAUAGCUUCUACAGCUUCUGUUGAUUUUAAUUUUGGAAUUCCCUUAAUAUUUUGUACUGCAUGAGAGGGAAAUUCCCGUAGAUCCUUUAUACUUCUACUUUAGAGGCUUCAAAACAAGUUGUUUGUCUACACAGUAAUCAUAUCUUAGGCAGGUAAACAAGACUGAUACAGUUAUCAGCAAGGGUCUAUAAUAACUGCAGCACCUUUUGUUCAUGUUAUUUUUGGGAAUUCCCUUAAUAAUUUGUCCAGCAUAAGUGGAUAAUUCCCAUAGAUUUAUAUCCUUCGAUUGACCAAGUUUUCAAAUAAGUUACUCAUCUACACAGCAAAGGGAGCAAAACUACAAGACAUGAAGAAGCUUCAUGUUCAACUGGAUCUGGAGUUAAUAGAAUAUCAACUAAAUUCAACAUGACUAUAUCAUUUGUAACAAUAUUUAUCAAAAAAUAUCAUCUGAAUUCCGAAACUAGAAUCCUGGUUUUGUUCGUUGUUCACACUUCACACAGUAAUCUGAAUUGUGUUUUAAAUAUUUUGACUACCUAUAUGAUGUACUAAAACCUUAUUUUUUAUUUUAUUUUAUUUUUUAACCGAGAAAUCCGUCUGUGACCCGCCCUUUGGACCAAUCACAGCCUUCUAAACUCGGUGGAUAAUGGUACUAAAACCUUAUAUGAUGUACUAAAACCUUAUUCUUGUUGGAAUAAGUAGAAGGAAUGCUUAUCCUUGACACAAAUAGCAACAAAAUAUUUUUUGGAAGGAGCAUAGCUCUACUCUUUCUUUAUUUCCUUAUGGAACACAGAGCCAUUUCUCAUGGAGUGAUAGUAGUGGAAUUCUCAACUGAACAAUUGGACGCAAACUUUGCAACAUACAGGAAUCAAUCUUUCCCAAUGCAUAUGAAUAUGGUUUUACUUUUAAGAAAAUCUACCAAAGAAAAAUACCUUCAAUUGCUCUAACUAGAGCUUUAGGUGCAUGAUUGUGGAAAGAAAGUCUUUCAUCAACCACAUUUCUUGAUUCAAUUUCUUUCUUGACAUUCUCGACAACAAGAUUCUCCAAAUCCAUGUUCUCAUAGUGCAUUGGUGCUUCAGUAUCGCUAUCAGAUUCGUUGAAAUGUGAUAACUCAUAAGUUGAGAGAGAUUCUUUGCAAUAUGUUGCUACAUUUGUCAAAAGAUGACAGACAGCCUACUCAGAGAAAAACAAUCCAAAUACAUGUUUAUUAACUUUUAAAUGAGCGGAACUACUAUGUGCUUGAUCCAAGCAAAAAUAAGUAACAUAUAACAAGUCGAAUUGGAAAAGUAGAACCAAAAAUCAAACUGUUCAACAGUUGCAAUGAGUGCACAAAAAUAACACUUAAGGUUCGGGCAUUGAACUUUAUGCUUCAUUGGUGCCCUUGUCUUGACAGAGCGAAGUCUUUCUGACAAGAUAAUGAAUAGUUUAAUAGUACCUCAAAUGAUAAUAGAUUAAACGCAAGUAAGCAACGACGAACAAAGACUCCAAGAUUGCUGCUAGGAUCCAAAAUGAUUUGAUCAUCAUCCAUGACAUUUGAAUCAGAACCCCCAAGUAUGCCUAUUCAAAAUAAUAACAUGAAACUUUGUAAUAAAAAGUUAAGCAGGUUACAAACGUAGAACAACAAUGAUUUCAUUACCUCGCAAGUCAUUAAAAAAGUUGAACAAAUCAUCUGGUGAGGCUAAUGAUGAUAAUUUGCGAGCUAAAUGGUCACUCAACCAAUGAUUCAAUACACCUCCAAUUUCCCUAAGCUGUGCGACAAGUUCAUCCAGCUUUGGCUCAAAAAUAUCCUCAGACGACUGUUCCAAGAAAAAAAGACAAAUUAGCUUUGUUCAAACAGCACACUCUACACUAUACUGGGAGAUUUAGACCCUAAUCAUUUUACCGAAAAAAGCAUUGAUAUAUAGUCCUAAAACACGUUCUCCAAACCAAGAAAAAAUGACUAAUAUAAUUCAAAUCAGCAUAAUGCAUAUCAGACACAAUAGUAAAAGUUUCAGGUACCUUUUCUCUAGACAUAAAGAAAAGUAAGCUCAAGUCAGCAAUUUUAACCCUAUCAACAUAAAUCCACUUCUAAUACAGUAUCCAGUAGAAUUCUGAAUCUUCUGAUGUCAAAGAUAGAACAAGUCCAACAUAUAGCGCCAACCUUGAGGAGCUGCUUCUUUUGGUUCUUUAUCUGAUUAUAUUGCUAGUUCCAACUAAAUUGGUUUCACUAACCAUAAUCAGUGUUUAAUUAUCAUUAGCAAAGAACACUUUUUCAUAAAGGUACUGCAUUACUUUUAAACUCUUGUUCAACAAUUAACUAAUCAAAUAAACAACAUAUAUCAUCUAAUUUGAUUAAAUCACUAUACUGUACCUGUGUACCAAAACAAUUCCACUGUGAACAAUCACGAUUUCAAUCAAUACCCUCAUUUCGCUCAUUAAUUUUAUUUGGUCCGAAAACUCAUUUAACCAGCAUCAAACUUUCACUGAAUCAGUUACAGAGUCAGAAACAGUUUUAGUGUUCUACACACAAAAAAAAAACACUUCCAGCAGAAAAUUGAAACUGAAUAAUUUCUAAUGAGACUAUUUAGUAAUCACUGAAAGAGUACAAAAGAGAACCACAUUUCUAUAUAGAAUUUGAAAGCUAAGAAAUGUUUGCUACCUUAGUGAGAGAUAAUAAGAAGGAGCCCAGAAGAUUGUGUUGAGCAACGGAAGAGAAAGGGAAAGGAACUGAGCUUUGGGAAGGCGGAGCAUAGACUUGGAUGAGAAUGCAAAUAGAAAGCUUGUGUGGUGUAAUGGUGAAAGCUCCCGGCGUCUUUGAUAACCCUGCCAUUGCGGCUGCGGCGGACAUGUAGCGAGCGAGCGCGCCGAUUCCGAUGGAGGAUAGUUCUAAUUUUAAUUUUUCUAAGUUUGAACUUUUGGUGGUUCUUGCUUGUGUUUUUCAAAUUUACUAGAUGUGCCCUUGUUACUUAUUUCAUCGGUAGGUAUUAAAUAGGAUAUUAUUCAAAAUUCAGGAAAAUAUUUUUAAUUAUUCAUAGCAUUUAGUUUUAAUCAUCUAAAAGGUCAUAAACUUCAGAACAAUAAAAUCUUUCAUAAAGUUCUUGUUCAAUCAUGUAAUUAGCGACGAUAUCCAUCACCAUUCCGUCUAUAAUUCUCCAUAAUAUAAGUUCUUUUAAAUCUCUAUUAAGAGGAACUGCCUUCAAAAUCGUAACCAAAUCUUUAUCAGGAAAGAAGUCAAGAAAACCCAUCAGAAGAAAGAUAUUCUCUUGAUAAGAAGUCUGGGAGGGAAUUAUCACUUUCCUUUUUAUAAUGAAUUUCGAAAUCAAAAGGGGCCGAUUGUGCCUGCCACCUAGCGAAUAUUAACUUAGACGCAUCAUGUUUAAAAUCUUUAUCGAACAUAUACUUGACUGACUGAGCAUCAGUUUUUAUCAAAAAUUUUUGAUUAUAUAAAUCAUCUUGAAAUUUUAAAACGCACUUAACGAUAGUUAACAUUUCAUGGGCUACUGUAGCAUAUUUUUUCUGAGCAUCGCUCCAUUUUCCUGAAUGAAAUCGAAUAAGAUAUUCAUUUUUAUCAUGCGGAUUAAUUUGUUUUAAUAUACCUCCAUACCCAAUAUUAGACGCAUCCGUCUCUACAAUCUUUGGCCAAGCAGGAUUAGCAAGGGUUAAACAAGGUAAAGAUUUAACUCUUUCUUUAAUAGUCUUUACAAGAUCUGUGAGACUAUUGGUCCAAGGCUUUUUAUGAUCCUUUUUUAGCCUGUCAUAUAACGGAGCUAAAUCUCGAGAUAAAUUCUUGUAGAAUGGGGAAAUGUAGUUUAAACUUCCCAGAAACCGCUGCAAUUGCGUCUUAUCAGUAAUAAUAUCAGGGAAUUUUGAUGCAAAUUCAAUAGAUCGUUGAAUAGGAGUCAUUUUUCCUUGACAAAUUAAAUGCCCCAAAAAUCUAACUUCUGUUUGAAAAAGACUCAUUUUAGGUUUAGAUAUGACCAAACCAUUUUGAAUAACUAUUUUCUUAAAAAUGUCUAGAUGCUUAAUGUGCAUUUCAAGAGUCUUUGAGUAUACCAAAAUAUCAUCAAUAUAAACUAUGAUGAAAUCCAAAUAGGGAUUGAAAAUAUCAUUCAUUAUCUUUUGAAAUUCUGAGGGAGCAUUUUUUAACCCAAAAGGCAUUACAUUCCAUUCGUACUGUCCAAACGGAACAUUAAAUGCCGUUCUAUAUGAAUGGUCUCUAAAAAUUUGGAUUUGCCAAUAUCCAGAUUUUAAGUCAAAUUUUGAAAAGAUAUUAGCAUCAUAUAAUCUAGUUAAUAAAUCUCUUUUAUUAGGAAUAGGAUAUCUAAUCCAUUUUAAAAAUUUAUUUAAAGGUUUAUAAUUUAUAACUAACCUGGGAACACCUCGUUCUUUUUCUGCUGCGUUAUUAACAUAAAAAGCAGUACACGACCAAGGUGAUUUGGAAGGCUUUAUCAAACCUUUAUGUAAUAAAUUAUCGAUUUCCUUUUUGCAGAAUUCAACCAAUUCGGUAUUCAUCUGACAAGGACGAGAUUUGGUAGGGAUAUUUUCCUCAGAGAAAUCAUCUUCAUAUGGAAGAGUUACAAUAUGCUUUUUCCGAUUCCAAAAGGCACUAGGAUGAUCAGCACAAAUAUCAAUGGCCAUUUUUUCAGAAAUGAGCUUAAUUUUUUCCUGUAUGAGGAAUACAAACUUUAUUCUGGCAAAUACGAGUAUUAAAUAAUUUAUACUUUAUAUCUAAAGCAUGACCAGAUGCUGAUUUAACCAUAUGGGUUGUUUUUUCAAAAUAUUUAGUAGGUACAAGACCUUCUUGAAUGCAACUCACAUCAGCGCCACUAUCAAUCAUAGCAAUGUUACUUAUAGAAAAAGUAUUAUCAAUUAAUAUAGUACAUUUAACAUACCAUUUAUGAGCUGUAACAAUUUGCAUCAUUCCUAAAAACAUAUUUUGUUUCAUAUCAAUAUUCAAAGUGUUCGCAAGAAUAUUUUCUUCAGCAGUAGAUUCAUCAUCAACCUUAUUUUUUCCUUUGCUAUUAACAGACUCAAUCUGAGUAAGACGGUGAUCAUAAAUAAUAUGAUUUUGUUUAAGAAAUUUAAUUUCUUCCUUCAAAUGUUCAAUUUCUCCUUUUAAAUCAUCAAAAGAGGUAUCACGAAUAACCAUAGUUUGUUUAGAAGAGAGUCUAUUAUGAACUUCAGACAAGGAGUAAGGAGCAGAAUAAUUAAAAUCAUCUUUAACCUUUUUAUCACUAGGAAUACUAGUUGAAGAGCUAGUUUUACCAGCAGCCAAUUGAAUGAUCUUUUCACGAAGAGUAUUAUCGGUAACUUCUUUUAGAAGUUCUAUCACAUUGUCUGCAGUGAUAGUGAACAUAUUCAUGUCUUCAAACUGAGAUUGCAACUUGUAAAAUUCAUCAUGUUCGCAGUGACAAGUAUCACCAUGACAGUUGCAAGCAUCAUUCGAAUCUUGUUGAACCUUACUAGAUGACUCAGGUUGCUCAUCCUCCGUUGCAUAACUUGCUUCAGAAUCAUCAUAAUCUGAUUCGGAACCAGAAGUAUAAAGAAAACUAUAAAUCUUCUCUUGAAUAUCAUCAUCAAGUUCUAGAGUCUUAAGCUUUUCUAGUUUACAAUUUGGAGCUAUAUGCCCAAAUUUUCCACAUUUAUAACACUUAAUCUUAUCAAGAUUUCGCUUGGACCUAUUCCUGGUAAAUCUAUGAGAUUUACGAUGAGUCCUACGCUCAUCUCUUUCUUCUCUAGUCCUUCUUCUAAAUCUUCUUUUCUUAUGAUGAGAUCUAUGAGAUUCUGAUUUAGACGUAUCUUGGUUGGUGCCUUUUGAAGCAUUCGGUAAACCAAAUUGAGUACAAAAAUCUCCUAAUUGAGACUUUUUCUCUAAGCUUAUCCAUCUUAAGCUGUCUAGAGAGUUUUUAACUCAUUGCACAAAUUUAUGCCUUCUUGCGUACAAGCCCCAAUAAGCUUUCCAUAAGUAAAAUCAUUAUAGGGAAUAAUUCCUUGAGGAUUUCUAAGAGUCUUUUUUACUCUUUCUGCAAAUAAAGAAGGUAAGCCAUCAAUAAAUUUGGCUUUCCAGAAUUCUAAAUUAUUUUCGGGAAGUUCCAUGACCCGACUUAAAUAAGUGUCUUUAUACCAUCUAAACUCACCUAAAUGUCUACAUUUAAGACCAUUUAGAAGAGAUCUAAUGGUUUCAUAUUGAUUGGUAAAUCUACCACUAAAAUGUUCAAGAAUAGUCAAAAUAAGCGUAUACACAGCGUCUUCUCUAUUUUGAACGAGGGCAAAGCCUAAAUUGUCAUGACCUUCAUUUGCUGCCCUAGCAUUAAUUACUGCUGUUCUGGCGUCAGAGGGCAUAUAAUUAUCCCACCAUCCUCUUAGUUGACCGGUAAAUCCUGCAAUAAUCAUCUUGCAGAUGGUCUUGUCAGUGUUAUUGACACUUUUGCAAAUAGUAGCAUACAUAAGCAUCCUAUGAACCAUAAUCGUUAACUGCCUAUCAGUUAACCCAUCGAGAUUUCCAUUCAUAAAUCUCACUUCCACUAUAAGAAGUGUUAGUUUGAUUCCAAUCUCUUUCCUCUAUUAACACAUCUUGAGGAUAGGCCUGGGAUAGUAAUACGUUUGCAUGCUAGGUUUUCUAGCAUAAGCAGUAUUACCACUAUUCUUCUUUGAAUACCCAUGAAGUUUAUUAACUUCCAUUUCCAUUUGAGGUUCGAAGUCAAAAGUGGCUUCCAUCUCACCUGCAAAAUCUUCAGCGAGACUAAUCGGUUUUGCACUUGCACCAAAUUGAGAAAACUUUUUAUCAAGAAGAUUUUCAAGGUCGUGCAAAGGUCUAAGAAUAAAGUCCUGAAUCUCAGGAGGCCUUUGAAUAUGAACAUCAGGCUGUUUUGACGAAGAAGCCUAUUCCGAAACUUGUUUAGCAGAUUUUAGUUUACUAUCAAUUUGAACAAUCAGAUUAGACAGGCUAUCUAAUUUUUUGUCUAGAGAACAAAUAUGUUCACCAAUAACUUUGACAUAUAGACCCAAAUAAUUAUUUUGAGAAAUAAUACGAUUAAUUUCAUUUAUACUUACUACGGCGACAUCAUUAUCAAUAAAUUUAUGAAACGCAGUAAAAGUAAUACCAGUAUUAUUUGGUAAAAUAAACGGAGCUUGAGGAGAAUAAAUGGAUUGAAUAAUAUUACCCGAUUCAUCUUUGUAAGAUCGUUCAAGAACGUUGAUGAAUAAAGGCAAAUAAGUGGUUAUAAACCAAGGCACAAAAAACAUAAUAUGAUUAUGUAAUGCACAAGUUUCAUAAAACUCUUGAGAAAUAUUAUUUAAAUCUUCCUGACUAUAAGUGUCAAAAAACCAAGUUUUAAACCGGUUCCAUUUUUCAUUUAAAAAUUCGUUUUGAAUAUAUUUUCUUGCCAGUGAACCUGGACUAAAAUCAAUUUUAUGUUCACUCAUCAUUAAGUAUCAUUAAGAUUAAAAUCCAUCUCGGAUACUGAAGGAAUAUCCUUAUCAGAAAUAUCAGAUGCUUUAUCAUUCGUUUGAACAAUGUUUUAACAGAGGAUUCAAUUUUUAUUUUUUGUUUUUCUGCAGAUAUAACUGUUGAUAAAGAGUGUAAAGAAGCAGCGCGAUUUCUAGCUGGACCAUAACAAGGUUCUAUCGGAGAAAUAUGUUGAAUAGCCAGUCUUCUAUCAGAAGCAAAAGAAUGUCUACUAUAAGGAAUACUUUUUUCAUCAAACUGCAUACAGAUUUUUCCAUCAGAAUUUUGACUAAUAUGAGAAUAUUCUGAAUUAGUGACAGCAUCGGUCAUUUGCUCAGGAGGUAUAACAGAAUCUAAAAUCCAAGUGGUUGGAAAAUUAAUUUCUUCCCAUUUUAUAGGUCUUCUAGUAGUGACCUUAGAUCUGGCGAAAUUAGUUUCUACUAAAAUAGUUUGAUCAGAUGUAUCAUAUAACUUACAUCUAGGAUUCAAAGUAGCAAGCAAUUUAUAAUAGAUUCUAUACGAUAAGCAAAUUAAUUCGGAUCCAGGUGCAUAGUUAUAACCAUGCGUUUUAACAUUCAAGGUUAACGCAUCUAAUAUAUUAGAAUCAGUCAAAGAUAGCUGCAAAUUGGGCUGAGCAUUAAAAUAAACUGGACCAUAAGCCACCGUAGAUUCUAUCGAACCCAUCAAGGAUUGACGAAAAAUUUAAAUUUCUCGCAUCUCGUAGAGCAGCUAAGAAAGUCUCUGGUAACCCUUUAAGAGUUAGAGGUUUAAAAAGCAAUUUGAACCAUGCCAAUAUGCAAAAACUUAUACUGAGAUUUAUAUAAUUCAAUAUCACGCUUAUUUAAUAAACGAAUAGUUUGUUCGGACGAGUUUAACGCCAAGGAUUGUUCAGUUGUUUUAAUCAACUGUUUGUUAGAAAUUUUAUCAAACCAACCAUAAUCAUAAAUGGUUUUUAUUAUUAACUCUCGGAAUAGUCCAUUUGUUUAACAAAUCAAGGUUUUGAGGUAUAUCUACCUCUUCUAGUCGACUGCUUUUAAUAUCCUCUUGAUCCAUAAAAGAGAGACUAUAUCUAUGCCGAAUUCUUCACAUCAAUUAUAUAUAUUCCAUGAACUUUCCUAGGCUCUGAUACCAACGAUACAGGAUCACCGAUCUGGCGGUAGUCCGCCAGAUCGUAGAUCAAGCCAGUCAAUAUCCUUAGAGGUAGUCUAACUACAUAAGAAUCGAAAUAUACAAGAAUUUUGACAUAGUUUCUCAGACUGCAUGGUUUUAUUAUUUUACCCAAGCAAAGGGCCUGUCAAGAAUCUAAUACAUACUUUUAUUAAGCCCAUGUGUCUGAUAGUUCUAACCGGGUAUGAGAUGCCCUACUUAUCAAACUCAAUUUCAGGCGAAAAACCACGGCUCAUCAGACGGAGUCAUAAAGACAAAGCCAAUAAAAGUAGUACUAGAUCUGACUGUACCUCAAUCUCGGAACCAGGUCGAGAAGCCAUACUAAAAUUCUUCUAUAUUUAAAUAAAGCUUAGAUCCAUUCAUGGUCUAUAUAAAUGAGAAGUUAGUUAUCCGGCAUAGAUAUAAUUUUUUAGCCGGACAUAGUCACGGCUUAACUCAGAAAUUAAAACUUGAAAAUAAAAGGAAGUACCUUGUAGCAAAACAGCACACUUUAUUAUUCCUCCGGCCAAAGUCCGGUAAGGUUACAAUACUUUUGAAAAUAUAUUACAAGUGGGGAGAGAGAAAGGAAGAAAGAAGGAAGGGAAGAGGGUUUCUAAAACCUGCCCUUCUUUAAAGAAAAACAAACCUAUUUAUAGAAAAAGAAAGCAUCUAUGUACAGGAUACUGGGCCCCUAUCUGGGUCCUGGUAACAGUGUAUUUACUGUUGGUGAACAGUGUUGCUACAGUAGCGCGGGCCCUCUACCGACGCGCCUAAGCUUUACACUUUGUCUUUUAAUUUUGCCAAAAAAUCUUCGGCUUUCUUCAGUGCAUCCACUGGACUUUCUUCUUCAUAUUGUUGAGCUUCGUGCAUAUCUUCACUUGUUUCACUACGCAUUGAAGAAUCUGAUUUUGCGUAAUGACUUAUAUUUAGAAGAAUCUUCUUCUUGACUUCUUCUAGAUAUCUCAUAAUCAUUUCAUUUUGCUCUCCUUCAUCAUGAUUAGAAAUUUUUCUAGCCAUAUGUUUUACGGAGGUCGAGUCAUCAGUCAUGAUUCCUUUAUUAGGAAUUGAAUUAUAAUCGUGUACGGUUUUUGUAAUUAGAUCCAACAGUUCUUGUCCGUAUAUGGACUUUGUUUGAGGAUCUUUUUUCAUCAACUUGUCCCAAAAAUUAUUAUAAUAAGUUCUGUAUAGACAAGGGAUUUGUUCCUCAGUAAAAUCUACUUCCGGAACCCAUUUAUGAAUCCAUGGAACAGAGAAUUCUAUAAAAAAGUAUAUCUGUUCAAUUUGUUGAAAAUAGCAAAUAUGUUCUUGAUGAUAUAAUUUGUUGAGAUCUGGGGAAACCUUGACCCAUUCUUUGUAUAACUUGUGAAAUGGUUCGGGCAAUAUUUUUAUUGUUGGCCCAUGGUAUGACCACCAGUUUAAAAACCAAUUUGGUAUAGGGUUAGCAAAUAUCUUGGCACAUACUUUUAUAAACCAAGUAUGUUUAUGCCUCUCAUUGUUAUAACAGAGAACUUUAUUAAAUGCCUGAAUAUAAUCCCAAUAGGUAAAGCUUACCAUGACUUUGUUUAGACUGAAUUGUCUUUCAGUCAUUGAGGAAAUACCCCAAUCUUCAAUAUGAAUGACGUGUUUUAUAAUCAUUUUAGAGAAGUUAUAAACAUUCUCACUUGUAUUAUAUCCUGAAAAAUGUUGAAAUUCAACACCUGUGCUUAUCAGCAGAGUUUCAUAAUAUUUUCGAGUUUUGUAUCACGCUCCNNNNNNNNNNNNNNNNNNNNNNNNNNNNNNNNNNNNNNNNNNNNNNNNNNNNNNNNNNNNNNNNNNNNNNNNNNNNNNNNNNNNNNNNNNNNNNNNNNNNNNNNNNNNNNNNNNNNNNNNNNNNNNNNNNNNNNNNNNNNNNNNNNNNNNNNNNNNNNNNNNNNNNNNNNNNNNNNNNNNNNNNNNNNNNNNNNNNNNNNNNNNNNNNNNNNNNNNNNNNNNNNNNNNNNNNNNNNNNNNNNNNNNNNNNNNNNNNNNNNNNNNNNNNNNNNNNNNNNNNNNNNNNNNNNNNNNNNNNNNNNNNNNNNNNNNNNNNNNNNNNNNNNNNNNNNNNNNNNNNNNNNNNNNNNNNNNNNNNNNNNNNNNNNNNNNNNNNNNNNNNNNNNNNNNNNNNNNNNNNNNNNNNNNNNNNNNNNNNNNNNNNNNNNNNNNNNNNNNNNNNNNNNNNNNNNNNNNNNNNNNNNNNNNNNNNNNNNNNNNNNNNNNNNNNNNNNNNNNNNNNNNNNNNNNNNNNNNNNNNNNNNNNNNNNNNNNNNNNNNNNNNNNNNNNNNNNNNNNNNNNNNNNNNNNNNNNNNNNNNNNNNNNNNNNNNNNNNNNNNNNNNNNNNNNNNNNNNNNNNNNNNNNNNNNNNNNNNNNNNNNNNNNNNNNNNNNNNNNNNNNNNNNNNNNNNNNNNNNNNNNNNNNNNNNNNNNNNNNNNNNNNNNNNNNNNNNNNNNNNNNNNNNNNNNNNNNNNNNNNNNNNNNNNNNNNNNNNNNNNNNNNNNNNNNNNNNNNNNNNNNNNNNNNNNNNNNNNNNNNNNNNNNNNNNNNNNNNNNNNNNNNNNNNNNNNNNNNNNNNNNNNNNNNNNNNNNNNNNNNNNNNNNNNNNNNNNNNNNNNNNNNNNNNNNNNNNNNNNNNNNNNNNNNNNNNNNNNNNNNNNNNNNNNNNNNNNNNNNNNNNNNNNNNNNNNNNNNNNNNNNNNNNNNNNNNNNNNNNNNNNNNNNNNNNNNNNNNNNNNNNNNNNNNNNNNNNNNNNNNNNNNNNNNNNNNNNNNNNNNNNNNNNNNNNNNNNNNNNNNNNNNNNNNNNNNNNNNNNNNNNNNNNNNNNNNNNNNNNNNNNNNNNNNNNNNNNNNNNNNNNNNNNNNNNNNNNNNNNNNNNNNNNNNNNNNNNNNNNNNNNNNNNNNNNNNNNNNNNNNNNNNNNNNNNNNNNNNNNNNNNNNNNNNNNNNNNNNNNNNNNNNNNNNNNNNNNNNNNNNNNNNNNNNNNNNNNNNNNNNNNNNNNNNNNNNNNNNNNNNNNNNNNNNNNNNNNNNNNNNNNNNNNNNNNNNNNNNNNNNNNNNNNNNNNNNNNNNNNNNNNNNNNNNNNNNNNNNNNNNNNACUUAAAAUAUUUAUAAAAAAACGAAAAAAAAAUUGACUGAUUCUUAAAAUUAAAUCGUGAUAAUUGACAACAUAAAAUUGUUCAAAAAUGUUGUAUGUGGGUAGUCUUAUUGUGCCUUGAAUAGCGUCAAAGAAAGUACAGGUUUGUGAUAAAAAAACUUAUUCCUUUAUCCACGCAAACAAUCGCUUCAAAAAUUUCGUUAUUAGCCCCAAAACAUACCAUUUAUGUUAUUGGGCCCGUGCAUAGCACGGGCAACAAAAUCUAGUAUUAUCUAUAAGAACUAGUAAAAUUACCUGCGCGAAAGAAAUUUAAUAUCACAGAAUUUAUAAAAUAAUACUUAAAACAUAUCCGUCAUUAAAACUAAAACACUAUAUUAUUUUACAUACAAGAUUACGUAGUAACGAACAUUAAUAAUGUAAAGGAAAAUGAAAAUUAUAGCAUCUUAUCAUUUAUCCUUAAUAACAUAAGCAUAAAUUUAUGACUGUAAAAAAAAUAUCAGGAUCUAUAACAUAAGCAAUGGUGUCAGUGAGCAACUCAACAGGAGCAAAGUACAUGAAUAUUUAAUUGUGCAGAAGAAGAAGAAUAAGAAUUUCAAAAUUUUCGUUGUUUUAAAAUGAGAGGAAAUCUCUCUAUUUAUAAACAAGAAAGGGUAGUGCGAACAAAUGUUUGUUGUGCUUUAGCGGAAAGGUCACAACUACUUGGAAAAGUUGCAACCCUUCGGAAAGGUCACAACCUUUCAUAAAAGUCACAACCUUUCAUAAAAGUCGCAACUCUUCAUUGAAGUCGCAAUUUUUCAUAAAAGUCGCAACUUUUCAUAAAACUUACAACUUUUAAUGAAAUGGAAGGCUAGUUUGGUAUAUAUAUAUAUAUAUGAUAUAUGAUAGGAUGAUAAUCAAAGGGGUAACAAAAUAUAAUAAUUUUUAAUUCAUAUUUUUUAUUUUCUAAAUGGUGUGUUAUACCCAACAAUUCAUAUUAUGCAACCUAGUAUAUCGUACUAACUUGUUUGUUUGUUAUAGUAUAAUUGCAAAUGUACUGUUUGGUUACACAAUUGUCAUCAUAAGAUUAUAUUAAAUUUUAAAAAUGAAAGGUAAUUAUUUAAAAAUUAUGUUAGACAAAUAAAGAACAUUAUAAAUGAUACUCUACUAAAUUAAAUAUUUAAGAUAUAUAUUGUCUUUUGAAAAAAAUAUAAAUUAAUAAGCACAUAUUCUUAACUAAUAUUACAUUUUUCAAAUUAGUAUAUUUCAAUUGAAUUAAUAAAAAAAAACUAAAAGUACAAGAACUCUAUAAACAUCAUGAAAUGCAUGUUUGACAAAAAUAUUAAUAUUACAAAUAAAAUGUCAUAUAUUAUUAAAAUAUUUGACAAAAAAAUAAUGUAUCAAGUCUAACUAAAAAUUAAAUGACUUACAAUGUGAAAUUUCAAGUCAAUACUACUAAAACAAAUGAAACUGGAAAUAUAACAUAAGUUCUAAGUUUGAAACAAAAAAUUCAACAUAAUACUCUUAUGUCAAAUUUCAACAUAACAUACAUAAAUAUGAUUCUUUUUUCAAGAAAAAAAAAAGUAAAACGUAAUUCUAUGACCUUACUCAACAAUGAAUGAUACUUUAAUUUAAAAAUUAGAAUACUAACAAAAUGAUGCUAAUGAAAAAAAAAUAUGGCAUAAAAAAAUAGACAAUACGAAAAAUUACAUGAAAACAUAUCAAGUAAAGGUUGAGAAUGAGAAUGAAAUGAAAUAUAAAUAAUAAAAAAUAUAAAUAUAAAUUUUAGAAUAAUUAAAACGUUAAAAUAAUAGAAAUAAAAAAAAUUAAAAAGUAAUUGUCUUGUAAUUAUAUCAUGUAAUUGCUCUCUUCCGAUCACCCAAUUAUCGAUUGAUCAAAUAAUUACAUAGUCAAUCAGACACAUCAGACAGUGUAACUACAUUCAAUUACACCAAACGAAGGUGAUUUUCCAAACAAGCCCUUAAUAUGUACUCAUUAGGACAUAUUAAUAAUGAUAUUAGUAUCAAAUUUCUUCAUUUCAGUUUUCAAGACAAAACAUGCUUAAUGCAUAUUGUAAAAGGUUCUUUGAUGAUGGUACGUGGCUCAAUGAAUUUUCUCUUGAAUUUUACAUCAAGCUAUUUGUUUUUCUCUUUUUUUUGGUUGAAACAUCAUAUAUAUAUAUAUAUAUAUAUAUAUAUAUUGAGAACCCUAGGUCUGCCUACGUGGUGUCACCAGAAAUCAGGAUUCUCUUUUAAUUUAUUUAUUUCCAAAAUUAGUCUUCUAUUUCAUGAAAAAUUGUGACUUUUAUGAAGAGUUGUGACUUUUAUAAAGAGUUGUGACUUAUAUAAAAAAUUGUGACUUUAUGAAGAGUUGUGACUUUUAUGAAGAGUUGUGACUUUUAUUAAGAGUUGUGACUUUUAUGAAAGGUUGUGACCUUUCCGAAGGGUUGUAACUUUUUCAAAGAGUUGUGACCUUUCCGAUAAGGCAUAUUAAGAAUUUGUUCACACUACCCUCUGUUGUCUAUAAAUAGGGUUUCCUCUCAUUUUAAAACAACAAAAAAUUUAUAUUACUUCUUUACUUCUACACAAUUAAAUAUUCGUGUACUUUGCUCCUGUUGAGUGGCUUACUAACACAAUUGUUUUUGUAUCAAUACACUGGUGAAUAGAAUCGUUCCAUCCUGAGAAAAUCUAUUCUUUUAAACCUCGGGUGGCCCAGUGGUUUGGGAUUGGGACUUCCAUGUUGGAGGUCUCAAGUUUGAAAGUCAUUGCCAGAGAAAGCAGGGAGUUUGCCUUCUAGGUCGAGCUCGUCGCACCAGGCUUGCCUAGUGCGGGUUACCUCUCAUAUGUGGUAUGCGAGCUAUUGCAUAGGAGUGAGGAUUUUACUCGGUGCGCACCCAAAGGGUAGCGACUGUGGGUUUCCCUUGUCAUAAAAAAAAAACCUCAUGUUAAUUUCCUUAAGGGGACACUGUGCAUUCAGUGGGCUCGAUUUUUUCCUUUCUGUUUCAUUCUAUUGUUACACAUCCUCCUAGUAUGUUAUUUUACAGUCAUUAAUUUAUGCUUAUGAUAUUAAUUGUUGUUUUUAGUACAUAUUUUAAACUUUGUUGUUUGUAUUUUUGCAAAGUUAGUGUAAUAAAUAUUUGCUGGUAUAUAUUAAAGGGAAAAGGGCCUGAUAUACCCCUCAACUUUGUCAUUUGGAGCUGAUAUCGCCCCUCGUUAUGAAAAGUGGCUCAUAUAUACCCUUACCGUUAUACAAACGGCUCACAUAUACCCCCACCGUUACAAAAUGAGCUCACAUAUACCCUUCAUUUAACGGAAGUGAAAAAGUUAGUUUUAAAUUUAUAUUUUUGACUUUUAAUUUUCUUAAAAAAUUAUUUAGGGGGUAUAUAUGAUUCUUCUAGCAAAGUUCAAGGUAUAUUUUAAUCUUUUUCAUACAUAGAUUAUUUUUUGACUUCUUUUAUUAUAAUUAUUUGAGUUUCUUAUUCUUAUUUUAUUUUUUUCUUUCAUUCCUUAGUGUAAAGAAAAAUUUAAAACUAUUUUUUGUGGCUAUAUUAUAAUUUAAAACUAUUUUUUGUCUAUAUUGUAAUUUAAUUUUUUAUUUGAAGAAAAAAUUUGGUCAUCUAUAAUAAGUUUUACAAGAAUAUUAGUGAAACAUAAAUAAAUUUGACCAUCAAAUUAAUAAAUCUAAAUUAGUCAUUGAAACAAAAAAAAGUUAAAAAAUAUAUAUGUGUUUGAGGAGGAUUAAAUAUACUAAUCUGGAAUUAUAUUUAUUUUUUUAAAUAAUAAAAAACUAACCUGAAAUUAAUUUUUUUCAUUUUCGUUAGAGGAAAAGGGUAUAUGUGAGCCAUUUUAUAUAUAAGUAGGGGUAUAUAUGAGUCACUUUCAUUAACGAGGGGUAUAUCAGCUCUAAAUGACAAAGUUGAGGGGUAUAUCAGACCCUUUUCCCUAUAUUAAAUAACACAUAUUAAUUGAGUUUCACGCAAGUUUCCUCUACUGAAACUGUUAAAGGUACCAGAAAAAAACUCCUUAAAGAUCUAUACUACCAUCUCCUGAAGACAAAAUUAAAAUUUGGUAUGUCAUUGUAAGGACAUAAAGAUCUUAAAAACUUUAUCACACCUUGAUGUGCGAAGUGAACCAGGAAAAGAAAACAAGAACUAAUAAAUUUUUUAUAUGGGUUCAAGGAUGUGUUGGAUACCAUAUAGAGGAAUAUGACCAGACUGGAGCCUCUUUUAAUCCCAAAGACAUAGAUAACUACACAACAUAUUAAUUGCUCAUAUUCAAUAUGAAGUAUGGACAGAUUCUCAAGUUUACUCCAAGUUGUAAAAACUUUUCUUGAAGUAAUAAAUGUGUUUCUCGACAUUGCGAUUGGAAUAGACGUGUAGUUUCAAAUUGAACUCCAUCACUUUGGUAUGUUGAUUUAUAUAUAAAAAAAAAACUAACUAAAUAGUUUUGUGUAAUAUUUUUACUUUUCAAGUAUAUAUAAUAAGUUGAACUGUUGUCCAAUAUGAUACAUUCUCCCUUUAAUUAUUCAUUUUAAUAAUUACUUAUGAUACAUUUAAAUGGGAUAAAGCAAAAGGUAGGAGUAAACUUUCUACAUGUUAGAAUCAAAAUAUUUGUUCACUUUUUUCAGCCUUUUAAAAUUUAUUUAUCCUUUCGCCAAUGAUUAUUUAUUUAUUAGAAAAAUUAAUAUCUCAGGUUGAUGUUCAUUUGAUUCUCCAAAAAUAUCUAAUAGUAACACUUCUUGGAAGCAAAAGGAUAAACUAUAAAAUCAAAUUAAAGGUGAUUGAUUGAAGGAUAAAUGAUCAUAUGUUAUAAUUAUCAUUUUUCUUUACAUUAUUAAUGUUUGUUACUACGUAAUCUUGUAUGUAAGAUAAUAUAGUGUUUUAGUUUUAAUCACUAAUAGAUUUUAAUUAUAUUUUAUAUAUUCUAUGAUUUAAAUUUCCGUGCGAGGCGAGGAUAAUUUUACUAGUUCUCAUUUAUAAUUUGCGUAAUUUUUAGUAUAUUAUUGUUUCAAAAUAUGAAAAUUUAAAUAACAAGAAAAGAGAGAGACACUAAAAAAAUAAGUAGCAAAAUCUAUUUGCUAAUUUUCAUAACUAUUCAUUUAUUCACAAAUGUUGAUGGUAUUAAAAUUAAUAUUUGAUGUGAUGAUGUUAGUUAUAUUGAAAAUUUUAAGUUUUCUUCUACUUUAAUUAUCAAAAUUUUAUUGGGAAAAUUACGUGAAUAAGCAAACAUACUAGUUAAUUAACUAACAUAACUAUAGUUUGAAUUAAUUACAGUUCACAACUUACUUUUAACUGUAAUUUCGUUGCUUAUACAUUUACAAAAACAAAUUAUACAUACGUAUAUAUACAAUUAUAUGACUUAUAUACAAAUACAAUUACCCUGUCUCCACUCUCUGCCCCUCUCGCUCGCCUCUCUCCUCCCUCCUCCAAUCUCGCUCGCCAGAUAUACAAAUACAUAUGUAUAACAAUUACAUAUAUAAUUCGCCUCUCUUUGCUCUCUGCCUUCUCUCACUCGCCUCUCUUCUCCUUCUCCCAAUCUCGCUCGCCUCUCUCCUCUCUCUCUCUCAAUCUCGCUCGUCAAAUAUGAAAAUAUAUAUGUAUACCAGUUACAUAUACAAUUAUUUGACAGAUAUACAUAUACAAUUCGAUAGAUAUAUAUACGAUUCGUCUUUCUCCACUCUCUGUCCUCUGUCACUUGUCUCUCUCCUCCCUCUCCCAAUUUUGCUCACGUCUCUCCUCCCUUUAACAUGUAGCUACAAAUCGUAAUUAAUAAACUAUAGUUAUUUUUGAGUGGCUAUAUGCAAAAAAAUCCCCAUUUUUAAAUAGUAAAUUCUCACACCAUAUAUCUUAAGAUUCCUUAAUUAUUAUUAUUAUUAUUUUUAUUUUUAUUUUUGAUGACAAGGAAAACCCGCAGCCGCUACCCUUUGGGUGCGCACAGGGUAAAACCUCCGCUCCUAUGCAAUAGCUCGCAAACCACAUAGGAGAGGUAAACCGCACUAGGCAAGCCUGGUGCGACGAGCUCGACCCAAAAGGCAAACCCCUUGCUUUCGCUGGCAAGGGGUUUCGAACUUGAGACCUCCAACAUGGAAGUCCCAAGAUUCCUUAAUUAUUAAUUCUUAUAAUACCUGUUAUCACAUAUUUUAGGGCCACUUAAAUUUUAAAAAUAUAUUUUUCUUCAAAUAAUAUAUUUUAGGACUCUUUAAUUCUUAAAUUAUACUUUCUUCUCACCAUCUAUUUUAGGAUUCAUUAAUUUUAAUUAUUUUAAAGAUAAUUAAUAAUAAUUUGAGGAAAAUUGUAAAAAUGUCAAUUUUGCCUUUGUAAAAUAAGUUCAAUCGCUAUUUCUAAAUAUGUUCAUAUUUUUAAUAUAAUAUAAAAUAUACAAAAAAAUAGUUGAAUCAUACCAAUACCAAAAAAAACAAAAAAAAAUUAGGACGAAUUCAAAAUUCGACUUUAAUUACAUAAAAUAAAAUAAUUAUAAAUUAAUACAUAUUGAAUCACUCUUAACAAUGCUACAAUUUUAAAAGGUCAAACCUGUCACACCCCGAGACUACACCCUGGACGUGGCCGGCACUCGAGAACCAUUGCUGGCCCCAAGCGAACCCUUGGCCUGACUUACUUACUCAGCGGAAGACUUAACUUAAUAAGAUAAUCUCAAACAUAAUUUUAAAGAGAUAUAAAACUUAGCCAAAACGGCAAUUGAAGUCUUUAAACAACAUCUGAAUGAUAAUGUAAAGACAACUGAACUACUAUUUGUCUAUGAAGCCUCUAAAACAAGGAGGGAUGUCGGGACAAGACCCCCGAUCAUCCUAACAAUAAAAUACUGAAAGCAAAGUAAAAGGAGUCCUCCAGAAUGCAAGGAGGCUCACCAACAGACUCUGCUGGAUCAACGAGGCGCUGCGUGCUGAUCUUGGUUACCUACGUCUGCAUCAUAAUAUGAUGCAAGCCAACUGACAUCAGUACAUUGAAUGUACGAGUAUGCGAGUUGGAAUGCUAAACAUAACAUAGGCUUGAAAAGAUUAUGAACGAAAUACUUACCAUGGCUCUUCUCAACUCAUGAAUAACUUAAUUCAAAAUAAAGCAAUGAAACACAUGCAAUAUAUGAAAAGCUUUAUAAAACAUUAAAAGCAACUUAGUUCGUUAAAGAAAAUGCAAUAACAAACUCAACUUUACUGAUGUAACAAAGUAAUAUAGUUUCUGUGGGAGUUUCUCUAACCGACAACCACCACUAUGAGCCUAAGUGGUGAUACAAUGUCUUGCCCACGCUGCCAAAAUUGUCCUAUACUUUGCCGUCAUAUAGGAUGAUACAUUAGCUCAUAUGUUUGUAAAAUCAAAACUCUUUCUUUGGUUUGAGAUAAUUACUCAAAAACUUAGGUGAAAAGCUCUCUUGGAAAUCUCAGUUUCCUUUCUUGCUCAAAUGUGAAAAUAUUUUAACUCUUGGGAAUAUUUAGUUCCCGAAUAAUCUUUAAAGAAUGAACUUUACUCUUACUUUUUACUGAAAACUAGCUCAAAGGCUCUUUUGGAAAUCUCAGUUUCCUUUCUUGUUUAAAUGUGAAAAUAGUUACUCUUUGGGAAUACAUAGUCCCGAUAUACUCUUUUGAAGAAAUGCACUUCAAACUUUACUCUUUACUUAACACUUAAAACAAAGUUAAAAACAUUUGUAAAAGACUUUUGGAAAACUUUACGAACUUCUCUUGACUUGACUCUUGACUUAACUCUUAACUUCUCUUGACUUGACUCUUAACUUUCCUUGAAUUUAUUAUGGAUUCAAGGAUUGUGAUUUGUGAUAGGAAAGAUCUCAUGAUGUUUAGGAAUGAUUUUAGAUAGCUAAACAUGAGAAAAUAUCAAGAAAUCACCGUCUUGGAACAAGUUCGCGACGCGGAGUUUCAUUUAAAUAUUGAUCGCGAAAUUUAAUUUUGAAACAUAGGAGUCCGCGUCCUAACCGCGACGCGGAGUUGAUUUUUGUUCACUGGGGGAGCAAGUCCGCGACGCGGGCUUGCGUGCCAAAACACGCUUGACUUUUUCCUUCUCCAUUUUACAGCCCCAAUUCGCCUUAUCUCGAUUCUUCUUCUUAAUCCCUCUUUAGAUUCAAAAUUGCGCUGAAACAAACAUGUUUGGCGCGUGGAUGAACGAAUCCAACACUAUGAAAGUCUCACAUACCUCUUUAGGGAUCAACCCUUGUCGAAAUCCAUAAGCUAAACCUCCAAGAACGACAAACUUUGCUCUUUCUCCUCUCUUCUCCUCUUGCGUUCUUUCUCCUAAAAUCCUAGUGUAAAUUUCUAAUUGUCUAAACUGAACCAAUUCAGUUUAGACCCCAAUUUAAUUGCUAAAAACGAAUCAACUUAAUUGGGUGGUGAAAAGACCAUAAUGCCCUUCUAAAAUUCGGAUUGGACUUUCCUUAUUUGAACAACCCAACUUCCAAUGGGAAUAACCCACUCAUACAAUCUCGGAAUCGCGCAAACUCAGCGGCGUUGGAAACAUUGUUCCAAGAUCUUUCCUACGAUAUCUGGAAACAUACCUAACUCAUCCUGAGCUAGAAUUUAUGGUCGUUUGAAGUUGACCAAAAACUCAAACUUAACAAAUUUCCAGAUUUUUCAUUCUUUCCAAAAACAACUCUAUCUAAUUCUAGCUCUUUCCAGUUCUUUCAAAAAGAGAGGUGGUACAAAACCCAUCGGUGGCCUCCUAAAAUUGACACCAAGUUUCACAUAGACACCUCAACUAGACGAUGUUCAUUUUGGACAUCUCAUGUAGGGUUCUGUUGUGUCAUUUUGACACUUUUUGCUGACAUGUCAAAGUGAGUAUGAUGCACUCAACAAUAGCGCGUGAAAGACUUAAUUUAACCAUUUUUUAUUUUAUUUUCUCUUCUUCUUCUUAAUUUUUCAAGCCACCACCCCCAUCUUUUUUUUCAAGCUUAAACUCCUUCAAUGGAGGUCAAUUUUUUUUAUUCAAAUUCAUUUUUAAGUCAUUUUUCCUCUUCUUCAUUGCAUUACUUUUCUAAAUCUACCAUCACCUCCCUCCACUUUUUGCCGGAAAAAUGGAUACCAACACCCACAUUUCAUUUUAUUCUCUCUUUCUUCCUCUCCCUUUUUUCUUCCCAAAAAAUAACACUAAAAAAGAAAGAAGAAGAAUAAAUAUGAAAAAUAGUAAAAGAAAAGAUUUUUUUUUAAAAAAAAGCACAAAAGAGAUUUUGAGUGUAAAUGAAAAAAGAGAUUUUUUUAGAAUAAUAUUUUUAUUUAUUUACUAAAUAGAUUUUAAAAUAAUUUUUAACUGAGAAUAACACAUGUAAUCAUUUAAUGAUUGUUUGUCACGUCAUCAACGAGUGUAUUACACUCUCCUUUCAGUUUUUUGUUUAUUGUCAGAAAAAUGUCAAAAUAAUAUAACGGGACCCUACAUGAGGUGUCUAAAAUGAACAUCGCUUAGUUGAGGUGUCUAAGUGAAACUUGUUGCCAACUUUAGGGGGCCACCGAUGGAUUUGACCAUUUUAAAAUCAUACACGAAAAUCUAUCAACUAGUUUUGUUCUCAUCAAGUACUGUACUUUAAAAACAGUCUCACUAGAUAUUAGCAAAAAAAAAAUGAAAAUAAAAAAGAAGCGAAAUAGUCUCACAUUUACGUGGCAGUCAUAUAUUGAGUUGUGGUUCCCACUCUCUUUACUGUAGAGUGGAGUUGUUUUAGAGCCUGUUUGGAUUGAGUGAAAAAAAGUAGCAAAAAAAUAAAAAGUUAAACUUAAAAUUUUUUAAGUAAAAAAAAUAAAAAGUAAUGACACUUUUGAUUUUUAAUUUAUUUUAAGUUAUUUUUAACUUUGUCAAACACUUUCAAAAUUAAAAAUAUAUUUGAUCAAUUUUUAAAUCAAUCUAAACCGACUCUAAUUAUUUAUCACAAUCACAUUAUUCCCAAAGCCCAAGUGUCUUGAAGCAUGAUAAGCACGUGUAUGUUGCCCAAUUUUUUCACUCUUUUAUUAAGGGAAAAGGGUCAAAAAUACCCCUCAACUUUGAUUUAUUGUUUGACUUUACCCUUGACGUUAAAAUGAAGUUAAUUUUACCCCUUCUGUUACUAAUUUCACCAUAUUUGCCCCUCAUUUGACGGAAAGUCCAAAAGUGACCCAAAUUACCCGAUUUUUAAAAAAAAAAACCAUUCCCUAUUUUUAACCCAAUGCCCCGACCUUUCUAGGAUAACCCGGCUAACCCGUAUAACCCAAUGCCCUGUUACCCAUUCCCAUUUACCCAUUCUCUCUCUUUGAAAAGAUAAUCUCCUUUUCUCCAUCAUAAGCUAAGUCGAAGAAUGAUGAGUUGAAGAAAAGACAACCCAAUUUGUCCAUCAGAAUUUGUACUGAUCGUUGUUAAGGUAUCAAAUUGAACAAAUCUUCUUUGAUUAUUGUCUUUUGAUAACAUUUAGCUGUUGAUUAUGAGUUAGGGUUUGUCUCCAAAUUUCUGGCUCAUUUGUUUGCCUUUUUACCGAUAUGUAUUACGAUAUGUUAGUUAGGGUUUGUGGGUAUCUGUCUUUCUGACUCAUUUUGUUUGCCUUUUUACCGAUAUGUAUUACGAUCUGUUAGUUAGGGUUUGUGGGUAUCUGUCUUUGGGUUAUUUGUUUGACUUUUUACAUCUAAAAUUUAACGAUUUGUUACUUUAGUUGUUGAUUUACGAGUGUUGAUGUUGUGGGUUAAGGUUUUUGAGUUAUGGAUUUACCUUUUUACAUUUAAAAUUUCACGAUUUGUUAGUUACUUGCUUGCUUUUUUACGAUUUAGGGUUUGUGGGUAGAUUUUAGGGUAUUGUAUGAAUUUGGAGGAGGUGGUUUAGGUUUUGGAGAUGUUAUUGAGUAUGGACUGAUUUCUGGUUUCAAUAUUUUAUUGGGAAAUUCUUGAUUGAAUAUGGUCCCUUUUUGAUGUGGGGCCAAUAUUUUAUUCAUUCUUAUUGAAUGUGGUUCCUUUUUCUCCAAAUUUCCUAGUUAUUUGUUUACUUUUUUAUAGUUUGUUAAUGUUUAUUCUUAUUGAAUGUGGUCCCUUGUUGUCUUUCUGUGCCUUUUUAGGAGUUUUGUUAAUGUUAUUACUGCUUUUGGAAGUUGUUUAUGUUGUCUUUGUAUGCAUUGAUUGUGUGCCUUUUUAUGUGUUCUGUUUUCCCUUCUUAGUUAUUUUGUCUCAUUCAUGCUUUUGGAAGUUGUUAAUGUUGUUUUCUUGUGUGCCUUAGGUUGCCUAAAAUUAUUUUGGUUGAUCUAGUAUUUUACUAUGGUGGAGAAUGGAUAAGAGAGCCUAAAAUGCUCCAUGAGAGGAAGCUUGUUCACAAAUGGGAAGGUUAUGAUUCUGAUCUCUUAUCUUAUAUAGAUAUUACUAAUGUGUACAUUAAUAUAUUAGGCUAUGUGGGUGUGCAACAGUUAAUAGUAUCUGUCCCUUCUGGAAAAUACUAUGAAAUAGAAGGUGAUGAGGGGAUUAAGACAUUAUUGUCCUUUGUUAAUGAUAAAUUUGAUGUAAUUAAUUUAUUUGUUGUUGAUGAUAGUGAGUUAGAUGUUGAUGCAGAGAAUAUAACCAAAAUGUUAGAGACUGUGGUAGUUAUUGACAAUGUAUCUACUGAUUGUACUUAUGAUGGUACUGAAAAUGAUAGUGAUACUUUCAAUGAUAACUCUGAUUAUAAUUCUGAAGAAUUGGAGGUUCUUGCACAAGAAAGGAGGAGGGUGAUUGAUGGUAGCUUGUGUGAUUACAAGAAUUUACACAAGUCAAUGACAUUUAAGGAUAUAGCUAAAGCUAGAAGAUACAUUAGUUUGCAUUCAUUGGCAAUUGUCUAUAAUUUAACCAUUAAAAAAGAUUUAGGGUUGUUUGCAAAGAAAAAUACAACUUUGUAUGUCUAAUUUCUGGUGAAAAGCAUUAUGCCGGUGUUAGAGUGAAAACAUUGAUAUGAGAGCAUAAAUGUGAUGAUCCAUGUGGUAACUACAAGGUUAGUGUAACUACAAUUUCUUUUUACUUUAAGGAGAAGUUGCAGGUUAAUCCCAAAUACAAGAUAAAUGAAAUGAGAGUUGAUCUGAAAAUUGCUUUCAACAUUAAUGCUCAUUUUGAAAAGUGUAAGAGAGCUAAAAGAAUGAUUUUGGAGGACAUGGAAGGCAAUUUUUGUACUGAUUAUGAGAAACUUGUUGGGUAUGCAAAUGUUUUAAAAGAGAGUAAUCCAGGAACUGAUGUUGUCCUUAAGGUUUCAAAAAAUGCAGAUGGAAAAAGAAAUUUUUUGAGGAUGUAUAUUUGUUUUGAAGCACUGAAGAAUGGAUUUAAGAAUGUGUUGAGACCUUUCAUUGGAUUGGAUGGUACAUUUUUGAAGGGUAAAGUUAAAGGUCAACUGUUAUGUGCUAUUGGUCAAGACUCAAUGAACCAUUUCUAUCCUAUUGCUUGGGCUAUUGUGGACAGAGAGUGCAAGGCUUGAAAUUCUUCAGAAGUCUCUAAAUAUCAAUAAUGGAGAAGAAAUCACAUUCAUGUCUGAUAUGCAAAAGGUAAAUUCUCAUGUUUGUCACUUCUUUAUUCAUUCUUACUGUAUCUUUAUCUUGUAUAUCUUUAUUUGUUGUCUUAUGUAUUUUCAUUUGUCUUGUAUAUAUUUAUGACUGAUAAACAUAGAUUAAUUGAAGUUGUUAAAAAUAUUUUACCUAAUGCUAUGCAUAGAUUUUGUGUGAGACACAUAGAGGCCAAUUGGAGAAAAAAAUGUAAGAGAUCUAAAAUGAUGACUAAGGUAUUGUGGUGGUGUGCAUGGAACACCUACAAAGAGGAGUUGGAUGAUCAUUUGAAGACAUUAGGUCAGCUGUCUGAAGAAGCAAAAGAUCAUUUGUUGCAUUUUCCAAUACAAACUUGGUGUAGAGUAUUUUUUGACACUGUUUGCAAGAAUAAUAAGGUGGAAAAUAAUUUGGCUGAAUCAUUCAACUCUUGGAUAUUGGAAGCAAGACACAAGCCAAUAAUUGAUAUGCUUGAGGAUAUAAUAAUAAAAGUUAUGACCAAGUUUGUCAAAAAUGAAGAUGAACUGAUGAAUUGGAACUGUGAUUGGAGUCCUACAACUAUUGAAAUGUACAAUGAAUUCUUGAAGAUUGCUAAUGUGUGUGAAUUAAAUUUCAAUGGAGAUGAUGAAUUUGAGGUAAGUGAAGGAAAUGGCAGACAUAUUGUCAAUUUGGCAGCUAAGAAAUGCACCUAUAGGGUAUGGGAUCUUACUGGAAUACCAUGUCUCCAUUCAAUCAAGGUUAUUCUUUACAAGAAUCUUGAUCCAUUGGAAGAGAUUCAUUGGUGGUACUCUAAGGAGACAUAUUUUUUUGACUUACCAUUGUAAGCUACAACCAGUGCCUAGUCAAAAGUUCUGAAAAAUUGAAGCAGAACAAGCAAUGGAACCACCAGCAUUGGUAAACUUAGCUGGCAGACCUAGAAUGAAUAGGAAAAGAGAUAAAAAUGAAGCACUUAAGAGACAAACUGAAUGAGUUGCACCAAGAAGAGGGAGAAAAAUGGCAUGUUCAAACUGUGGAAUUCCUAGACAUAAUGCAGGAGGUUGUCAUAAGGUAAACAUUUCAUUUGCUAUGUAAUCAGUUAUUGUUAUUGUAAUUAUGAUUUUUCUGUACUUGUGACUUUUCUGUUAUUUUAUCAGUUUAUCUUGUAAUUGUGAUUUUUCUGUUAUUUUAUAAGUUUAAUCAGAAUGGUGAAGAAGACACUUCUAAUACUGGACAACUUAAGAGUAAGAAGCAAAAGGUAAAAUCCAUCUCUUUUUAGUUCUCACUUAUUUUACAAUGUCAUGCUUCAGUUUUGUGUAAUUGUCUCACUUCUAAUACUGUAAUUAUCUCACUUAUUGCUAUGUAAUCCAUCUUUUCAGAUGAACCAAAUGAUGGGUGAAAGCACCUCCAAGGCUGGACCGUUAAAGAGAAAAAAGCAAAAGGUAAGAAGGCUGAACAAUUUUUUCUGGUAUAGUCAGUAUUGUGAUAUGUUAAAGAAGGAAUAUUUUUUCUUAUAUUAGAUGGAUAAACAAUGUGACAAAGGAAAAAGCAAACAAAUGAGAGGCAUAUGACACUAAUUGGUGAAGAAGAUGUUGAGUAUCCAACACCUACUCAAGAUUGUGGAGGACUUUCCCUUGACAGUUCUCCAAUUGAUGCAACAAUGGAGGACUUUCCAUUGACAGCUCCACAACCUACUCAAUAUUGUGCAUCAGAUGAAGAUAAAUAUUUUGGUCUUGAUGUUGAGGAUGACAUGCCAUGGAAGCCAAGAGAUUUUUUAGAGUUGAAGUCUAGAAUCCAACAAAGACAGAAACAAGCACAACCUACUGGAUUAAGAAGAAUCAACUUUGAUUGUGAUGAUCUGACUAUACCAGAAGACUAUGCACCAAAAGGGCCUACAUGGAAGAAGAAUGCAUCUGAAACUGGAAAUAUGUUGGAGCAAUUAAGAAAGAAAAAGGUAUGAAAGUUAGACAAUUUAGUAACUUAUUUUACAAGAGUGAUGCUUAGUAUAUCAUUGUGGUCUUUUAAUCAAAUGGAUAUGCAAUCCAACAAGUAAAAGAAACAAGCAAAAGAGAGGCAUAUACCACUAAUUGAUGAAGAAGAUGUUGAGGACUUUCCCUUGACAACUCCACAGCCUACUCAAGAUUGUGCAUCAGAUGAAUAUGAAGAUCUUGGUCUUGAUGUCGAGGAUGACAUGCCAUGGAAGCCAAGAGAUUUUUCAGAGUUGAAGUCUAGAAUCCAACAAAGACAGAAACAGGCACAACUUAUUGGAUCAAGAAGAAUCAACUUUGAUUGUGAUGGUCUGACUAUACCAGAAGACUAUGCACCAAAACCCCCUACAUGGAUGAAGAAUGCAUCUGAAACUGGAAAAAUGUUAGAGCAAUUAAGAAAGGAAAAGGUAUGAAAGUUGGUCAAUUUAAUAACUUAUUUUAUAGUGUGAUGCUUAAAGUAUAAUAAUUUUGGUCUUUUUAUCAGAUGGAGAUGCGAUCCAACAAGGAAAAGAAACAAGCACAACGUACAAGAUCAAGACAAAUCAACUUCCUUGGAGAUGGUUCGAGUGUACCAAGUGCCUUGUAUGCACCAAAGGAACUAAUAUGGAAGGGAAAUGCAUCUAUUACUGGAAGAAUGUUGGAGAAAUCAAGAGUGGAAAAACUUAAGACAAAAAAGGGUAAUGGCAAGGCACAACAAUGACCAGUUCAGUAAUGAAGACAAUAUUUUGUUAUUUUGUUGCAUGUUUUUGAGAUACUAAUGUCAUACACAAACAUGUUUAUGUGUUUAAAAGCUUUUUGUAUUUGCACUAACUUCUUUUGGGGUAUGUACUGAACUAACUUCUCUAUGUUCAAAUCAGUUUUUUGUCAAUAUAUAUGAAGUGUUCAUCAAUAUAUAUGUAAUGUUCAAAAUCAGUUUCUUUCAAUAUAAGAUAUAUUGCAAUUUUGUUCAGGUUCUGUAAAUGUGUAAAAGAGAGAUCAUAAAUGUUCAGGUUCUAUAAAUGUGCAAUUUUGUUCAGAUUUUGUAAAUAUAUGAACAUUACUUCAACUACUAAACAUUAUUUCAUAUUAUAUCAGUACUCGGGUCCUUCCAUUACAACACCAAAAUGAAGAACAAAAAGGGAACCAACAUCACAAAAGACACUAACAACUGAAUUCACAAAACACUAACAACUGAUGCUGAAAGUAAACACUAACAAAGGAAGUCACUUAGUCGUUAAUGCAACUAGAAAUCCAACUAAAAGAAAACAUGAAAUCAUAACUUUGUACUUUAUAUUGUGAUAUUUGUCUUCAAAUGUCCUAACUUUUUCCACUACCAAAUCAUUCGAUGCCUCCAAUGUAGCAAUUGUUUCCAACAAAUGACCUGCUUUUAUCUUCAAAUUUUCCACAACAAUCUUCAAGUUCUCCAUUUCAAUCUUCGAAUUAUCCAUUUCCAUCUUGACAUCUUUCAACGACGACUCUAAAUUACGUAGGUAAGCUACUUCAGGAAAAGCUUGGUCUUCCCAUUUCCAAUAUCCACUUGAAGAAAACUGCCAUAAGAAUACUCGAAAUACGAAAUCAACUCAUACGAAGAAAUAAAAAAUCAGUUCAUACAAAUAAACAUGAAAUCAGUACAAUAAUAGGAAUAAAUCAGUUCAUAUACUUACAUCCAGACGAGGACAUCGAAAAAAUCUUCUUCCCGGAUUAGAUGUAGUACUUGAAAUCAAUGUUUUGACCACCAAACCACAAGCACGUUUUCUUUGAGACGAAUAACUAUUUUGUAACAUUUUCUGAGAAGAAAAAUCAGAGGUGAACGAAAGAGAGAUGCUGGAAGAACAAUGAAGGAGAAGUUAAUGGGUAAAGGGCAUUGGGUUAUAUGAAAAAUUUGGGAGAAUGGGUAACAGGGAAUUGGGUUAUACAGGUUAACCGGGUUAUCCUAGAAGGGUCGGGGCAUUGGAUUAAAAAUAGGGAAUGUUUUUUUUAAAAUUUGGGUAAUUUGGGUCACUUUGGGCUUUCCGUCACAUGAGGGGCAAAUAUGGUGGAAUUAGUAACGAAAGGGGUAAAAUUAACUUCAUUUUAACGACGAGUAAAGUCAAACAAUAAACCAAAAUUGAGGGGUAUUUUUGACCCUUUUCCCUUUUAUUAAUGCAAAAAUGUACAACUUUUCAAAUGUUUAAUCUCAUUAUUAUAGUAGAAUUAACAAUUGUUUUAUAUACUAUACAAAUUUAUAAUACUACUUGAAAAUAUUUUAAAGAAAAUGAACAAAUAUAUCGUUUAAUUCAAUUUUGCAAUUUUAACCAGACAUCCCUUCAUUAAAAAAGUACCACAUAUAUAUCCAACUGUUUAACCACAUUUAUCCUUUUUGUUAAUAUACUUAUUAUUGAAUUAAUAAAAUAAAAAUAUAAAAUUAUUUUUUUAAUUAAAAAAAAUACCACAUAACUUAAAAAACAAUUCAAGACCCAAAUUUAAUCCGUCUAGACUCGAACCAAAUGAAAAAAAUAAUCCCAAACCCUCUUCUACUCAAUUGUAAAUAAAAUGAUUUUGAGUCGGAUCCGAAUAAAAGAUGAUUUUUUAAUUGGCUAGAGUUUGGAUGAGUAAAAAAAAUAGGUAAGGAAUUUUUUUAAAGAUACAUAACAUCUGAAAUUAAAAAUAAAUAAUUUUAGAAUUUCUUUGAUUCAGUCUAUUAAUUAAAAGGGUAAAUACACAUCAUUUGUUAGACGAUGAAGAUAUACAUGCACCGUUUAUUAAAUAUUGAGAAUAUAUAUACAAACAUUAUUUCUUUAAUGAUGAGUAUAUCUGCUUUAAAGACAAAAGAAUAUUUCCUCGCUAUAUUUUAUAGUGGAGUUUCAUUAAUGACAAUAAUUUACAAAUAAUCAAAAUACACUUAUUAAUAAUAAGAGUAUAAAUGGUCUAAAAAUAUAAUAAAUGAUAAAAUGAAAGAAUUUUGAAAGAAACAAAAAUAAUUUAUUUUCCUCAAUAAUAUAAUAUUUUUAAUUUCUUGUAUAAUAGAAUUUAAUCAUAUAACAUGGAACCAAAAAAAAGUUUUUUGAUAUAGUAUUGUUGUUCAAAUUAAUCACAAUUUGUAAUUUAAUUAGAUUGACAUAAAUAGACUAUAGAUUAUUACUGCCAAAAAUAGAGCAUAUGAUAAAUUAUUAUUGAUAUAAAAAUAGACUAUAGAUUAUUACAACCAAAAAUAGAGCAUAGGAUAAAUUAAGGAAUAAAUUAAUUUAGUCAUAUUUACACAAAAACUCAAAAAAUUCAUUUAUUGGGACGAAUAAAACAAUUAACAAAUAUAUAUAAUGUAUAUGUAGAGAAUCUCUCAGUACAUAUUUUAGUUCUUCACGCCCUCGGCAUUGCUGUUUGAGACUUUCAGGAUUCUCUUUGAGAAGAAAGACAAAAUGGAGGAGGAGAAGCAAGAAAACCCUUUGAAGAGAAACUUUGAAGCUUUUAGUAGUGAAGCUGAACAGAUGGAUGUAGAGAAGAAGAAGAAGAUAGAGGAGUUUAUACCCAGAGAGUAAGCAAAACUAUUUGGUUCUUAAUUUUUUGUUUUGUGCUAAAACAUGUAGUUGAAAUUGCAUGUUGGGGGUUUUUGUUUUCAGGUAUCAGUUGAAGGUGUUUAAAGUGGCUAUGAGAAGGAACACCAUUGCUGUACUGGAUACAGGGGCUGGGAAGACUAAUAUAGCAGUGAUGAUGAUUAGAGAAAUUGGGAAAACGUUGAGGAAUGAUGAUGAGAAGAAGUUGAUUGUGUUCUUGGCACCAACUGUUCAUCUUGUUCAUCAGGUAUGUAUCUUUUUUCUAAAAGAAUUUUGGUUGAUGAAUAAGAGAAUGUGGUUCAGAAACUCUUGAUUAUGGAGGAUUGGUAUAUGUAAUGAGUGCCCUUUCCCCCCUUUUUCUCAAAAAGGAAAAGAAAAGAAAUCCAAUUAAGCUUGAUCAAUUUACUGUUUUCCUGUAUAUGACAUACUUCCUUAAUUUUGAUGGUUUGGAAAAAACAUAAAUAAAUCAGUACCUAAAAAUAAAUCUAGUCAAAGGGAGUAAACACAUGAAGCUCCCAUAUACCUAAAAAGUAAUUUUAACCAUGUAUAAUUAGUAUAGUUUUCUGCUGAAGGGGGUUCGGAUGAAACCUGGAUUAGGUAAAGUUCAGUUCUUUCUCUGGUCAAGUAAUACUCAAAUGUUUUUCUCUUCGUCAAGCAAUACUAAAUCUCAUAGGUAUUUUUUCAAGCAUCCCUUUCACUUACACUGUACAGUUAAUGUGCAUUUGUAUUGCAGACAGUCUCUGUUGUUGUUGGAUAGUUUUUUUUUCUUUUUUACUUCUAUUAUCUAAUAGCAGUUACUUUGAUUUCUGCCUAGAAUCAUCAAAAAGUUGUUUUUUUAUUUUGAUGAUGUAAGAUGUUGUAUUAAAAAGGCAUCAAGGAGAUGCAAAUUACAUACACAAAAACAUGAUUAACUCAUGAGAACAAAAACACCAAUCUAAUCAGGGAGUUAGCCACAAGCAAAAGAAUGGUCGCUAAGCCAUAUUGAGGGAGCUAAUGAAAUCUAAGAGGGGUAAUAUAUAAUUUACAGGGUAUAAAUUGAUCCAAUGGAAAGGGUUAGUAAGGCAAAGGGAUUUCAAACUGCUAAUUGGAGUAGAGACACCAUCAAAACAUUUGAGAUUCCUUUCCUUCCAAAUACACCAAAAAAUGCAUGAUGGAAUCGUCUGCCAGGUCUUCUUGAUGGGGCUAUCAACUUCUCUAAGACUCCAACUUCCAACUACUUCUUUGACACUCUGUGGGAGAAUCCAGUUGAUACUAGCAAUUGAAAUGAACAAUCCAGCUGAAGUUUCCUCCUAUUUAGAUUGUCCAAGGUUAGGAUAGCAUUCCUGAGGGUAGUCCAGGUGAAACACUUGAUUUCAGGGGGUUAUUUAGUCUUCAAAUCAGUUUCCAUGGCCUCUGGUCUAUCAUGUCAUUUGAAGAGCACAACUUGUGGUAUCCUUCCUUCACUGUAUAUAUUCCUUUUUCAGAGUUGCCCCAUUUUAAGCGAUCAGGCAAGUGAGAGGUCAUUGAGGCUCCUUCUAGAGUUCUGAAAAUAUCAAAGAGCUCAUUAAGCUCCCAGUCCCGAAAAUUCCUUCUAAAGCGAGGUGCCCAUAUUCCACCUUCUCUGUUUUGAGCCACUGAAGAGUCUGUAUCAGAGGCUAUUGAGUAAAUAACAGGGUGGGAGACAUUGAGAGAUUGAUUGUUAAGCCAUCUAUCUUUCCAAAAUUUAACUGAGUUACCAUUUCCGAUCCUGAAGGACACCUCUUGGAAGAAUUCCUCCCUUAGCUUGUUAAUGUACUUCCAAGGUCCAACUCCAUAAGGGUCAUUAUUCUGCUUGGUAACUUUUUGUUACUGCGUAUGUAUUUUCACUCCUCAGCUUGAGGAGUCCAGGUAAGAAUUGAGGAGUGGAUUUCCAAAAAUAAAAAUAAAAAUAAUGACUCUGUUUAUUUUUCUUAGCAAGCAUGUCUCUUAAUGGAGUUCUUUUAAAUGUUGACCUGUUUUGCCUUGAACCUUACAAAUUUUUCUUUCUUUCCUUUUUCUUGAACCUGUAUGUGAAAUAUCAUAACAAUUGCUUUAUUAAUGACUAAUAAAAAAGGUUCAAUUAGUAAAGAAUUUUCUCCAAUUUUACCAGCUAAUAGUGUAAGACCUUAAUUUAAUAUUGACAAUCUGCACGUUGGCCAAAUUGAACAACUGUCAGCUUAGUUGAAUCGAAAUGGUAUGUUGUAAACAAAACAUGCUAACCAUGGAAGGAAUGGCUGGAAUGCAAUCACAUUGAUGUCUACUUUGCUAAAAUGUCUCUAGAUAAGCAUGACCCUUCACUGUCUUUAUCUCAUAAUUAUUAGUGUUACUGCUAUUAUUUUUUUUGUUUAUCCAAUAACCAAGAAAUCCUUUAGGGCUAGUGGCGUACAGUGCAAAACUCAGUGGAUAAUGUGCCUGCCCCUCCGUUGUCUUUAUCUCCUUUUUGAGAAAUGACUUCAUUAAACCAUGUUCAUAUAUUGGAGUAUGAAUGUAUGAUACUUUUAGUAAAAGAAGGAAUAUAUACAUUUGAUAACCGUGGUGUCUGGGCCAGCUUGCAUGCACCUCGACUAGUUUCACGGGAUACCCGCCACCUCCCACCAGGUACCUGAUAAUUCUGUCCACCAAGGGCAGGACAGAUGGGAAGAAAUCACCUAGUGUUUUUGUCUCUAUUGUGAUUUGAACCUGAGGCCUCAUGGUUCUCACCCACUUUAUUGAGGUGACAACCCCAAUCAUGAAGCAGCGGGAUUGAUGUAUUCCUAGUUCCUAUAGACUCACACAAAUAGAAGUCUCUAAAAGAUAUGAAAGGAGAGAAAAAGAAAAUAGUAAUCGAAUUUGUCUUCCAAGGAAAAGUACUUGAUUCCGAACAAUGCCAGGAUGUUACUGUAGGUAACCCUAAUUUGUCUGACCCAUAUCCAGUUUGCCAGCAAACUUGGAACAAGCAAUUUGUUUGUUUCCAAUUCAAGAACUCAAAACUUUUAGAGCUUCCACUGUGCUGUAUUCAUUAAACUCCUAAAUGAGCAUGCCUUUUCCCAAAAUUAUAACCUUUAGAGGGGUUUUGAGCACUAAAUGAUUUGCAUCAACUUAAAGUUUGAGUUUGAGCUGUAUCAGUUUGGUACUUUGGAAUGUGUUCAAUUGUUGAUGAUGCUAAUCCUUGUUUAUUUACAACAUUAUUGCAGCAAUAUGAGGUUAUACAACAUCAUACACACCUUGCUGUUCAAGAAUACUAUGGGGCCAAAGGAGUUGAUGAAUGGAAUGCAGAAUCCUGGAAAAAAGAAACUGAUGAUAAUGAUGUAAGUGGUUCCCCUUUUCUUGGUUUUCUGUACUAAAGGUGUUUGUGCUGAAAUAAUUGUAUGAUAAUCGAUAUGUGCCAAGCAAAGUUAACUUUUACAAUCUCAAGAUGACUAGCUCAUCUGUGGUUCUGUAGUCAAGAUAUUAUCAUUUGACAAAUAGUCAUGUGUAAGAAUCAAAGAGCUUCCGUUGAUCAUUGAAGUAAAUCCCUUAAACAGGUUAAGUUACACUAUGCAUAAAUCUUCAUUUUCUUGAUUCAAAUAUUUAUAUGUAAAAGUUAUUUAUUUCCCUUAUUGAGGUUAUGGGCACUGCAGUAACUUGUUGAUGAAUGACAAAAAAAUGAUUUUAUGAUUGUAGUGCUUAGAUUUCUUGGUCUACACAAGAACAUAUUUAACUCGAACACUCUGUGCCUAGCAUGCCGCUUUCUGGUUGUAGAUUCUGAUAUCUAUGAUUAAUAUUUUAAAUUUAGUGCCACACUCAAUGUUCUCUGCGUGUUACUUGUCAUCUUAGUCUGAUGGAAAGUCUAUUUAAGCCAAAUUCGCUGAUCAGGUCUGAGCCGCAUAGAAUUUCAGACUAGUCUGACCAAUUUCUUUGCUGAUCACAUGAAAAAAAUGUUCAUGUGAUCGAUCUUGGCUACCAGAAAUUAGAUAUUUGUUUAGUAGUCAAUCUUAGUUAGCAAAAAUGUGCAUGCCUGAUUGUACGAGAUUACACAAGUCUUCUGUUUCCUCUCAUUUAGAUUAUUUGUGUCUGGCACACAUUCUUUCUCUUAUUAUCCAUAAAAGCAACUUUGUUGGUCUCUUAAGUGGGUUGGGUUAGAAUGAAACAACAUUUUAUGUGCUUGGAGGAGAUAAAAUUUGGGGUGAGAGUGAUCCUAUUUCUAAGUCUGCAUCCAACUAGAAAUUUGUAGACCCUAUCAGAUCCAACAUUGGACUCGGUCAUACUACUUUGACUUGAAACCUCUGUGAUCUUUUUCUUUAUGUUGACUUCUUCUUGAGCAAGGCUACCCAUGCUUUUUAAAGUAAUUUAUGGAUGGGUUUUAAAUAUUAAUUGGUAUGCAUUUACUAUAGGUUUUGGUUAUGACACCCCAAAUUUUCUUGGAUGCACUGAGAAAGGGUUACAUAAAAUUUGAUACAGUGUGCUUUCUGAUACUAGACGAGUGCCAUCGCGCCAGUGGUAACCAUCCCUAUGCUAGGAUUAUGAAGGUAAGCCUCACUUCUUUCAUGUGACUUUUCCUUAUUUCCCUUCUCAAACUUUUCUCAUCUUAUUGUCAUCCUGUUGGACAUGCUCCCGUGCACUCUCUAUAAUCAACAAAGGAAUUCUAUCAUCUAUCCAGAAAAAGAUCGAAGAUUUUUGGGAUGACUGCUUCCCCUGUGAUUAGAAAAGGUAACUUUUGGCCUUCCUCGUGCUCUGCCUACUUCUCUUUUCCCAAAUCACUCACACAUCAAUAAAUAAAUAACUUAAACAUGGAUAAAGGUGUUUCAAGGCAAAAUAAAUUCUAUAAUGCUUAUGACGAAAAGGGUACAGUAACCCCCCUCCCCCCAAUCAUUUCUUCUUUCCUGCGAUCUAGACCUGUGGAAUUCAGUGUUUUCUUUAAUUAUCAAUGUGUCACAUGAUGGCUCUAGUGACAAAUAUUUAUGUUUCUGGUGACUGGAGUUAACUGAAAAGAUAUAGAAGAGAUCUUUGUUCUUCCUUUGCUCACCAUUUUCUAGUUUGAUACUCCCUCCGUUUCAAAAAGAAUGGCCUCAUUUCUUUAUAGUCUGUUUAAAAAAGAAUGACCCCUUUCCUUUUUUGGCAACACUUUAACUUCAACUUUCCACAUGACAUGUUUAAGAUCACAAGUUUAAAGGGCAUUUUGGUACAUUUGACAUAACUUUAAUUUAGAACCACAAGAUUAAAAAGUUUUCUUUCUUUUCUUAAACGCCGUUCCAAGUCAAACUAGGACAUUCUUUUUGAAACGGAGGGAGUACAAUUUUUCUUAUGUGUAUCAAUGUAAAUGUUGCAGAAGUGAAAUUAGAUGCUUGAGAUCCCUAUUUUUUUUUGUCCAAGUGCAGUAGAGUGGAAGAGUUUUGCUGUUCUUAACCACUUCUUACAUGCCAUAGGCCCAUAGCUCUUGCUACUUUGCCAUCUAUUCGUUCUUCACUUUCCCAUUAGUUUUUGCGUUUUUACUGUGUCUUUUAUUGUUAGAAUAGGAGUAGGAUCAAGAAUAAUAUAUAUAAUCCUACCUGGAAAAAGAUUGUAAUGUAGUGUCUUAGUUGGAAAAGGAGUCUAAUGUAGUGUCUAUAAAUAGGGUCUCAAUGUUAUAAUGUAGAGAUACAAUUCAAUAAUAUUCUUCUCCAAUAUUUCUCACAUUCAUUAUAGAAGAAUUCGUUGCCUUUCCUAUGCCAUCUGUUGAUAAAUUCUUCGUUUUACUAUAUUUAUUCUCUUAUUUUUGUUUUUUCUUCCAUGAAAAAUCAAAAGAAAAAUUGCCUACUGAAAUUAUACACAUGUCUGCACGUGUGCAUACUUGCAUCAACUUGUAGUGGGAUGUAGUCAGUUCUCAAUUUUAUUGAGGAGCUGACUAAAGAUCUUGUUGGUGGUUGCUUCUGUUUGUUAUAUUUAUAUUGAAUUAAAAAAUUUCUUAUUAUUUAAGCUAAUAAAAGAAACCCUUGAAUCACUUGGUAUAUAUACCCGAGUCUUUGACUUCCACUUAGUUAUUCUCUGAGCUUGCUUGAGCCACGAUUUCUAUCAAACUUUGUGAGGUUCUUCAGGAUGUAUUCCUCUUCAAAGGAUUGGACUGCUAACGUUUCGUCCAAAGCCUGUGAUGAGUGUGUAUAAAAGGUCUUAUUUACUUACAUGAUUGAUGUGAUAUAUUUGCUUCAUAGAUAAAUAAUUAUUGUUGUUUGUCUAAUCUACUUAUCCUUGAUUACAUUUAUCAAAGUUUAUGAUUUGUCUGCAUGAUACCUGUAAAAAUGUAUGUGUUUUUUUGGAUAAACUAAUUUAAACAUGUAAAGAUAAAUGAUAAACCUGUAUGUCAUAUAUAAUAGACACGAUGUAAAAUAUCUUAUGUCAUACCAUAGUUUAACUAGUAGUAAAAUAUUUUGUGAAGUAGGUAAUGUUACAUGCUAAUUCCUACAUGAUAUUCCAUUUGUAACAAGUGCACAGGUAUAAUUUGCAAUCAUUUAACUUUUCACAGUAAAUAUUAUAAGAAUGAAAAGAGAAUAGUGACAUUAGACAUCAAGACUCGUGGGGAUGCCAUUUUGAAUUAGUGAAUUUGGUGAGAAGUACGAUACAUCUUGAAAAAGGUUGCAUCUGCUAAGACAAAGUACUUAUGUGUAGUAGGAUCAUAACAGUUGUUAUCCUUUUGGGACGAGAGUACCCAAAAAGAUAUAUUUGAUGAACUUUGUUGAAGUUUGUCAUUUUUGGUUCAAGAUCUUGGACAUAUUAAGUAUACCCAAACACUCAUGGAGAUAGAGGAAACCAAGGUUGAUCCUGAUAGAAUAUAGAGCAAGGACUCUUGCUUUAAUAGAAGAAGACAUGUGAUUGACUAGCUAACAAACUGUGAGAAUGACAUCAGCCAAGGGCGAAGCUCAACAUGAGCGUUAAUCAUUAAUGUUCGAGAAGUCUCGAUCACAUGCCUAUUUUAUGUUUAGCAACUCCAUGUUGAUGAGGAGUAUAUGCACAAGAUGAUAUACGUAGAGUAACUUGUGGAGGCAUAAGGGAAGAGAUAGGUGAAGAAAAAUAUUCUUGUGGAUUGUCACUGGUUAGUUUCGUUAUAGAAACACUAGGCUGGUUACAAAUUUCAACACAAAAGACUUAAAAGAUAGAAAACAACUCAGUUCUAUUUUAUUUUUUUGAUAACCGUGGUGUCUGGGCCAGCUUGCGCGCACCUAGUGCGCUAAGAGUAUUCGUUAUCAAAAGCGACAAUACUGAAAAUUUGAAGUAGACUGACACGGCUUGGAUCCCAUAUAUCUGAAUGGACAAUAAUGGAGAUACAAUCCUAUUGUUAAUUUAUUUCAGAAAAGAGUUGUGAGUGUUUCCCAAGCUGACAUGAUUUAUACUCUAAUGAAGACAAACGAGAAAGACCGUUGGAUGUCCUCAACAAUUAUGAAGAAUAUCAUGAGAGGUAGCAUAACUAAAAGUGAUAGGUGUGUUCUGAUUGGAUAAUUGGUACAAGCUGUGUGACUUAUGCCUUAUUCUAAUCAUCUAUUUGGCAUUCCUCGUCCUACACUAUAAUAGAGUAAUCCAAAAAAGUAACAACAUAAUUAAGGUUUACGGUCAGUUUAAUAUGGUUAUAAGAUUAUGUGGACAUUCUAGCACAAAAGAACUGAGGUUAAAGACAAUUAAUGAUAGGGUGGGCUCCAUUUAUCACUUUUACUAUUGUUUUGGAUUCAUUAGUUUUAUACAAUCCUAUUAGAAUAGGAUUAGGUUUAUACAAUUCUAUUAGAGUAGGAAUAGGAAUAGAAAUAGAAAUAGGAAUACUAAAUAGUAUCCUACUUGGUAAAGGAUUGUAUUGUAGUGUCUAUAAAUAGGGUCUCAAUGUAAUAAUGUAGAAACGACAACAAUUCAAUAAUAUUCUUCACUUAUAUUUCUCACAUGGUAUCAGAGCCUCUACGAUCUUGGUAAACAAUCAAAGAGCUUCCACUGUCAACGGGAGGCUAUUAUCCAUAUAUGCCGCCCGUCCGGCUAAUGAUUAUGUUAGCAAAAGUUGGGUCACCAUGCAUCAUUCUAGUGACUACUUUCUUAUAUCUAAUUUGUGUAGCACCGUGCAAUCAUUCUGGUGACUACUUUAUCAUAUUUAAUUUGUGUAGCACCGUGCCAUCAUUCCGGCGACUACUUUUUCAUAUUUAAUUUGUGUAGCACCGUGCCAUCAUUCCGGCGACUACUUUUUCAUAUUUAAUUUGUGUAGCACCGUGCCAUCAUUCCGGCGACUACUUUUUCAUAUUUAAUUUGUGUAGCACCGUGCCAUCAUUCCGGCGACUACUUUUUCAUAUUUAAUUUGUGUAGCACCGUGCCAUCAUUCCGGUGACUACUUUCUUAUAUCUAAUUUGUGUAGCACCGUGCCAUCAUUCCGGUGCAGUGAUUCCUCAGAUUUGAUUUGCAUAGUUCCAUUCGUCUUUCCGGUGAGGAGGUAGGGUUGUGCCAUCAUUCCAACCCUACCCGUAUAUUUUUUCUUUUUCAGUAGGGUCGUGCCAUCAUUCCGACCCUACCCAUAUUAUUUCUCAUUUUCAAUAGGGUCAUUCCAUCAAUUCGAACUAUCCUAUAUAAUUUCUAUUUUCUAGUUGGGUCUUGACAUCAUUCUGACCCUACCCAUUUUAUUUCAUAGAUUGUAACCACUUUUAGCCAUCAAAUCUAAUACUCCGGCAUAUGAGCAUGUUCCAAACAAUUUUUCGAUGACUUGUUUAAUAUCGACUUGUCUAUUGAUUCCAACAUGAUCCAUAUACUUUACACUAGAUUUUGAGCACUUACAACGACUGCUGCAUUAUGAAGAAGUCUAUAUGGAGCAACCACCUAAUUUUGUUGCUUAGGGGGAGUUUAGUAGCCUUGUAUGUUGAUUACGUAAGUCACUCUAUGGUUUGAAAUAGUCUUUGCAAGCUUGGUUUGGGAAGUUCUAACACUGUAAUUUUAUCACUCUGUGUUUUAUCGGCAUUAUGCGUCGAAUUCAGUAUUUCAUGAGAAGACCAAGCACAUUGAGAUUGAUUGUCAAUUUUGUGAAGUCGGUUGAUCAACUUGCAGAUAUCUCACCAAGCCCCUCAUCGGUCCUUCUGUUAAUUACAUUUGUAACAAGCUAGGUACAUGAAUUGUAUGCACUAGCUUGAGGGGAGUGUUAGAAUAGGAAUAGGUUUAUACAAUUCUAUUAGAAUAGGAUUAGGUUUAUACAAUUCUAUUAGAGUAGAAAUAGGAAUAGAAAUAGAAAUAGGAAUACUAAAUAGUAUCCUACUUGGUAAAGGAUUGUAUUGUAGUGUCUAUAAAUAGGGUCUCAAUGUAAUAAUGUAGAAACGACAACAAUUCAAUAAUAUUCUUCACUUAUAUUUCUCACAAGUUAGGGUGUCAGUAGAAGACACUGUAGAGGGUUUAAUAGCAUGAAAAAGAUUUUAGUUACUAAAAAUUUGAUUAGAAGCACCAGAAUCAAGAAACCAACUACCAAAGGAAGAAGAUUGUGUGACAGGCAAACAAGUUACACCAGGUUAGGCUGUGCAAGUGGAUAAUUGGUGUUUUGCAAUUUGAUACCGAAAAUAGUCCUCAUCAUCAACUCUCGCGGGGAUAAACUAUUGAAUGAAGAAAAGGACAAAGGCAUUAUGCUGGGAGAGUUAGAGCACUUUGUGAGACGAUUAGAUUUUGGGUAUUACAAGUGUAUAAAGGUUGGCGAGCUUAAAGGUGCUAUUCGUAGGAUGAGCAAGGGAUGAGUGACAAGGUCCGAUGGAGUUCUGGAAGAGCAUAGGCAGUGCAGGCUUGGAGUGGCUUAUUGGGGUUGUUAAAUAUCAUUUUUAGGACAACAAAGAUGCUCGAAAAAUGGAGGUAGAGUGAUGAUUUCAUUGUCCGCGAACAAAGAGGAUAUUCAAAAUUGCAACAACUAUAGGGGUAUCAAGCUGGUGAACCUCAUUGUGAAAGUGUAGGAGAGGAUGUUGGAGAUGAGAUUGAGAAGGGAAGUGUCUAUUUUCGGGAACCAUGUCAGAUUCAUGCCGGGGCGAUCUACCAUAGAAUCUAUCCGCCUUGUAAGGAGACUGGUGGAGUAGUAUGGGGGAGUGGAAGAGUGUUUUACGUAUGGUGUUCAUUGAUCUAGAGAAGGCUUAUGACCAAGUCACAAGGGAAGUUUUUUGGAGAUGCUUCGAGGCUAGAGACUCGGAGCACUUGCCGGUCAUAAUGGGGUUGCACCAAGGAUCAGUUCUUAGUUCGUUUCUUUUUGGAUUGGCUAGUGGUUAUAGAUGAACUGACGCGACAUAUCCAAGGUAAGGUUCCAUGGUGUAUGUUAUUUGAAGAUGAUAUAGUGCUGAUUGUCGAGACUCACGUCAGGGUUAACAAUAGGGUGGAGAUUUAGAGACGAGUCUAAAGGGUUUAGGCUGAGCAAAAUCAAGACUAAAUACUUAAGAGUGUUAAGUUCAGUGAUGCUAAACAUGAGGUCAGCGUGGAAGUGAGGCUUGAUGCUAGUUUGCUUUGCUUUUUUGUGUUCACUCGCAGGGUUCUAGUUAGGUGAAUUCUUUGCAUCUAUCAAUCAAAUGAAUGCUAAAAUUUUCUCACCAAUGAUUUGACUAAACAAAGGAUUUGGUGAUUAGUAGCUUGUUCAACAAGAGCAAUUUGAUCUUAUUGGCUUGCUUGGGAAUUGCUUCCGCUGAAAGGCAAGAAAAUGCGUCUCCAACAACAUGACAUGAUCAACCAAUUCUAUGUUUCCAAUUCUUUAUUCUAUAAGCCUCCAACAACAUGACAUGAUCAACCAAAUGUGGAGUCACCAAGGGUGGAAUCUAAUCUUUAGAAGAGCUCUCUAUGAAGGGGAAGUAGAGAGUUUCGUCACAAUGCUUCAGAUAUUGGGAACUUUUGGUGGUGCACAGAUUACUGACAGGCUCAAGUGGAAACUUAACAGUAAAGAGGCCUUCUUAGUAAAAUCAAUGUACUGGCAGUUGAAUCAAAGAGGUCCUGUAUAGGAGAAUUGGUCUUGGAAACAAGUCUGGAAAGUGAAUAUCCCUAUGAAGGUGUCAUUCUCUGUCUGGUUGGUGAUUAGGAAAGCUUGCCUAACUCAAGAUAAGUUACAAAGAAGAGGUCUUCAAAUUUGUUCAAGAUGUCUUUUGUGUGAACAUGAGAGUGAAAACAAUGAACACUUAUUCUUACACUGUAGGAUAACUAUAAAUCUGUGGCACAUGUGCCUGCCUUUGUAUUUUGGGAAUAACUUGGUAAUACCUAGUUCUACUUUGGAAAUGCUGAACAAUUGGUGGAGUAUUGGGAAUAGAGGUGGGGAGGAGGACUAGUGGAAGAUCAUUCCUGCUUGCAUUUGGUGGACAGUGUGGAAGGAAAGGAAUGGUAGACAUUUUUAAGACACUAGUAGUUCUAUCGAGAAAAUUAGGAUGAAUUGUCUUAGCUUGUUCUUUUUUUGGUGUAAACAGAAUAUGUGGGGGGAAGUAGGAGAGUUUGUAUCUAAAGUUGGCAAUAUAAAUUGUGUAGGGUUUUGGGCAGAGGUUUAAGCACCUUUUUGAUACUUGUAAAGUUUCCAACUUAGCACCUUUUUCUGAGGUUGCUAAGUUUUCAUUGCAUAUAAUUGUUACUUGUCUAAAAAAGAAGGGUAAGAAAAUGCGCUCGAGCAGAAGGACUCAUUCUUGGUGAUUCGGGAAGAUUGAAGAGCAGUCCGAGUGUCACCCCAACAAACUAGACGCACGCAUCAAGGCAUUUUGCCAACGAGCGAAGGUGAUCGCUCAAGAAAGGCAGGCUGCCUUCCUACAUCUGCGGGCCGGCAGGCCAUACCUUGGGGGGUCGAGGGUUACUAUCUGUACUUUGCUCAGGUCAUCGCUAAGAGAGGUUAUUUUAAGUAUCUGUGGUCUUUAGUUCAAGGUAAUGAGGAGAUCGACGAUGACUUUACAUGUCGUAUUGGUGCGAGAUGGGUGAAAUGGAGGCUCACCUCUAGAGUCUUGUAUGAUAAGAAGGUACCGCCAAAACUUAAAGGUAAAUUCUACAUAGUGGUGGUUAGAUAAGCUAUAUUGUAUGAGAUAGAGUGUUGGCCAGUCAAGAAUUCACAUGUUCAGAAGAUAAAUGUUGCAGAGAUGAGAAUGUUGAGGUGGAUGUGUGUGCAUACUAAGAGAGAUAAAAUUAGGAAUGGAGAUAUUAGGGAGAUGUUGGGAGUGGUUUUCACAGUGGAUAAGAUGAGGGAAGCGAGAUUGAGAUGGUUUGGCCAUGUGAAAAGAAGAUGUAUAGAUGCCUCGUUGGUGAGAGAGGUUGGCAGUGAUGAGCAUCAGGAUAGAUAGAGGCAAGCCGAAGUAGUAUUGAAGGAGGUGAUUAGACUAGAUAUGACACAUCUUAAGCUUACUGAGGACAUGACCUUAGAUAGGAGAGUCUAGAGGCGCAAAGUAGGGUAGUAGGUUAGUUGGUACUUGAGCAUGCUCUCGGUUUCCUACGGGAUAGGAUUGAUGGUCGUACUUGGACCUUCUUUCUUACCAGUGGUAUUAGCAUUAUUCUCAUAGCUUCUUGUUUUUUGAUUUCGUUUAUCACCUGUGUUUUUUGUGCUUCGGUUAUCACAUUAUUUUGUUGUCAUUGCUGUUCUUUCCUCGGUGUAUGUUGUGUAUUGCUUUCAUUUCACAUUAUUUCGUUGUGUUUACAGCUGUCAUUUUUGUAUUUCCUUUUUCAAACGGCUUGGAAAUGCUUAAUUUUAAGCUGAGGGUCUAUAAGAAAAGCUAGGGAUAAGGUCUGUGUACACUCUACCCUCCUCAGACCUUACUUGUGGGAUUACACGGGGUAUGUUGUUGUUGUUGUUAGAAGAAUAAGGAUGUAUACUAAGCUUGUUUUAAACUUGUAAAUAUGGCUUCUGUGAAGAUUUAUGUAGUGUUACCUUUCUUAAAAAAAAGAGAUACAAUGAUUUUAAAAAGACUAUCCGGGACCCAUUGUCAUUUAACUGGUUUAAGAGUUUCUUAUUUAAGAGUUUCUUAUACACAUUUUAGAGCUUUUGUAUUGACUUUUUCUUUCUCAAAAUUACUCACUUUCUUUUCCGUUGCUAUGCCUAGCUAAGUUGCUUGAACUCGGUGUGGGUGUCCGAUAUGGGUGCGGAUCUAGUGGUCGGAUCCUCUAUGACCUAAAUUUUAAGAUUCGGGGAUACGGAUCCAUGUCUGGAUACGGGUGCGGGGAUUUGGCAAAAUAUAGAGUUAUAAAACCUAAAUUAUGAGAUAUUAUGUAGAGAACUCGAGGAGAAAAUAAUGAUCAAGAGGAGAAUCUUGGAAGGAGAUAAAAGGAAAGGGAGUGACAAUAGAAAUUUAUAUAUACAAGGUUUUCCAUUUUCAUCAACUUCAAUUAAUAUAUAAAAGAAAAGUUUUGAUUAUAGAAAUCAUUAAAUCUGUCCAAAAUUUCUCCCUAAUUUGGUCAAAGUAUCCAAAACUGGUUGACCAACUAGGGUACGAAUCCCACAGCCACAGCCACAGCCACACCCACAUCCACACCCACACCCACACCCACACCCACACCCAUGUCGUGUCGACACGGGUGCGGCACCGAAAGUGAAGAGUCCGAGCAACUUAGAUUCCUAAGCUUUGGUUAGUCAUCCUUCCAAAUUUAUGCUAAUACUUUUUAUUUCAGUUGUCUUAGUUUAUUCUAAUGUGAUAUAUAUGGGUUUAGAUCUUUUGUGGAUUUACUAAGUAUACCCGCUCGAUUAGGUGUUUCAUCUUCAACAGAUUGCGAGGAGCAAAUAUCAGAACUUGAAAGUCUUCUUGAUUCCCAGGUAAUCUUCUGGCGAACCCUGUCACUUUAUUGCAGCUGAGUAAAUGGUCUCUUAAUUCUAGUUAGAGUAAUAGUUCCUAAUGUAUCAGUAUAUUUUCUUCUUGUAUAGGUAUAUACACUCGAGAACAGGGUGGAGCUGGAUGAAUUUGUUCCCUCUGCUAAGGAGACUUGCAAAUUCUAUGAUCCAAUAGUGUUUUCAAAUACAGAAUUAAAGGCAAAGUUGGAGUUUUCAUGGUCAAAGGUAAAAGCCCAUAUGCAGAUAUCAUAUCAAAUAGGACAGUGUAGGAUAUUGUUGUUAAAUAACUGAUAUGGCCCUUACAUUUUACUCUAUCUCCAUUUUGCUCUUAAUGCUUAUUUUUUUCUUUCAUAUCCCCAAUUCUUUAGAUUUUGAAAUCAAGGGCAACCUCUUUUCAUUGUUCACUAUGAACAAAAUAUUAUUUUGAGGGAGAAGUGAACGUUUAGAAAUGGGAAAGAAAAAUUGAGAGAAUGUGUAAAGACAAUUCUCUUACACCUAAAAGCAUUUAUGCACAUUUUACAAAAAUAUAUACAUCCAAUAGGAGACUUCACAUGUUAUUAUAUAUGUACAUUCUUAAUAGCUAACUGCUCUUCUCAAGUUGGUGCAUAUAGAUCGUAUGUACCUAACCCGUUAUAUAUAUAAUUAGUUCAUGACCAACAAGGAACUUGGUGAAUAUUUUGCAAGUUUGUCAUUUGACUAGGCAAACUUAGUGAUAGUGUAUCAUGGCAGUAAUUUUUCUUUGGUAAAAUGAUAGUCAAUUUCGACGUGCUUGGUCCUCUUAUAAAACACAAGAUCAAUGCAACAUGAAGCCCGACUCAGAACUUCAAGAAAAUUUGACCAAAAAAGGGAACACCCAGCUUCUGUCUCAAAGGAAAGACUCACAAGCUGGAACAGAGCUGGAAAACCUGUUGGAACUCGCUGAAAAAAUUGCCAGAAAACCUACCGAAAAAUUGAAAGUUAUCGGAACUUGAAGAAAAUUGUAUGGGUGAGCUUGGAAUCUCCCGACGACCCUGAUUGGGAAAAGGAUUGAUCGAAAAGGUGGCUGGUAACUGGUUCACGCGUCUGCCGCAUGCUGUAGAUCUCGCCGGAGAAGAUUGCUUCUGAUGGCAUGUGGGAGCGCGUGCAAGGGUUUCUGUCUGCGGGGUUUUGUGGGUUAUUGUUGCUAGGAGAGUGAGGGACCCCUUGGUGGUGUUGGUUUAGGUCCAAUACUGACAACAUGGAGUUGAUACAAAACAACCCAAGAAAGUUGCCAAAAUUUGACGCACAACGACUGUCUUGACUAAAUUUUCUUCCCUGAUGUUCCCCACAAACGCUCUGUUAUCAUUUUAUGAAUCUUGGGCCUAACUCAACUCAAAAUCUAGCUCACGGGGUGAGGAUUGCCAAAGAUCAUAUAAAGAGACCAAAUUAUCCUCAUCCUUCUGAUGUGGGACUCAACAAUCACAAAAAAACAGGGAGCAUUGUGGACACUUUACUUGACAUGUUACGGUAAAAGGAAAGACAAUGAAAAAAAACAUAAAGUUUUGCAAGUUGGGUUUAAUUUUUGGGAAGUUGUCUGUAGGUUUUAUCUUAACAUCUCUUGAUGGGGUCUUAUUGCAGACCUACUAGAUGGUUUUUGGUGCUUGAAGUUUACUGAAUGAUAAGGGUCCUCAAUGUCUUGAAGUUUUCAUGUGUUCCUUGCACAGUUCUUUCUAUGCUUUCGGUAGGUUUGGAUGGUGGUGUUUUCAAAGCUUAAAUGACAUCUUGUUUUGUUGAACUCCAGGAAUGUUAAGCUCAGGUCCAUAAACUUCAAACUUCUGUCUUACUUUUUCUCUUCUCGUUUACCGGAGUGAUGUAGUGAUGCCCUUGUUUAUGUACUUAGAUAUUGGUAAAGCUUGCUUACUUAGUAAUCUUGAGUGCUUUUCUGCAUUAUGUAGUACUUGUUGACACAGUUCCCCUUAUGAAUAAUGUGCUUCUUUGGAACGUGACGUGAUAGAAUGUUUAUCUAAACUCAAGCCCUUGUACUUAAUUCACCACAUUUUCAUGAACAGUUUGAUGCUGCAUUAGCUGAAUUGAAACUGUCACUGCCAAGUCAGUACAAAGAUAUAGAUGAUAUGUAUAAGAAGCUUCGGAAGAGAUUGUCCAAUUGUUAUGCAAAGAUAUUGUGUUGCCUUGAAAAUCUAGGCAUCAUUUGUGCUUAUGAGGUAUGAUUAAGGUUUCAUGAUCUGUUAUUUCUUUUCAUUUCUUGGUAAUUAUAUACAAAAUAAUUGAAGGGAAGGCGUGCAACUAGCUACACCUAUGGUGAGAUUACUUUCAUUUUCUGUUUCUAUUUAUUGAAGCAUACACAUUCAUGUUACACACAAAUAUAUAUAUGCAUAUGUUAAGAGUAAGAGACACUUAGGCCUCUCUUACAUGAAACAAUGAGAAGCACUUUAUUAGUCAGGGUUUGAAUCCAACUAAUAUUAAUUCAUCUACGUGGCGCUUUGAAUUGCAUUAUUUACAACUAAAAAAACUGGUAUACUUUUUUUUUUGAGAAAGGUAACAUUUACUUCUAUAUAUCCACAUGUAUACUACAUCAAAGUGUAGUUCCCUUCCAAAAAUUUAUACUUACAACAGCCCUAAGAUCUUCUAGUUACAGCUAGUCAAUAACAUUAGAAACAUCUUCAGAAUUUCCUAUCACUACUUGCUUACACCAAAAAUAAUAAAGACCUAGGCAGUUUGGUGUACUUUUGGUUAGCUGGUUCUAUCUAUUUUGAAGCUUGAACUUGCAGAUUGGAUUGGUCUCUGUCCAACUGAUCAUCUUCUCUGCCUGACGUAAGAGAGGAUGUCCAUUUCAUAAAAUAUGAUCUUACUACCUGUUACUUUACUGGACACUGUGAGAAAUAGAACAUGCAUCUAUAAUCAAGGCCACACAAUUUGAAUUCUCAAUAUCUAUGUGAUUGAUUCUAACUAUAUACACAAUAUCCUUAACACUCCCCCUUCAAGAUGGUGAUAUAAGUUGUAUGUACCAAGCUUAUUACAAAUGUAAUUAAUUCGAGAACCAGUAAGAGAUUUUGUGAAAUGUUUGCACACCGAUCAUUUGACUUCACGAAUUUGUGAGAAUGUCUCCUGAGAGUAUCUUUACUCUCACAAAGUGACAAUUGAUCACAAUGCUUAGUUUUCUCAUCAAACACGCAUCAAUGCAAUAUGAAGAGCAACUUGAUUAUUACGCACAAGUUCUGUCUCGUUAAUUUGUCCAAACUUCAAUUCUUUAAGCAUUGUUUUAUCCAAAAAGUUGCCACAUCCAUCAUUUGACUCUUUGCUUCUGCAUUAGAACGUGCAACAACAUUUUGUUUCUUGUGUUACCAAGACACCAGAUUACCUCCAACGAGAAUACAAUAUCUACAAGUAGACUGCCUAUCAAAAUGUGAUCCUGUCUAAUCUUCAUCUAUGUAUCCAAUAGUUUUCUCAUGGAUUCGAUCCUCAAAGACUAAUCCUUUCCCUGGGGAUAGUUUUAUGUAUCUAAGAAUACUUACUAAUGCAUCCUAAUCCUAUCACAUUGGGAGUUCAUAAACUGACUUACAACAUCACCGAAAAAGUAAUAUCAAGUCGAGUCACUGUAGGUAAAUUAACUUACCAACCAGGAGGGGGGACUCCCCCCCUGAUGCAUUCCGGUCCAUGGGGAUGGUAGUGGGUCUACAAUCUGUCAUUCCUGCCUCUUCAAGAAAGUUUAGAGCAUACUUGCGUUGUGAGAUGAAAUUUUUUGAUUUGGACUGAGCGAUCUCAUUGCCUAGGAAAUACUCCACUAUGCCUAAAGGCUUUGUUUGGAAGUGCUGAAAGAGAUGUUGCUUCAACUUAACUAUCAAGUCUGAUCAUUGUCUGUGAUAUUGUCAACAUAAACAAGCAAAUAGAUACACAAAUUUGGAGCAGUGUGUUGAUAGAACACAAAAUGUCAGCCUCACUUGGAGUCGUGUCAAAUUCCUGAAUAACCAUGAUGAACUUGCCAAACCAUGCUCAAGGAACCAUUUCAGACUAUAAAGACCAGCUCAAUCAUCAUUCAAGACCACUGCAAAAUCAGGUGGUUGCUUCAUAUAUUUUGUCAUCCUAAAAAUCAUAGCAGAGCAAAACAUUCUUGAGAAUCACAUUUCCUAGUAUGUAUAACAUCUCUUGUCAAAAGAAGAUGUCAGCCCAUCACUUAUGGAGUAUGCAAGGGGGAGAAGUUUGUUGGGGUUUGAGGUUUAGGAGGAAUGCACAAGACUUGGAGGUUAGAGAAUUUCAAAGGAUUGCUUCACCAACAAAAGUUUUUAUGGAUACUGUUAAUUUAUGAAGACGGGGGACCAGAAGAAGUGGUGAUUACUCAGUGAAUUCUUAUUAUGAGAAACUCCUAUCUAGGGAGGAAUCGACUUUUCCACACAGUUUGAUAUAGAACUCUAGGAUAUCCCUAAAAUUUAUUUCUUACUUGGUUAGCUGUGAGGGGGGUAAUCUUGGCGUUGGGAAAUUUAAGGAAGAGAAAGAUCACUUGUGUCAAUUGGUGUUUCAGGUGUAAAGAAUUUGGAGAAGACGUAAACCACCUUUUAUUACAUUGUCGGUUAGCCUCUUCUUUGUGGGGGGGAAUUCUGAGAUGGUUUGGAGUUGAGUGGGUGAUGCCGAGCACUGUGAAAGACUCAAUGUAAGUUGGGCCCUUAGAAGACCGAAGAGAAGAAGCAGAAAAUGGGAUGUUGCUCCCUUGGCACUGAUGUGACUGUAUUGAGAGAGAGAGAGGAAGAGGAAUAGGGGAGCUUUUGAGGUCGUAGGAAAUGUUCUGCUAAUCUGAAAAAAAAUCUAUUUGCUCUUAUUUCUUUUUGAUGCACCCAUGAAGUUCCUAUAGGUAUAGAGGAUUGGGUGGCUUUUGUAGAAAACCAUGUUUAGCUGUGAGGUUCUCUAUUUCUUUGUGUACUUCUUGUAUACAAGCACUUUUUAUCCCCUAUUAAUAUGAAUAUUAUUACUUGAUAAAAAAAAAAGAAAAAUAUUCUUGAUGUCCAACUAAUAAAAAGGCCAAUGACGAACAACCAUGGAUAGAAAAGGCAGACAAAUGCAAUUUUAGCCACAGGAAGGAAUGUAUCACUGUAAUCAAGCCAAAAGGUUUGAGUAUAACCCUUGGCCACAAGAAAUGCCUUAAGUCAUUCAAUUUUACCAUCCGGCCAACUUUGACUGCAUACACCCACUAACAACAUAUAGACCUUAUGGAAGGAGCAAAUUAGUAGUAUUUUUGAAGGAUUUAUUGUUUGAAUUUUGGUGUAACUAUGUGAAUAUCGAAGGAGUAGGUAGCUUCAUAUAUUCUGAGGUCCUUGGAACCAUAGCCACUUGUGCAUAUACGCAGCACUAGCUUAGUGCUCAUCUGUGACUAAAAUUUACUUAUUCAAAAGGAAAGAAUUCCUUUUUAUGGCUAAACACGUAAUCUUCAUUUCAAAAGGAAAGAAGGAUUUUUUUUCCUUUCAAAUUGUGCUCGAUUGACCUUUUUACAUCUUCUCUUGUUUGCGUGAAAAACACUUUAUUCCUGUAAGUCUGUCGGGUAUGGUUUCUGCAAAGAGUUAAUUCAUGGAAUCCCAGCUCAAAAUCUGCCUUUUCAUUUACUAAUUAAAAAAACAGAAGUUGGUGUUUUUGAUUUUUUCAUCUUGACUUCUAUCAAUGAGCAUCCUUGUUUCUCUUACCAUCAUUUAUCACUAAUAUCUUCUUCUGUCCAAAAGCAGAAGUGGAGUUCUCUUCAUAGAAAGUUUAGGAAAACUAUUGGACUCUUUAUAUUCCAAAGUAGCAAAUCAUAGUAAGUAAUUAGGAAAGCCUAAAAGAGUUAAGUCUUCACCAAAAUCAUACGGAAGGUGUUCUUUUUCUCCGAUUAAUGUACUUGAAAUCUUUUUCACUGUUGCACGAAUGUGCUUGCUUGGGCUCCAUUCAAUUGAUGAACUCAGCAUCCCUGUGUUUUGUGGCUACCUAUGGAACAUUUAAUUGGUUCUAAGCUUGGGUCUAUUCCGGACUAUCAGAACUUAUAUUCUAAGCUGUGGGUAUCUCUUCCAAUUUCUAUGUUUUCUUCAACAGUUCUGCAUAUCAUGUCUGACACUCUUUUUAGAUCUAUCUAAUAUUAUGUUGGAAUUUCUUAUUUCUGGCUGUUUCUCCCCCUCAUAAUAUAGGCUGUUAAAAUCUGCUUGGAAAAUGUGCCUAAUGACAAAGAUGAAAAUGAGAUUCUAAGGACAAGUUCUCUACAACAUAGAUACUUUUUGGAGGAGGCAUUGUCAAUUGUGCAGGAAUCAAUGCCACAAGGUACCUGAGUUUGUUCUAUGUAUUGCUUAUGCAGAUAUGUGACCAUUGCUGACCUGUUUGUUGUUAUCUUUAUCAAUUUUAUUUUGAUGUUUCAUUUUUGGGUUCUCCAAUUGCAAAUCUACAUAUUUGAUCAUCCGGCUAGUGGAUCUUGAGUUACCAUUCUUUUUGGUGAAGGUUUGUUGCGGUGAGUGAGGGGUUGCCAUACUUCUCGUCAAGAAUCUUUUUCUUUUUAUUUCAAGUCGGUUUACUGAGGACAUGCUCCUAGAUUGGAGGGUAUGGAGGUGGGGUAUUGGGGUAGAAGGCUUGUAGGCAGUCGGCAUUGGCUGGUUUUCCUUACCAGUUGUAUUAUUACUAUUCUUCUAUUAUCUCUGCAAUUUUAUUACCACUUGUUGUUUCCUUUGGCUUUGGUUUUAUCGUAGUAUUGUGUUGUCAUUGUUCUUUUCUCUAUUAUUUUCAACAUGGCUUAUUUACUACUGUAUUUCCUUUUCAAACCUGCUUUGAAUUGUUUUACUUGAGCUGUGGGUCUUUUGGAAACAACCUCUCUACCUUCACAAGGAAGGGAUAAGGUCUGCAUACACACCACCCUUCCCCGAGCGCACUUGUGGGAUUACACUUGGUAUGUUGUUGUAGUUGUAGUGGGAGUAUUCAUUCAGUCCUUCUUGUUUCCUCAGUUUGCCUUGCAUCUGUUACACAUUACAUUUUAGUAUCAGGAGCUCAUAAGGUUCUUCAAUUGAUUGUAUGGUAAUGUUCUCUUUUCUUUUUCGAAUAGACCACCUAUUACUAGGUCAUUUCUUGCUCUCUCUAUUAUUAUGCCAUAAUUUACAUAUUUCUUUCUAUUUACACACAAAUCUUUUAUCCCUAUAUGCUACUUCUUUUCUCUAUACUGUGGACAUCAUUGGAUCAAGAUCAUUAUGUUUUUUUCAGAAGUUUCUCCUAUGUCAAACAAUUUAUCAAGCUAGUACAGCUAUAUAUGCUAUAUUCAUUCUCUUGAUAUCUAUUUGUCCUUAUUCGUUCCUGAAAAAAAGUAGUUAAAACUUAAACACAUUACUGUUUAAGUAUCAUUGUGUUACAAUUUAUUCUGAGCAAUGAUAAAAUUGUAACUUGGUUGGUUUCCUGUGAUGUGUGAUAUUCUGUUGAUUGGUCAUGCUUGUGUGGCGCAAUCAGUGUGAACACUGCUAGAAUGGCUUCUGGUCGGACUUUUUAAUUCUUGUUUGUUAUGCAGUAGAUAACAUUUGAAUUUUCCUGUCAAUCCAGCUGAAUUGACUUUUACUAUAGUAACACAGUAAAAGUUCCAACUUUUGAGUUCUUUGCAAGUGUUGAUUUAUUCUCAUUUCAUCAGACUGUGAGAGUCUCUUCGAUGUUGGAUAUGACUCGUCAGCAACUCUAUCAAUGGGCCAUAUAUCUUCAAAACUGCAAGUACUUCUUGAAAUUUUUCAUUUCCUUAGGUAAUGAACUCGACAUCUGAUUCUAUCACCAAACUUGUAACUGUCGUUGGAUGCAUCUUUUAUGUAGCUUUUGUACAAACUUGAGGUUCUGAUUCAUGGAUGCAGGAAAGCCACACAAGUACGCUGUCUCAUUUUUGUUGAAAGAAUUAUAACAGCUAAGGUAAUUGAAAGAGUUAUGAAGAAAAUGACCCGGUUUUCACAUUUCACAAUAGCAUAUUUGACUGGAACAAACACAUCUGUCGAUGCUCUGACACCAAAAGUGCAAAAAGAAACCUUGGGAUCUUUUCUCUCUGGAAAGGUAAUUACAUCUAUACAUAAUACAUUACAUUAUAUUUGACAUAAAUACUUUCUUGCGAGUCCCUUUAACUAGCUUUGAUCUUAAUGUAAUAUUUCCCCCCUAUUCCCUUAUCAUCACAGGUCAAUUUAUUAUUUGCCACUGAUGUGGUUGAGGAGGGAAUUGAUGUGCCACACUGUUCCUCUGUAAUACGAUUUGAUUUACCAAAGACAGUUCGUAGUUAUGUCCAAUCUAGGGGACGUGCUCGUCAGACUGAGUCUCAGUACAUACUAAUGCUUGAGAGGUGAAGCAACUUGCAUAUCUGACCCGAUUUUGGCUUUCAUAAAUCUAUUUAUUUCAAGUAUAUAACCUUCAUAAUGAUUUCAGAGGAAACAAGAAGCAGAGGGAGCAGAUGUUCGAUAUAAUUAGGAGUGAAUAUUCUAUGACAGAUACAGCUAUAAAGAGAGACACUGAUGAUUCUGUGGUGAAACCUUGUCUAGUGAAGGAAACUAAAGCAUAUUAUGUGGAGGCAACUGGAGCAUCAGUAACUGCAGAUUCUAGUGUCAGUGUCUUGACUAAAUAUUGUGAAAUGCUCCCUGGAGAUAAGUAUGGAUUCUCAUGUCUUCAACUAAAUAUUGUGUUCACUGGUGCAUCUUGUUUUAUGUAUACAAACCAAGUUAUGGUUAACACUGGAAUCCAGGAUCCCCUAUUAGAUUAAAGUGAGUUUUGUUGUUGUUACCUGCUCAGAGCCGUUUGGAAAUGAACGAAUCGUUUUGGAAGGAUAUAGAAAUUAAUCCUAGAACAGAUGGGAUAUAUGAUGUGAUUGUUUUGGUAUUGAGUUUGUUAGAAUAUGAAUAGGUUUAUACAAUCCUAUUAGAAUAGGAAUAGGUUUAUACAAUUCUAUUAGAAUAGGAAUAGUAAUAGAAAUAGAAAUAGGAAUACAAAGUAGUAUCCUACUUGGUAAAGGAUUAUAUUCUAGGGUCUAUAAAUAGGGUCUCAAUGUAAUAAUGUACACAACAACAAUUCAAUAAUAUUAUUUUCCUAUAUUUCUCACAUGGUAUCAGAGCAUCUACGAUCUUGGUAGAAAAUCAAAGAGUUUCCGCUGCCGGCGGGUGGCUAUUACCAAUAUAUGCCGCCCGUCUGGCCAAUGAUUAUGUUAAUAAAAGUAGGACAAAUGAUACAUGCAUGAACCCCAUGUUCAAGGGAAGAAACUUAGUCAGACAGGUCACCAUGCAUCAAUUUUCGGUGACUUUCUAGGGCUGUUUUGUGUCAACCCCAUAUCCGUUGGUAUUUGUGUAGCACCGUUCCAUCUUUCCGGUGACUACUUUUUCAUAUAUAAUUUGUGUAGCUCCGUGCCAUCCUUCCGGUGACUACCUUUUUUUUUAUAUCUGAUUUNNNNNNNNNNNNNNNNNNNNNNNNNNNNNNNNNNNNNNNNNNNNNNNNNNNNNNNNNNNNNNNNNNNNNNNNNNNNNNNNNNNNNNNNNNNNNNNNNNNNNNNNNNNNNNNNNNNNNNNNNNNNNNNNNNNNNNNNNNNNNNNNNNNNNNNNNNNNNNNNNNNNNNNNNNNNNNNNNNNNNNNNNNNNNNNNNNNNNNNNNNNNNNNNNNNNNNNNNNNNNNNNNNNNNNNNNNNNNNNNNNNNNNNNNNNNNNNNNNNNNNNNNNNNNNNNNNNNNNNNNNNNNNNNNNNNNNNNNNNNNNNNNNNNNNNNNNNNNNNNNNNNNNNNNNNNNNNNNNNNNNNNNNNNNNAGGCCCAAGACCUAAUUUAACAUGGUAUCAGAGCCUCUACGAUCUUGGUAGAAAAUCAAAGAGUUUCCGCUGCCGGCGGGUGGCUAUUACCAAUAUAUGCCGCCCGUCUGGCCAAUGAUUAUGUUAAUAAAAGUAGGACAAAUGAUACAUGCAUGAACCCCAUGUUCAAGGGAAGAAACUUAGUCAGACAGGUCACCAUGCAUCAAUUUUCGGUGACUUUCUAGGGCUGUUUUGUGUCAACCCCAUAUCCGUUGGUAUUUGUGUAGCACCGUUCCAUCUUUCCGGUGACUACUUUUUCAUAUUUAAUUUAUGUAGCACCGUGCCAUUUUUUCGGUGACUACUUUCUCUUAUCUAAUUUGUGUAGCACCAUGCCAUCAUUCCGGUGACUACUUUCUUAUAUCUAAUUUGUGUAGCACCGUGCCAUCAUUCCGGUGACUACUUUUUCAUAUAUAAUUUGUGUAGCACCGUGCCAUUUAAUUUGUGUAGCACCAUGCCAUCCUUAUGGUGACUACCUUUGUUUUGCAUAUCUUAUUUGUGUAGCACCGUGCAUCUCUCCGGACUACUUUUCAUAUUUAAUUUGUGUAGUACCGUGGAUUUUUUCGAACUAUUUUCUCAUAUCUGAGUUGCAUAGCAUCAUGUGUCUUUUCAGUGACUCCUGAUCAGAUUUGAUUUGCAUAGUUCCAUUCGUCUUUCCGGUGACUCCUCAAAUCUUAUUUGCGUAGGGUUGUGCCAUCAUUCCAACCCUACCCGUAUAAGUUUGCUUUUUCGGUAGGGUCGUGCCAUCAUUCCGACCCUACCCAUAUUAUUUAUCUUUUUCAAUGGGGUCGUUCCAUCAAUUCGAUCUAUCCUAUAUAAUUUCUUUUUCUAGUUGGGUCGUGACAUCAUUCCGACCCUACCCAUAUAAUUUUAUUUCUUAGAUUGUGAUCACUUUUAGCCAUCAAAUCUAAUACUCUGGCAUAUGAGCAUGUUCCGGCCAGUUUUUCGGUGACUUGUUUAAUAUCGACUCGUCUAUUGAUUUCAACACGUUCCACAUACUUUAUACUAGAUUUUGAGCACUUGCAACAACCACUGCAUUGUGAAGAAGUCUAUAUGGAGCAACCACCUAAUUUUGUUGCUCAGGGGGAGUUUAAUAGCCUUGUAUGUUGAUUACGUAAGUCACCCUAUGAUCUGAAACAGUCUUUGCAAGCUUGGUUUGGGAAGUUCCAACACUGUAAUUUUAUCACUCUGUGUUUUAUCGGCAUUAUGCAUCAAAUUCAGUAUUUCAUGAGAAGACCAAGCCCAUUGAGAUUGAUUGUCAAAUUUGUGAAGUCGAGUGAUCAACUUGCAGAUAUCUCACCAAGCCCCUCAUCNNNNNNNNNNNNNNNNNNNNNNNNNNNNNNNNNNNNNNNNNNNNNNNNNNNNNNNNNNNNNNNNNNNNNNNNNNNNNNNNNNNNNNNNNNNNNNNNNNNNNNNNNNNNNNNNNNNNNNNNNNNNNNNNNNNNNNNNNNNNNNNNNNNNNNNNNNNNNNNNNNNNNNNNNNNNNNNNNNNNNNNNNNNNNNNNNNNNNNNNNNNNNNNNNNNNNNNNNNNNNNNNNNNNNNNNNNNNNNNNNNNNNNNNNNNNNNNNNNNNNNNNNNNNNNNNNNNNNNNNNNNNNNNNNNNNNNNNNNNNNNUUUGUUGCUCAGGGGGAGUUUAGUAGCCUUGUAUGUUGAUUACGUAAGACACUCUAUGGUCUGAAACAGUCUUUGCAAGCUUGGUUUGGGAAGUUCCAACACUGUAAUUUUAUCACUCCGUGUUUUAUCGGCAUUAUGCAUCAAAUUCAGUAUUUCAUGAGAAGACCAAGCACAUUGAGAUUGAUUGUCAAUUUUGUGAAGUCGAGUGAUCAACUUGCAGAUAUCUCACCAAGCCCCUCAUCGGUCCUCGUGUUAAUUACGUUUGUAACAAGCUAGGUUCAUGAAUUGUAUGCACUAGCUUGAGGGGGAGUGUUAGAAUAUGAAUAGGUUUAUACAAUCCUAUUAGAAUAGGAAUAGGUUUAUACAAUUCUAUUAGAAUAGGAAUAGUAAUAGAAAUAGAAAUAGGAAUACAAAGUAGUAUCCUACUUGGUAAAGGAUUAUAUUCUAGGGUCUAUAAAUAGGGUCUCAAUGUAAUAAUGUACACAACAACAAUUCAAUAAUAUUAUUUUCCUAUAUUUCUCACAGAGUUCAAGCAGGAUCUAGGCUGAAGCAUUAUUAUCAUCAAUCACGGUCAACCUUCAGUUUCCUCAUUCAUUGUUUGCUUCAAAAUUUUGUAUCAGAUAGCUGUUGGCUUCCAAUGUCUGGCCCAGUUCCUUCUGCCUCACACAUGAACCCUAGGAUCAGUAAGUUAUGCUUUGGCCUGUCAUAUGCAAAGUCCUAUCAACUUAGCCAGUGAAGUGGUACACGGAGUAUAGGAGGUUUGUGUAUGGGGUUAGGUUGGAUAUGGUCUAUUUACAUCUCAUAUUGGACCAUCGUCGGGUGAUACUAGUGUUUUCAUGUUCAAAAAGACUUCCCAGAUUCAAGGGGUCAUAUACAACAAUACAGCUUGUGCAAAAACCAAGUUUUCUGCUUAUCAUAAUUUACGCUUCUUUAAGAUGCAUAUUACAAAUCUGAAAAGGAAAAAAAGAAACGAGAAAGUAACUUAAAGAAAAUUAUAACAGUAAAUCAGUGGCUGUGUGAUAAUGGAAAAGGGAAUUAUGGGUUGUAGCUCCAGACUACUCACUACUGUGUACUAAUGAUGUACUACCACUAAAGUUUAACCACAAUAUUAAUUUUGAUCCUCAUAUUUGAUGUACUCUAUUAUUUUAUCAGAUUUCUAUGUCAUGUUCCUAUCAUUUGGCGGUGUCAACAUUUCCUGAUUUUAAGGGUCAAGGUGAAUCAUACACCUUUUAGUCAUAUCCAUAUACAAAACACAAACAAAAGUCUAGUACAGAUUCACCUGUCUGUCUCCUCCUCUCUCUGCUGUACUGAAUUUCGCCCCCUUACCACUUCAAACCUCAAUUACUGGAUCCUCUCCAAAUAAAUUUGUAGGUGUACAUCAUGUAGACACUUCUUCACCAACAAGGUGUUAUAUUUUCAGCCAAUGGAUUAUGGAUGUCAUAGUUGCUCUCUGUAUUAAGCAUACAGCACAAUUAUGUUUCAUAUUUGCAAGGGGCAAUUCGUGCUUUCAGUAAAUGCUUGUUUCAUGGGAGUCAUCAGGUUUAAUUGCUCCGUGCUGUGUGAAAAUGUUUCUCUUGGCUUUAAGUUCUUCUCUUUACAUUUAACAAAUUUGAUACUUCUUCACAUGUCCCUUCUUUUCUCUCGUAUUCCAGUUUAAGGGUAUACAUAAAAUGAAAGGAUGGUAUCUUUAUCUGUUUGUUGUCUAAAUAUGAUAAUUGUUUCGCUCGACAGGUUCUUCUCUCCAAAGCCAUUGUUUCAGUACAUUUUGUCUGGAGAGUUGUACCGGUGUAAGUUGACAUUACCUCCAAAUGCAGCUUUCCAAACGAUUGUUGGUCCAGAAUGCAGGAGUUCUCAACUAUCAAGACAGCUUGUCUGCUUGGAUGCAUGUAAGAAGCUGCACCAGAUUGGUGCUCUCAAUGAUCAUCUUCUUCCUUUCAAUGAAAAGCCUCCCCGAGGUGAUUCUGAUGUGCAGGACAGAAAAUUAGGGGCAGGUAAACUAGAACAAGCUUUCCACUUCUGACCUCUGUCUUCUCUGCUUUUGAGUUCAUCACAUUACACUGUAGCAGCACUUAAUGGGACUAGAGGCUAUCUGAAAUGCACUUGACAAGGUGCUUUUAUUUAUUCUUCCUUAUCAAGUUGUUAAACAUAAGUUGACAAAUCUAUUUCUUGUUGAAAUGUGGGUAAACUUCAGCCAAUCUUAGAACAACUUUUUUAGGGAUGACAGCUCGUGGGUUCUUAUAGUAUUUGUAAAAAAUGGAGAUGCAUUAAUGAUUUGAUGAUAACAGAAUACAAGGACGCGCCUUUUAUCGGUGUGAGAAACAAUAGGCAGAUAUUUCUUCAAUUGUAGGACAAUGAGAGUGUUUGGAUUGGCUCAAAAGCUGGUCAAGCAGCUUAAAAGCACUUUUUGGCUUGUUCAGUGUUUGGCAAACUCAAAAGGUGCUUUAAAGCCAGGUGUUUUUUUCAUGACCCGUCCUCUAAACAAAGCCUUGACCGACACCCGAUGCGUUACUUGACUGAGCAAACUGGCCUGACUGUUCUAACCUGUACCUUCAUAUCACAUACCCUGCAUGCAUAUAAAAAUAAAUAACUUCACUCUUUGUUAGAAAUUCCAGUUCAAACAAUUCUUGAAAUAAUCCAAAUAAAGAUAGAAAUCUAUAAAUACUGGAAUGUUCUUAAAAUAAUCCCAAGUAACGUGAUCAACCAUAACCCAACUAAAAAUACGUCUGUGAAGCUUCUACUGGAGUGCUAAGAGGAAUGCACAGGACAUAGAUUUCCUAGCUAAUCCCCAAAACAAAUGCUGGACAAAUGAAUAAUUGAAUUAAUGAGUGAAAUUGUCUAACUGAAAGAGAAGCAACUCAACGGUCAAGGACAGAGCUCACCAAAUCAACUUCGGGAAUCAGCAACCUAGCUUGUAGUCUGCUCGUCUAUGAAAUCUGCGUCUACAUUCGCCCAGCAAUCUUUCAUGCCUUCUAGCAAUUAAAAUUCACAUAUCAUUGGAGACUUCUAUAUGCAUUCUCAGUGAAAUUUAUUUCUUUUUUAUGAAUAAGUAGGCAGUCAUGGAAGAAAUCAAGGAACAAGAAAGUUUUAACCCUUAAAGACUCUAAAAUUUAGACCACCGUUAAGCUGCACCUGCUGUCAUGUCUGAUAGAUGCUCAAUGUGGAUUUUCAACUUAUUGUGAUUAAAUAAUUAUUUUUUCUUAUCAAUAUAUUUUUAGGAACAACAAAGUUGAAAGAAUUACAUGGGACAGCUUGUAUUAGUGCAUUAUCUGGGUCAUGGGGAAAUGAUCCUAAUGGAGAAGUAUAUCAAGUGUAUAAAAUGAACUUCCCUUGCAACAUCAAGGAAGUGAAAUAUUCCAGUUUUAUCCUUUUGCUUCAAUCAGAACUUGAUUACGAUGUGGGAAAUGUGGAAGUGGAGCUUUUCUUAGUUUCCAAGUUUGUCGAAUCCUCCGUGUCGCAUUGUGGGAAAGUACAUUUGGAUUCCCAACAGGUUGGAACCUAGUCAAACUAUUUAUGAACUUUUUAUAAUUCAAUCAUGUUAGCAUUUGCAUUUCGUAUCUGAUAAGCAGUAUAACAUUUUCAUUGUCAGGUGGCAAAAGCAAAAAUAUUCCAAGAACUAUUCUUUAAUGGGCUGUUUAGUAAAUUAUUUAUUAAAUCAUCGGGUGGAAGGAAAUUUCUGCUUGAUACAGAAAAAUCUUUGUGGGAGCCAUCGAACAUGUACUUGCUUCUACCGCUGGAUCCUUUAGAUUCAAGUUGUGAACCCUACAAAGUUGAUUGGGAAGCAAUUGAAUCUUCUGUUUCAGUUGUGGAAUUUUUGAAAAGAAAUGCGUGGUUAAGCAAUGAGAAAUCUGAAGCUAAACGGAAGAACUCCUUAGUUGAUAGGACUGCAUCAUUUGUGGAAGAUCUUGAUCAAACAGAUUUGAUUCACUUUGCCAAUAUAUCAAUCUCAAGAAGCAAUAUUACGGACAUGGUUGUUGUGGCCAUUCAUACUGGAAGAAUUUAUUCUGUUCUGGAUGCUGUUGCCAAUACUUCCGCAGAGAGCCCCUUCGAAGUAGAUUCAGAAGCUACUGUCGCACCCUUCUCAUCUUUUGCUGACUACUUCCAUAAAAAGUGGGAUUUGUUUUUACCUAAAUUACUGUUUCUUGUUGAAUGUUUGAGAAGUCACGCAUAAUUUAAAUUUAUAUUGUUUUGUCUGUUUAUUAGGUACGGGAUUGUUUUAGUGUAUCCUGGACAGCCUUUGUUGCUACUGAAGCAAAGCCAUAAUGCAUACAAUCUUCUCGUGGAUUUUAAAAAGGAAGGUUUGUCAAGUUAUUGCCGAUUCCUAGUCAUUCCAAGUGUUCUCUAUAUGCCAUCUCUUUUGAAAAUUUAUAUCGUUUUUAGAAGUUUAAGACAUACUAGCAUAUAUUAAACUUAACAAUUACAAACUUCUAGGUGGUUUUGUUGUUGUAAACAACGAAAUGAACUAGAAAACAGAAUUUUAGUAUAUUAGAUUUAAUAUGCUACGAAGGUAAGGGGUAAGGUUGUGCACAUCCUACCCCCUCCCCAUACCCCACUUAUGGGAUAACACCGGGUAUGUUGUUGUGCCAUUUAAGUUUUUAAUAUGUCACAGUUUUUAGUUCUUAAAAUAUGUUCUCUAUACAUCCCCAAUCAUAUUGGAGUGAUCCACAUCUUUACCCCUAACUAGGUUCUAAACAAGUUUGAGAUAGGUUAGAGAGUAUUGAAAUUGGCCGACAAAGUUGUUCUACAUACGUCCAGUGAAAAAGCACGUGCACUGGUGUUUGUGUCAACUUUUUGGAACAAAUGAUAUUGUUUGAGAAAUGCAUAUUGCCUUUAGGCAUAAGUAGGCGUGUUCUCUAGAUGAAUCAGAUUGUAGUUGUUGCAUGUCCUGAUGUGAGCAUCAUAUGAUGGUCUUUGGAGCACAUUAAACUCCACACUCACACUUUUUUUUUUGAGAAGGUAACAUUUACUUCUAUAUAUCCACAGGUAUACCACAUCAAAGUGUAGUCCCCCUCCAAAAAGUUUUGCUUACAUCUUUCCUAAGAUCUCCUAGUUACAGCCAGUCAAUAACAUUAAAUAUAUUUUAAGUAUCUCCUAUCACUACUUGCUUACACCAAAAAUAGUAAACCCUAGGCAAUAUCUUUAUCUUCUGGAUAUUGUUCUGUUUUCCUUCAAAACAUCUUUGAUUCCUUUCCUUCCAAAUUGUCCACCAAAUGCAAGCUGGGACAGUCCUCCAUCUCUUCUCCUUUUUUCCUGCAUUGUAGGACUUCUAUAAUUCUCCCAGGCUUUGUCCACUUGAUCUUCCUCUUGUGGAUGAACAUCUGCCACAAUUGAUCUGUCCAUUUGUAGUGUAAAAAGAGAAGGUUAACUGUCUCCACCUGUUCUUCACAUAGAUAGCAUCUAGAACAUAGAUUGGAUUUUCUCUUGUUCAAGUUCUCAUGUGUCAAGACUGCCUCCUUUUUCCAAGAGCCAUGGGAAGUAAUUCACCUUGUAGGGAAUUUCUGUUCUCCAGAUCAUCCUCCAGGGCCAUCUUGCAUGCUGCACCUCUGUAGACCUGAGUUCUCUGCAUGUUGAUUUUACAGUGAACUCUCCCCCUCUCUCCCCCUUCCAUACUAGUCUAUCUUCCUCUCCUGUCAGAUUGGUAGCCGUAUGCAUUGUGUCAUGAAAUUUUGAUAUGGUUGUCAUUUCCCAAUCAUUUAGGUUCCUUCUCAGAAACAGGUUCCACCCUUGUCCUGUCCAUAAUUCUGCCACUGUUGCUUCUUGUGCUUGGUUCAGACUAUGUAGUAUAGGGAAAGCAUGUUUGAGUGCCUCUUGUCCACACCAAAUGUCAUUCCAAAAGGCUACUUUUUCUUCAUUGCCCACUUUGCAACUUCUUCUCUCCUUGACCAGUUGCCAAAGGUUCCUGAUAGACCUUCAUACACUACAAUUGUAAGGGUUGGUGACCACCUCUGUCAUCCAUUUAUUCUCUAUGCCAUAUUUUUCUAUUAUUACUUCAUUCCAUAGAGAUACUUCUGGUGAGACAAAUUUCCACAGCCAUUUCAUCAUCAACUCUUGUUUUUUUUUUUUUUGAGAAUGGUAAAGUUGUAUUCAUCAGCAAUGAGGGUAUGCUGGCAACCAAACAAAAAAUUCCAAGGCAAAGUAGUCAUGAUUACAAAGAGCCUAGGAAAUCUAGUAACUGAUCUACUUCAUAUAUAGCCUCUUCUUUACACCAAACAUAUAGAGUAUUAAUGCAGUUUUCUUUUACUUUCUGCAUUGGGUUAGUAAUAUUCUUAAAACACCUAUUGUUUCUUUCCUUCCAAAUUGAACACCAUAUGCAAGAUGGAACUAGAUUCCACUUUUCUGUGUUUUACUCCCCCCUCUUUUCAUCCAACAGCUUAGUGGGUCUGCAGUAUGCUCAGGCACCACCCAAGGAUCUUGGGUAAGGCUUUGAAACUUAUACCAUAAGUGGGCAGUCACUCUACAGUGAAGGAACAAAUGGUUGUUUGUUUCCUCCUUUUCAUGGCAGAAGAAGCACCUAGAAACAAUCUGAAAUCCUCUUUUUUUCAGUCUCUCCUGAGUUAGGCAUGCUCUUCUGCACACCGACCAUGUGAAACACUUUAUCUUGGUUGGAGUGCUGGACUUCCAGAUUUAUUUUCAAGGUCCAAAAAUCCCCCCGGAUGUGUUGCCAGGUCUCUUUGGUACAUUCUUCCAACAGAAAAUUCCCCAUCCCUAUCAUGUUUCCAUUUGAUUGCAUCAGGAUUAGUGUUGAGUCCCGGAAAGUCUUCCAACUUUUGCAGUAAGUUGGCCACUCCAUCCACCUCCCAGUCAUUUAAGAGCCUUCUAAAAGUUAUAUUCCUCCCUUGCUGAGACCACAUCUCAACAAUAGAUCCUCCAGGGUUGUUACAAAAAGAGUUCAAAUCUGGAAAGUUCUCCAUGAGGGAGUUCUGUCCUAUCCACUUGUCUUUCCAUAAAAGGAUCCUAGUCCCCUUAACCACCUUGUAGCUCCUAGCUAGUUUUGGCCACAAAUUUUUUUAGACCUCCGAACUGAGGCCACGUAGGUGUUGGUCACAAUGUUGGAGGUCCAUGAAUUUGUUUGUCCAUACUUGCUAACGAUAACAUCCUUCCACAGAGCCUGCCCCUCUUUACCAAACCUCCAUAGCCAUUUUGACAAUAAACACCUAUUUUGCAGACCUAGAUUCUUAAUGCCAAGACCACCCGAUUUCUUGAUUAGUUGAGCAGUUUGCCAUUUGACCAAGUGAGUUCCCUUUCCUUCCUUGUUGCCCAACCAAAGAAAAUCUCUCCUUAGUUUAUCUAAUCUGUCUUCCACUUUAGUAGGUAAGGGGAAGAGAGACAUAACAUAAGUAGGGAGAGCAUCCAAGACAGAAUUGAUCAUUGUUAAUCUUCCUCCCAGAAAUAGGUAUUGUGUCUUCCAGGAGGCUAACUUUUUCUCAAAUCUUCUCCACAAUUCCAUCCCAUAUUUCUAAUUCUUUGUGGUUGUUACCCAGUGGCAUCCCCAGAUAUCUAGUUGGGAGAUUUUCUAUCUUACAACUCAAAAUAUUUGCUAAACACCGGAUGUUAGCUCCUUCCUUGACUUGAAACAUGCUGCUUUUUCUCCAAUUCACAAAAAUCCCUGACACUGCCUCAAGGAUUACUAAUAUUAUUCUGAUGAAACACACCUGCUCAACCUUGGCCUCACAAAAGAUCACAGUAAUUGGCAAAUUUAUAGAUCUUCUCAGCUUGGUUGCCCACUUUGAACCCUUUUAACCAUUUCUUUUAAGUGGCCACCCUUAUCAUGCUAUUAAGUCCUUCCAUAGCUAGAAUAAAGAGGAUCACCCUGCCUCAACCCCCUUUUCGAGGGAAAAAAAAAACAGCAGGUUCUCCAUUAAUCAAUAUAGAGAACCUGACAGUUUUAGUGCAAAAUCCUAUCCACUUCAGCCAUUUCUCUCCAAACCCCAUUUGUCUCAAAAUGUUAAUAAGGAAAUCCCAGUUCACAUGAUCAUAGGCCUUUUCAAUAUCAAGCUUACACAUGAUUCUUGGGGUUUCACCUUUAAUCCUUGAAUCUACACAUUCACUAGCCAUUAGAGCUGCAUGCUGGGUUUUAUUGCCUUGAUUUUUUAUCAUAAAUAAGUUUUCCUUUUAGGAAAAGGUUUUAAUAUUUUACUAGUCCUUUUCUUGUAGGAAAGGUUUUAGGACUCUAUAAAUAUAGGCUUGUUCCUUCUAACUUAAUCAACAUUCACAAUGUAGUCCUAGGGCUUUGAGAGUUGCGGUUAUGGGGGAGAAUUUGUGAACCUCCUUGUAUUCCGAGUGAAUUGGUUGAGGUUAUUUCUCUCUAUAUUUUAUACUCUCAUAUUUAUAGUGGAUUGCUCAUCUCCUCUGUGGACGUAGGUCGAUUGACCGAACCACGUUAAAUUUUUGUGUCUUUUGGUGUGUUUCUUGUGUGUCUUUUUACUCAUGGUCUUUUGAGGUUUGCUUUGUUAGCUUCCGCAUUACACCUGCUUAUUUCGGUCCUAACACUGCAUCUAGGAUCUAUUUGCCCUGUAUGAAGGCCAAUUGAUGUUUGUUGACUAGCUUGCUGAUUACUUUUUUCACUCUUUCUGCCAGAAGCUUGGCAAAAUUUUUAUAAGCUCCACCAAUAAGACUUAUUGGUCUAAAGUCUCUAAGUUCAAUUGCCAUGGCUUCUUUGGAAUAAGGUCCACAUAUGUGGCAUUGAGGCUCCUCUCAAACUCGUGUUUCUCAUGAAAUUGGUUUAUUGCAUUCAUAAAAGCAAACUUAAGCACCUCCUAGAAACUCUAAUAAAAGCACAUGGGGAAGCCAUCAGGGCCAAGUGCCUUGUCACUGGCACAUGACUUGAUGCAUUUCAAAACUACAGCCUCCUCAAAGUAAGUUUGCAACCAAUCUCUUUCUUCCUCACUAAUAAUUUUCAAGCCUUGCAACUUAAACUCCGUCUCCACGGUUCAGUCUCUGUGUACAACUUUUUAUCAUGAUUUCUCCUUUAAUCUCUUCUAGAUCUGAGAUAGAGUUUCCUUCCACUACCAAAGUGUCAAUAGAAUUAAACCUUUUGUGAGUUGUCGCAACCCAAUGGAAAUUUUUUGUUUAUUCACCUUUUUUAAGCCAUUGUAUUCUAGAUCUUUCUCUCCAAGCUAUUUCCUCUUGUUUAGUAACCUCCUUAAAUUCCAUAGCUACAUGAACCUUUUGGAGUAGUUCAUCCUCUGAGAGUAAUCUCAUCUCCUGAGUCUUUUCCAUCUCUGCUAACUGGUGAAAGAUUUCCUCCUCCUUAUGUUUCCAAUCAUUUCUAUGUGUCAGUCUCCAUUCUUUCAAUUUUUGUUUCAGCAUCCUUAGUUUAGUAGCUAAGAUGUAAGAAUCUGUGCCAUUUAUAUUGAAAGAAAACCACCAUUCCUUAACCUUGUCAGCAAAACCAUCCACCCUCAGCCACCAUUGUUCAAAUUUGAAAUAUGACUUAUUCGAAUUCAAUUCCCCACAAUCAAGCAUGAUGGGGUUAUGAUCAGAACCUAUUCUGGGCAACAAGUUCUGUUUGAUUUGAGUGAAGGACUCAUCCCAUUGAGAUGAAUACAAAAAUCUAUCAGUUCUGGAAGCUGAGCUAUGGCCAUCUCCUCUUCUCGAAGUGAAAGAAUCCCCAAAAGAAGGGGAUCCAUGAAUUCCAUCGCAUUUAUCCAUUCCGUGAACUCCUGCAUGUCCCCUGUUAUUCUGUGCCCCUCUGAACUUUCAUUUGGGUACCUUGUGACAUUGUAGUCACCACAAGAUACCCACGGGUCACUGCAUACCUCCUUGAUGUUGCUCAACUCUUGCCAAAACUCUCUUCUAGUCACAGUAUCACAGGAAGCAUACACUGCACUGCACAACUCUCUUCUAAUCAUCAUCAAACUCUUGUUUUGGGUACUCAGCUCUCUGUUAUUGAGUCCACCCCCUCUCUUACUUACAACAGUAAAUCCCGUUUGACCAAAUGGUACUUUCUCUUAUCUUCGCUUCCUUGCCAUAAAAAGUUCCUCCAAAUUGCAUCCAACUCUUGGUUACCUUGGCUUGUAUAUGGAAUAAUGACAUCAUGUACAAGGGAAGGGCAUCCAGGACACUAUUAACUAGAGUUAGUCUGCCACCUGAAGAUAAAUAUUGACACUUCCAGUUUGCUAGCUUCCUUUCACAUUCAAUUACUCCACUCCAUAUUUCUGUUGACUUGCUUUUAGCCCCCAAAGGCAUUCCCAAGUGGGUUGUUGGUAAUUCACCCACUUUCCCUCUAGUUUGUUGUCUAAAGUCUUUAAUAUUUAUCAUUGUGUUUACUUGAUAGAUGAACCUCUUGCUCUAGUUUAUGUGCAGACCUGAAAUAGCCUCGAAAAUAUUGAAGAUGACCCUCAAAAUCAGCGUCUGCUCCUCUACUGCAUCACAAAAUACUAGAGUGUCAUCUGCAUAUGGUAGAUGAGUAAUCUCUUGGUUGUUACUUGUAUUAUUCCCCACUUGGAAACCUCUGAUCCAGCCCUUGACUUUUGCAGUCUGAAAUAGGUUGCUCAGCCCUUCCAUGGCCAAGAUAAAGAGAAAAGGGAAUAAAGGGUCCCCUUGUCUCAGACCUCUGUAUGAUGAGAAGAAGCCACAUGGGCUUCUGUUGAUCAGAAUAGAGAAUUUCAUUGAGCUUAUGCACUGUCUAAUCCACUUUAGCCAUUUUGGUCCAAAUCGUAUCCUUUUCAACAUAUUCAUCAGGAAGUUUCAAUUCAAAUGAUCAUAUGCCUUCUGGAUAUCCAGUUUACAUAAGAUCCCUGAUUGUUUAUCUCUCUCCCUGGAGUCAACACAUUCAUUGGCUAUCAAUACUGCAUCUAUGAUCUGCCUAUUCUUGAUAAAAGCCAUUUGUUGUCUGUCCACUAGCUUAUGUAUCACUUUCUUCAGUCUUUCAGCCAAUAGUUUUGCAAUUAUCUUGUACACUCCUAUUACUAGACUUAUUGGUCUGAAGUCAUUUAGUUCCACAACCCCCGUCUUCUUGGGUAUCAAGGCCACAAAAGUAGUUUAUACUCUUCUCAAUUACCUUAUAAAAGUUUUGAACUACUGCCACCACUUCAUUUUUGAUGACUUCCCAACACUAGCUAAAGAAAGCCAUGGAGAAGCCAUCUGGGCCAGGGGCCUUGUCCCCAGCACACGCUUUGAUGCUUUCCAGGAUUUCAUGUGCUUCAAAAGGGGCCAUCAGUUGGUUAUUGUCAUUUUCAUCAAUCAUAGGAUACUCUCUCAUUUCUAAGUCUGGUCUCCAGUCCUCAGUUUCAACAUAUAACUUCUCAUAGUACUCUAUGAUCUCCUUUUGUAUCUCAGCAGACUCUGUCACUAGCUCCUGGGGACUUUAAUCUUAUCAACAGUGUUGACUGUUGACUCUUCUAUGUGCAUUUGCUGUUUUGUGGAAGAAGCUUGCAAAUAGGCUAAUUGAAUUCAGCAACUACAAAAAGACAUUAUCAUGCAUCCUUCAUAAUCUCUUUCUAUAUAUUAGAUAUUUCUAUUCUUUUGCCGUUGUCACUAAAGCUUUAAUCAUUUAAAUAAAUUAGGUCUUGUAGUAUAUCCAACUGAAUUUACUUUAGGCAGUUGUGGACUUUCUGCUGAAAAGUCUUGCGUGAUUAGUAAUUUGUAAACAUCUGCUACAGAACUUCUUGUUAAAACAUCUCUACAAUCAUACAUUUUACAUUUUUAAUUGGGAGUAAAAGUUCACCACUUGAAGAUAACCUUUCAAGCUCAACUUGCUAAAGUUCUACCUGAGUUCUUUAGAAAGAAUUGAUCUACAUUGAACUUGUCACUGCUAGCUACCUAGUGAGUGCACUAGGCUAAGUGUUUCGGAUUACAUGAAUCUGAUAUUCGGAGAUUAUUUAAGCAGGCAUUUCAUGUGGACCGAAAUCAAAAGAUAGUACAAUGGUGGUUCAAAAGCCACUGAAUAAUGUUCACAUGCCACCAGAACUUCUGGUCUGUUUUGACAUUCGGUUAGACAUCUUGAAAUCCUUCUACUUGCUACCAUCAUUAAUGCACCGCCUGGAGUCCCUGAUGUUGGCUAGCCAGUUGAGGAAAGAGAUAUCAAGCCAUUCAGGCGACUUACAUAUAUCAAGCUCAUUGGUUCGUCCUAUCAUUUGCUCAGCUAAUUAGAUGACUUACAUUUGGCAUUUUUCUAACUACAUGUCUUUCACGGUCAGAUUCUGGAAGCUCUUACAACUCUCAGAUGCAAUGAGAGUUUCUCCAUGGAACGUCUGGAGUUGCUUGGAGAUUCAGUUCUGAAGUAUGCUGUUAGUUGUCACCUCUUCCUUAAAUAUCCCAAGAAGCAUGAAGGGCAGCUAACUAAUGAACGUUCACAGGCUAUUAGUAACUCAGCCCUCCAUAAAUUGGGAACUAAUCAACAUUUGCAGGUAUGUAAAGCUUUGUCUCCGUACUUCAGGAAAAAGAACUACUUGAAGACAAUUUCUUAAAUCCAGUCAAGAAUGUAAAUAUAUAAUAUCUUAACUAGUUCAUUUUUUAACUUUAUUCUUGAGGUAAAAAUGAAACUAGGUGUCAUAUAUUUCCUUCUCCAGCUAAAAUGGUCACUGAUGUAUGGUAUGAGUAUAAGAUAUUGACGACACUAUUGCGGGUAGUGCAAACAAACUUACUGAAAAUCAGGCUUGUUUGAGAUGGGUUCUUCUUUUUGGUGUGUGUGUGUGGGGUGAGGAGUAUAACUUAUUUUGUUUGGUUCAGCUUGUCCAAAUUCAAUGUGGAUGGUUGGCAACAUUUCAUUCUUUCAGUCGUGGAUAGUCUUCAACGGCAACAUUUAUUUUGCUUGUGCUAGUGGAAUCCUUCUUGUUUUGUUGAUGAUUCUUCAAAGAAACGUGGAUGUUGUAUCCUUUCCACUUGACUGAAGCUUACCUUUUACACUCGUCUGCUUUUAAUCAUGCUUUACCUGUCUAAUUACAGGGUUAUAUACGGGAUGGUGCAUUUGAUCCACGCCGAUGGACUGCUCCUGGGCAGCUUUCCCUGCGGCUUUGUCCUUGUGAACACGGGGUUGAAACUUCACGAGUGCCUUUGGACAAGAAGUUUCUGACUGAAGAUCCCAAAGAAGUAGUUGGGAAGCACUGUGAUAGAGGACACAGAUGGAUGGGUUCAAAAACAAUAUCUGACUGUGUUGAAGCGCUAAUAGGUGCAUAUUAUGUUGGUGGUGGGUUUGUUGCUGCCCUCAAAUUGAUGAAAUGGCUUGGUGUUAAAGCUGAGCUAGAACCUUCAUUAGUAGAGGAUGCGAUCAAUACUGCAUCUCUUUAUUCUUAUACCCCUAAAGCUAAAGAUAUUGAAGACCUUGAGUUGAAGCUUGGCUAUAGAUUUUCUAUUAAGGGACUGCUUCUAGAAGCUAUAACACAUGCUACUGUGCAAGAGCUGGACGCUGGGUACAGUUAUCAGGUUAGUUGAAGAGUAAUCCCUAAUUUUGAUAUAAUUAUCAAGUAAUACUGAUUAUACAUCAUAUUAAACAUGUUUCUCUUAAGAAAUUACAUUGUUGUCAGCUUACAUUUUUUCUUUUUGUCAAAUCUGUGACAGAGGCUUGAAUUUCUUGGUGACUCAGUACUGGACAUUCUCGUUACCUGGUACCUUUACCAGAAGCAUAAAGAUAUUGAUCCUGGGGAACUAACAGAUCUGCGUUCUGCUUCUGUCAAUAAUGAUAAUUUCGCUUAUGCUGCUGUGAGAAGGAAUCUUCAUGUCCACCUUCAACAUCAUUCUGGAUAUCUUGAAAGUGAAAUAUCAUUGUUUGUGAAGUCAGUCUCUAAUUCUUGUUCACUACAAGGAAACAAAGCCCCAAAGGUUCUUUUAUUGUUGCUCCACUGACAUGUCACUGUUACCAUAUGUUAUUGAUCUCAAUGCCAACUGUAGACUUGAAUGUGUCCCUAGGAUACAACAUUGUUGAACAUAUGCCAACAUUAAUCCACUAUUAUCUGUCAAAUGCUUAGAGCAGGCUGUUUGUAUUCAUGGGAUAUUAAUUUGUCAUAGGUACUUGGAGACUUGGUGGAGAGUAUUGCUGGAGCAGUACUUAUUGAUACCAAACUUGACCUGGAUGAAGUUUGGAAGAUCUUCAAGCCACUAUUGUCUCCCAUCGUGACUCCUGAUAAGCUUGAACUACCUCCAUUGCGUGAGCUCAUAGAAUUAUGUGACUCACUUGGCUACUUCUGGAAAGAACAUUGCGUGGUGAAGGGGGAUACUGUGAAUGCUGAGCUUAGGUUACAGCUGAAAGAUGAUCUGCUGGUCGCUGAGGGAUCUGGACAAACUAGAAAAAAUGCAAAGGCGCAAGCAGCUCUGAAGUUACUGAAGAACUUAGAGGUAUGUCAUAGCCAGGAAGAUGAUUCUCAUCCUAUGUAUGGUCCUUUUUUCUGACAUUAAUGGGCCAUAAUUCGUGUGAUAGGAACAUCCUUAGAAAGAUGAGAAGAAAGAAAAUCAUGAUGGGCGUUUUUGUACUUUUGUUUGUGAAAGUUACCAUUGCAACUACUGGUGUUGUAACGUUAAACUUUCUUGUCAGCAGGCCAUUCUAUCUUUUUUUUAAUCAUUUGUUUCUGAAAUUGAUUUUUCUUUUCUGGGUUCAAGUGGAGACUAAUGAGUUGGUUACCUUCUAAGUCAUCUGAUGUCUAUCGAAGUACUAUAGCUAGAAAAAGAAUGCGGAAAUAACUAGGUGUUUAAAUUAUUAUUUUUUAAUCAAAAUUAGCUUAUGAAGGAAGUUAUUCUUUGCAGUUUUUCCUAAUUUGGAAAGAGAAUUUUCUGCUUUUAAUGGAUUCCCUUGAGUUGCUAACAAUUUUUGUUGAUAAUAAUUUCUGUGCUUGCAUGCAUUAUAUAUUGCUGAAAGAUCAGUGACUAACUCACCAUAGAUCUGUAUUACAUGGUGUGAUCUUGCUUGAUAACACUACUUUAUUCUCUGUCAUGACCAUUACAAUUAAUGUUGAACUAGAUUUUAGAAGUUCCCAUCUAGCAUUGACUGGGUGAAUUCUUUUUUAAUUAUGUAUUGCCGGUUAUCCAAGCUUUCAAUUGAGUUAUUUCUCACAUUGACCCUCAUUUUCUAACAACAGAAAAAAGGAAUUUCAUCCAAGAAGAAAAAAGAAGAGGCCAGCUUUGUUGAUGUGCCACAAUCUUUAGACUUUGAUGGUGACAUCUGCAUCCAAGCAAAUACUUCUUGUCCUGAUAUGGCUUCACGCAAAAAGCGAAAGAAAGUAUAUUUGAAUUUAAAGCCAGAUGAAGCUCAACCUGUUCCCAGUGACUGCUCCACCAGUGCUAGUUAUUCAAAUAAGGACAUCCAAGGUAUGUGCUCGAAGUUACUGUAUCAAAACGAAAGUUCUUAUUUCUUCUAUGACUAUUGGGGGAGCCAUUUUUUCUAAAGAUGUAUUAUAUAUAUAUAUAUAUAUAUAAAUCGCAUGUAUUGAUAAAUUUGGAAAUGAUUUUUUGGGUGGAAAAUUUAGUAACUUUUUACCUCAUUUAAUGGGUGGGUUGCUGUAAUAAUUGAGAAAUGGAAUAGUAGUUAAUUAAUUGUAGCAUCCUUUCUUAAGUGACUACCUAUUUUGUUGUCUCAUUUAUAUCCUAGCGAUUAUCAUGAACCCACAUUAGUACUCGUAUAUUUACCUAUUUUAUUCCCCUUUCACUAUUUUAAUUCUCUCAUUAUUGAUUAUUCUAAGUCUCCCAAAUGGUCAGACCUUUUGCAUUUUGUAAAAUAUAUUAUUAUGUCAUUAUAAAAAGAUCAAAAUAAAAUAAAAUUGGUGUCUUCUUUAAAUGUCAAGCACUGCAACCAAUCAAUAUUGUUUUAAUAUCAUUAUAUCAACUUAUCAAAUUCAGCGCAACACUAUUUCAAUCUCAUUAGAUGAACUUUUUAAAUUUUUGAGUUAGGUUUUAUUAUUCUAACUUUAUAUGUAAUUGAGGAGAAGGGGCCAAACACUUUUGGAAAGGGCUAUAUGUAAUUAAGUAAAAUAUUUUAGAAUGGCGAAGUACAUAUUAUUCUGUAGUUACACUUAUUAUCUUGUUUGAGAGCGGAAUAAACUACCAUUCUAAUAUGGUGGCAAGAUGAUACUUCACAAACAACAAUCAGUAUCCUUGAAAAAGUCCAUCAGAUUUGAAAUCAAGUACUCCCUCCGCUUCAAUUUGUUUGUCUGGUUUUGACUUGACAUGGUGUUUAAGAAAGUAAAGAACAACUUUUGAAUCUUGUGGUUUUAAACUAUAGAUACAUAAAACGUACCAAAAUGUGUUUUAAUCUUGUGGUCUUAAACAUAUCAUGUGGAAAGUUGAAAUUAGACACAUUCUUCUUGAAACAAACUAAAAAGGAAGUAAGACAAACAAAUUGAGAUGGAGGGAGUAUGAUGCAUUGUAUUGACGUUGACGCCUAAUAGUCGCAGCUCUGCCCCGUAUAUAUAGGUGUUGUGUUCAAAUCCUACCCAAGGUCGUCCUUCCACUAUUCAGACAAUAUACCCUCCCAAAAAAAGUGAUAUGACAUAAUUUUAGCAAAGGAAACCUUUUUUGAUUGCAUAGUAGUAGAGAGUGAUCAUAUUUUCUAGUCACAACUGAAUAUAUAUCAAGUGUUGAGGAUUUAUAGCUUUGUCAAUAAAAGUCAAGAGAUAAUUCCUAUAGUUCUAUUACAAUUUGCUACAUUUCUGUUUAGAUCAUUAUAUGCUGAGAAGUGACUUCCUCUGAAUAUGCUAAAGUUUCUAUUUAUGCAUUGCUUUUAUUUACAAGGUAAUAAGACUUAUUGAUUGAAGAGAGAAUUUCCUGCAUAAAGGAUCCAUACAGAAGUAUAGAAUAUACGUAUCCUAUUUUUUGCAGAAGGUUGACAAACAUCUGCAUUAACUAGACUGCCACAAGUGCUUCAAACCAUUUGCUAAUACUUUUUUCCUGAGAUUUCAAUCUCCCUUCGAUGUUGUCUCUCCCCUCUAUACCCUCACUCGUCUCCCUUGCUGUUCUUCAUUUUGCAAGGAUAUCAAAAGGUUAGCUCAUUAGUCAUGGGUCAAUUUCUGCUUCCCAGGAUCAUUUUUACCUCUUAUUUCUAUACUUGCCUUGGUCCUUCCAUUCCCAGCUUCCUCAUCAUUUUCUUGAAAUAUUUCACCUUACGAAUACUUUGCUCCCUCUUACCUCUCAAAUCAGUCUUCUUCGUCAGAUUUGUCCAAUGAGGGUCCCUUCCCAAAGUAUCACAAUCUGAGGCACAUGGUAUAGGUACCAAUGCCCAUUUGCUCCUCUGAGCAGCAGAAUCGUGAAGCAAUAGUGCUCAAAGUCUUUCCCUUAAGCCUCUCCAGAGCUUCCUGUUUUUCAGCUAUAUAUCAACUUCUUUCUGUGACAAUGUGAAAAGCCCCAGCAUCCACCUGUCUUCUUGGUGAAUCUUGCACCUGUCUCCUUGUGAAUCCAGCAAAAACUUGGAUUGAAACUUUUGUCGAGGCAGUUUCCAGAAUCUUAUAAUUCCCUUGUGUAAAAAUAAUGGUUAUCUAUCUUAGAGAUUUAAAUUUUUAAUGUAACCAUGCAUUACUUUAUUAUGGUUGUUUGUUUUCCUUCUUUUCUUUUCUUUUAUGUCACUCUUUCGGUAAAAUAAUCAGUCCCUCGCCAGUGAAGUGUUGCAUAAUGAGGGAAAAUAAGUCCUUGAAGUUGAAAGUUCGAAGUAAUUGGAAUACCUAGUUCGAUAAGUUUCACCAACACAUAAUGGGGGCUUCUGAGUCUCUUAACCUUGAAUAUCCACACUGCUUCACCUUAAUUCCAUUUCCUAGAAAAGGAAAGUGUGGUUCAGAAUGACCUGAGUUUCUGCUCCUGAAUCUUACUCCUUUUUAACAAUGUACAUAGUUCUCUGAACAUGAAAACUCACAAAUAUGUUUUUAAACCAUUGUAACCAUUCCCUGCCUUUUGAUUUGACAGAAUAUAUGCCAAAGUUAGAUAAUUAAAGAAAAGUUAGUUUUCGUAAGGUCUGCUGAUGUGCAUCACCUGAAACACUUUUGGAUUUAAUGGUCUUCUCUCUUUUACUUGGCAGUAAUUGGGCCAAUCAACAUGAAAAGGGGUGGACCUCGCAUAUCACUCUUUGAACUAUGCAAGAAACUGCAGUGGCCAAUGCCUAGUUUUGAAUCAAUAGAGCGUACAUCCAAGUAAGUAAAACCAGUUUAUGUGCUAACCAGUUCUUUCCUUCUAGUUUUUAUCAAACUGUUUCCUAGAUUGUUGCUUAUUGAGUGUAAAUUCCGGCCAGAUCACUUAUUGAAUGUGGUGAAGGCUCUGAUAGAAGGAAGGUUUACAACACUUUUGCAUCUCAAAUCUCGCUGACAAUACCUGACUAUGGUUUGAUAGAGCUUACCGGGGAUGAAAGAGCUGAUAAGAAAAGUUCACUUGAUUCAGCGGCACUUCACAUGUUAUAUGAGCUAGAACGACAGGGAAAAAUAGCCAUUGGAAAUCAAUGAAUUGUCGUGAGUGUAAAUUCUUACAAUCUUGCUCUAAGGUGUAGAAAUUUUAGCAUUUUAGGUCUCUUCGGUAAGGGAAUCCAGAAAUUGCAGUGUAUAUUUGCAUUGAAAAGUAGUAACAGUCUUAAUAGUUGCGUAUCAGGCGGGCAUGGUUUCUGUUCCAGCCAUUAUUGGAAAUCCAAUUGAAAAUAGGGAUAAACUUUUUGAAGUGUAUAACGGGGAUCGUUCUUAUGUUUUCUAUUUAAACCUUGAUUUAACUUAUCUAUUGGGACUUCCUUUUUCAUCUGCAACACUUAUGUUACAAGUGAAACUUCAGGAUCGUGUCCUAGAGUUCAAAACCUGUACCUUGUGAACUCUAGGACGGUGUUUGAAGUUUAAUUUUUACAUUGUCUGAAGUUGGGUUCUUGCAGUUCUACAUUCUACUUUGUUGCCACUUUUUAAGUUGCUUCAUACGCCACUCAAACUUGGCCUCACUUCCAACUCUGAGUAUGUAUAUCUAGACACUUAAACUCGUCUUCACUGAGUCAUAUAAACACUCCAACUUGCAAAAUGAUUAUCUAGGCACCUCUAAAAUUUAUGUGUCACAUCAAUAUCGGAUGUCCAUGAGACAUAAUAGGAACGAGUUUGAGUGUUUAGUUGCCAGUUGAGAUCAAGUUGAAGUGUUUAGAUGUGCACUUGGAAAGUUGGGAUGCUUAUUUGUUAAUUGAGGCAAAAUUUGAGAUUUUUUUUAAUGUAUUAUGUCUAUAUUCUAAUUAGCAGUUCUAAAAGUUUAUUUGUAACAAUUUUGUGUUGGGAAAUAUGUUUAGAAUAAUUUGGAUGAAGAUUAUGUUUUGUAAACAAAACUGUAAUCAACCAAAUUAAAUGUCUAUAAAACCAAGACAAUGUAUCUACGUUUUUUGGUAUAAUUUUAUGUAUUUUGGACGGAAAAAGAAAUAUUACCUAAAGUCCUAAACUGACCUACAAACUAAUCCAACCAUUUGAGAUUUGACAGAUUUUAUUUUGUCUUAUGGUUUGAAGUAGCAUUGUUAUUAUAGACGAUAUUUUCAACAUAUAAAAAUACAAGAAUGAUUUAGGAGAGAAUAAGAGUAAAAUAAAAGGGUAAAUAUUUAAGGAAAAAUUACUUGAGUGGGUGCUUUAAAUUAAUAUUUAUUACAUUUAAACUUAUUUUUAUUUUAGUACUAGAUAAUGUUGCCCGUGCAUAGCACGGGCCCAAUAAUUUAAAUGGUAUGUUUUGGGGCUAAUAACGGAAUUUUUAAAGUGAUUGUUUGCGUGGAUAAAUGAAUAAAUUUUUUUAUCACAAACUUGUACUUUCUUUGACGCUAUUUAAGGCAUAAUAAGACUACCCACAUGCAACAUUUUUGAAAUAUUUUAUGUUGUCAAUUAUCAUGAUUUAUAGUAUUUUUACGCAACUUUUACAUAUAAAAAAACUAAAAACGGAAGAGAAAUAAAUUAAAAUGGACCCAAUAUAUGUUAUUUUUGUUGUCUCAAUUUAUGUGACACAAAUAAAAUUUGGAGAGUCAUCCAAAUUUUCCUAUUUUUAAAAAAAUGUUUCAAGUUAUUAAUUAUUGUGAUUUAUAAUAUUUUUAUGUAACUUUCAAAUAACCUACAUUACUGGUCACUUUGUUCUAAUUUAUGUGAUAUGGAUAAAAUUACAAAAUUAACCCUUUUAAAAUGUCUUUCAGAUAUUUUAAGUUGUUAAUUAUUAUUAUUUAUAAUACUUUUUUGGUAAUUUUAAAAUGAUAUGUGUUAUUUUUUCUGUCCCAAUAUAUGUAAGCCUGAUAGAAUUCUGAGAGUGAACCUAUUUUAUUAUAUAGCUUUUAAAUAUUUUAAAUUGGUAAUUAUUGUAAUUUUUAAUGUUUUUAAGUCAUUUGUAACUGAUAUAUGUUGCUUCCUUUGUCCCAUUUUAUAUAGUAUAAAUAAAAUUCCCGAAACCAACUCAAUUUUUAAUAUAUAUUUUUAAAUAGUUUAAAUUAUUAAUUAUUGCGAUUUAUAAUAAUAAAAAAAAUUAAAUAGAAAAUGUACAAAACUUGUAUCAGCCUAAAAAAUGACCACGAUAAUUCGAAGCAUACAGAAAGCAAUAAGGUUGUACGUAAUUUUUAAAUACUUAAUAUAUAUUACUCCGCUUGUCUCAAUGUAUGUAGCAUAGAAAAAAUUUGAAGAGUCAAUCAAAUGUUGUUAAUUGUUAACAUUUAUAAUACAUUUUACGUAGUUUUCAAUAAUUUCACAUUAAAUAAUACAUAUUACUACUUUUGUCUCAUUUUAUGUGACAUUGAUAGAUUAAUUUCAAGAAUCAGUCAAUUUCUUUUUCUGUGUGUUUUUUAAUAAAUAUUUUAAGUUGUCAAUUAUCACGAUUUAUUGUAUUUUAUACAUAAUUUUUAACGAUAGAUUAAUUUCAAGAAUCAAUCAAAAAANNNNNNNNNNNNNNNNNNNNNNNNNNNNNNNNNNNNNNNNNNNNNNNNNNNNNNNNNNNNNNNNNNNNNNNNNNNNNNNNNNNNNNNNNNNNNNNNNNNNNNNNNNNNNNNNNNNNNNNNNNNNNNNNNNNNNNNNNNNNNNNNNNNNNNNNNNNNNNNNNNNNNNNNNNNNNNNNNNNNNNNNNNNNNNNNNNNNNNNNNNNNNNNNNNNNNNNNNNNNNNNNNNNNNNNNNNNNNNNNNNNNNNNNNNNNNNNNNNNNNNNNNNNNNNNNNNNNNNNNNNNNNNNNNNNNNNNNNNNNNNNNNNNNNNNNNNNNNNNNNNNNNNNNNNNNNNNNNNNNNNNNNNNNNNNNNNNNNNNNNNNNNNNNNNNNNNNNNNNNNNNNNNNNNNNNNNNNNNNAUAUUCCAAAGAAAAAUGGAUAAAAUAUUUUCUGAAAAAGAAUUCCUUAUUGUCUACAUAGAUGAUAUUCUAAUAUGUUCUAAAACAUAUGAGGAACAUUUAACACAUCUGAAAGAAUUUUCAGAAAUUUGUUUAAAAAAUGGAAUUGUGUUAAGUCAGAAAAAAAGCUGACAUCAAUAAAAAUGAAAUAGAAUUCUUGGGAAUGAUUAUUUCAAAAAACAGAAUAGAACUCCAGUUUGACGAUAGUCUUGAAAUUGUUGUAGAAAAUCAUAUUCUAUAUUAUUUUAAAAGGGAGUUUAUGCCCAAGUUCUACUAUAUAAUAAAUAUAAUAUAUAAUAUUCAAGAAAGUCCCAAUUUUAAAUAUUAUAUAUUAUACUUGGGUAUAAAAUAGAAUUUUAAAAGUCCCACAAGUAUAAUAUAUAAUAUUAAAGAUUGGGAAAAGUCCCAAUCUUAAAUAUUAUAUAUUAUACUUGGGCCUAAACUCUCUUUUAUAAUAUUAGAAUAUCAUCUAUAGUGAUACGUUACAAUACUUUUAUUUAAUAGGGAAAAUAUACAUGCUAUUUUAUUUUUUUGAGAACACUUUCCAAUUUGGGGGAAAAGAGCCGCGCAUCAUCUCCUACACUCUUUCUACAUUUUUAGGCUUGUUAGGCUUAAUCCUUCUAUUGUCAUUUGAGUCCGGCAUCAAAAUGGACACUUUUUGAAUCCUGAACACCAAAAGGGACCCUCUCUAAAAACACACACCAAAAUAGACAGCGGCGAACUACAACUUCCAUCUUUUAACUGUUAGGACCGAAAUAAAAAGGUGUAAUGCGGAAGCUAGCAAAGCAAACCUCGAAAAACCAUGAGUAAUAAGACAAACGAGAAACACACCAAAAGAGACUGAUUUAACGUGGUUCGGUAAAUUGACCUACGUCCACAAAGGAGAUGAACAAUCCACUAUAAAUAUGAGAGUAUAAAAUAUAGAGAGAAACAACCUCAACCAAUUCACUCGGAAUACAAGAAGGUACACAAAAUUCUCCCCCAUAACCGCAACUCUCAAAACCCUAGGACUACAUUAUGAAUACUGAUUAAAUUAGAAGGAACAAGUCUAUAUUUAUAGAGUCCUAAAACCUUUCCUACAAGAAAAGGACUACUCAAAAUAUUAAAACAUUUUCCUAAAAGGAAAACCUAUUUAUGGUAAGAAACUCAGGGCAAUUAAUACCCAACAAAUCUCCCCCUUAGCCUGAAUUUCUGACAAAAUAAAUUCGUUCACCUUCUUCACAUAAUCUUCAACAAAUUGCAUCUCUUCUCCAUAAUCUCCUCCAUCAAAUCUACGUCUCGACACAAAGAACCUCUCUGAAACAAUUUCUCCAACAAAGAUCUUCAUUACUGUCAAAAAGGCUGCGGCUAGAACUACACCUGCCAAGAUAAACAUCCAUCUCUAACAUGGCUCCAUCAUUGAACCAUGGCUCUGAUACCACUUGUUAGGAUCGAAAUAAGCAGGUGUAAUGCGGAAGCUAGCAAAGCAAACCUCGAAAGACCAUGAGUAAUAAGACAAACGAGAAACACACCAAAAGAGACUGAUUUAACGUCGUUCGUUCAAUCGACCUACGUCCACAAAGGAGAUGAGCAAUCCACUAUAAAUAUGAGAGUACAAAAUAUAUAGAGAAACAACCUCAACCAAUUCACUCGGAAUACAAGGAGGUACACAAAAUUCUCCCUCAUAACUGCAACUCUCAAAAUCAUAGGACUACAUUGUGAAUGCUGAUUAAAUUAGAAGGAACAAACCUAUAUUUAUAGAGUCCUAAAACCUUUCCUACAAGAAAAAGACUACUCAAAGUAUUAAAACUUUUUCCUAAAAGAAAAACCUAUUUAUGGUAAGAAAUUCAGGGCAAUUAAUACCCAACACUUCUCACCCGUGAAAGAAUGGUGUUAGUUUCAUUUAUGAGCAUGUUUUCUGCCUACAAAAAAUAAUCACAUCUAUCAUUUUCCUGAAAUAACAAAACAAGAAAUCAAGUGAAUAUCCAAAUAUUUUUAAGUGAACAACUUAAUUUUCUUACCUUUAAAUGCGCACGACUUCAAAACUUACGAUCGGGAUUUCUUGGAGUCCUUGAUAUUUUUAUUUUACAAUAUUCUUUGUAUUUAUAAUCAUCUGAUUCAAUUGAAUAUACAGACUUUUCGAAUUGUUGAGACAUGCCUAUCAAGUUUCAAAAAUCAAAAUAUAAAGUAUAAAAAAGUAGAAGAUGAAUGAGAAAAUGUGGAGUGAAUAACCCAUAUUUAUUGUUGAAGAAAGAGAUAUAGUUUCACGUAAGAGAUAUAUAUUCAAGUGAGGAUUAACAAAAAGAAUUGUAGUUCACCCAUAAAUGGGGGAACUGUCCGUUUUGGUGUGUGUUUUUAGAGAGGGUACAUUUUGAUGUAUAUGGUUCAAAAAGUGUCCAUUUUGAUGCCGGACUUACUCUCAUUUCAACAUUUCUUUGAAUCUCGUUGAUUUCUUACAUGAAUUUUGUUGCUUUAGUUUGUUCUUAGUGCAUAGCUUAAUGGAGGAUAAAAAAAAUUCCUAGAAGAAGCUUUCGAAAUUGAAUUGGAGCUUCAAUCGAUAGUGGUGAUGAAGAUUUUGAUGAUCAAUCUAUUCAAAAGGUUUAGACAAGGGGUUAAAUUUAGGCUCUUAAUGGGAUAAUUGUCGCGAUCCGAGUCUAUUUUGGACGUGACCGGCGCUUUGAAUCAUUGCUGGCCUUAGCGAAUUCUUGUUCUGACAUACUAUAAGACCGAAUACUAACUAAUGCAGAAAAUUUUAAAAUAUGAGCAUGCAAUGCAAUAACUUAGAAAACAAUUUCAAUAACUUUAUAGCUGAAAAUUUGAUAUAUGUAUACUAUGUAUAUACUUGUAAACAAUGGUGAUAUUCAUAACUCAACUUACUCGUCUAUGAAGCUUCUAUUAUAUUAGUAAAGGGCCUUUAGGCUUGACUAAUAAGAUAUAUAGGGCUUUUCCCUUUACUAGUAAGAGGCAAAGAGCAUCAACCUUUAGUCAUCUAUCUCGCUACCUAUUCCUUUUGUAAAAAGGCUUUGGGGAUAAGAUCAGACUUGAGAAAUAGUCUACUUCAAGGCUGCAGGGAGGACUACGCUCUGCAGGUGGGCAUCACUAUUUAUCAUGUCAAGACGGAAUUCCGGUUUGUUUUUGAAGGUGAUCAAAAAGAUUCGACGAAAACCGGGCAUACAUUCGAGAGAGAGAAGGAUUAGUUUGUGUCUGGGUCAAGGGGACGUCUAACAUACUAAAGAUAGGUUAUUACCGAGACAAAAUCCUAGGCUAUCUAAAUAUUUUACUAUCAUCAUAUGCUAACUAAUUAAUACUUAAGAUAAACAUGGGCCCUCCGAAAGUAAGGAGGUUUCACCAAAGCUGGAUGAAGGUGAUCCUAAUGAUGUGUCUGUUGUCGAUCUUGAAUGUCCUAAUCUGCAUCAUUAAAAGAUGCAACGUAGAAUGACGUAUACUAUUGAUACAGAUGGAUUGGCAUUGUCAAAUGCCUUAAAAAAUACAAACUUUUUCUGUAACUUAAGAAAGUUGAUUGUCUGUCAAUCCCUUAAUAGAUAUACUCCCAUUCAUUUCUUCUUAUAUACUUACAUCUAAAGGUAAAAACAACACAACACAUAGAAGGGAAGAAAAAGAAAAAAGAAAUGGGGAGAGGAAAAAUAGAGAUAAAGAGAAUAGAAAACUCAAGCAACAAACAAGUAACAUACUCAAAGAGAAGAAAUGGGAUCUUGAAAAAGGCUAAGGAAAUUAGUGUUCUUUGUGAUGCUCAUGUUUCUGUUAUCAUAUUUUCUACUUCUGGAAAGAUGCAUGAAUAAUUCUCAUCUACUCCGUAUGUUAGCUUCCUUUAAUUUGUUUAUUUUUUAAUCAUCAUAUUUAACCUUGUUCUUUUUCAUUGUCUAAGAAAUUUUGGUGUGAUUAUUUUGAAGUUUGGUUGAUAUUUUGGAUCAAUACCACAAGCUUACUGGGAGAAUAUUGUGGGAUGCUAAGCAUGAGGUAAACUAAAAACCCUUUAAAAAUUUCAUCUUUUCUUUUUACCUAUUCUUGAAAAGGUGGAGAAAAAAAAGAGAAACAAAUCAAAGGAACACUUGGAUCAAAUUCCAUCAUUUCUUUUGCAUAUUCUUGAAAAGGGAGGGGGGGGGGUAAUCAAACAAACCCUAGGAUCAAAUUCCAUAUUUUUCUUUUACCUAUUCUUGAAAAAAGGGAAAAAAUUUUAAAAAAAAAUCAAAGAAACACUUGGAUCAUAUUCCAUCUUUUCUUUUACCUAUUCUUGAAAAAGGAAAAAACAAUCAAACAAACCCUUGGUUCAAAUUCCAUAUUUUUCUUUUACCUAUUCUUGAAAAAGGAAAAAAAAAUCAAACAAACCCUUGGUUCAAACUCCAUAUUUUUCUUUACCUAUUCUUGAAUAAGGAUAAAAACGAGAAAAAAACCAAAGAAACACUUGAAUCAAAUUCCAUCUUCUUUUACCUAUUCUUGGGGAAAAAAAGGGGGGAAAGAAACAAAUUAAAGAAACAUGUGUAUUUUGCUAAAAACAAAGUUAGUUCACUUGAAACAUGGCUGCUUGGUACAAAGAUUAAUAAUGCAGGGUUUAAUAAUGUAGUGUUUAAUAAUAUAGGAAUUAGUUUUUAUUAAGUGUUUGAUUCAUUACUUAAUUCCCACCUUAUUUUGUAUUUGGUUUAAAAACUCUACAAAAUGCUUUUUUCCUAUUAUACCUUUUGAGUUAUUAUGAGAUUUUCUAUUUGAUUUAACUAAUCAAGUUAAAUACUAAUAUUAAUUUUGAGGUGUGAUGUGCCACUAUAGAAAUCCUUGAUAGCAUGGUAUAUUUCGAAUUUUUUAUUGGUCAAAUAUACCUUAAACUUAACACAAAUUUAAGGCUACUUAAAUUAUUCAAAUACACAAAGCUUAUUUUAAAAAAAUAAAAAAUAGUUCAAGUGGUCAAUGGACGAACUAUAUUUUUAAAAAACCCAAAAAAAUAAAAAACAAUAUAGCAAAUCAAACAUGGAGAGAAAAAAAUUAGUAUGUGAAAUCAUCAAAUUACAUUGAGCGGAUUUGGAAAAUUAAAAAGAACAUUUAUAAUUAUUCCAAUUAUUAAAUUACAAAAGAAAUUUAAGAAAAGAGUUUGGGGGAUAGUUUAGUCAUUUAGGGGGUCUUAUCCAAGGUUUGUUAAACCUUGGAUUAGUUAUCCCUCCCUUUUCUAGGGAUAAAUAAGACCUUGUAUGAGGUUUAACUAAUUCAUGGAUUAAUUCAAAUAAAGUAACCAAACACAGGAACUAUUUUGAUUAAUACCUCCUGUCAAACGGGUUAUCUUUAAAUGGUUCUAGAAAAAGUAAGUUGUUUUUUCUUCUUUGGCUUCUCUUUUUAGGAAAAGAAAGAGAUUAGGAUUUUCUUCCCUUUAACAUGAAAGAUCAAUCUUUUAACUGGUUAUUGACUGACCCCCUUUUGAAAAAAAAAGAAGGUGAUUUUGUUGUUAGAAAUUAGAAACAUCAAUUCUAUGAAGAGAUCUAAAAAUAACAUGUACAUUUUUAGCUAUAUUAUCCCUAGUCAAAAUUGUAACAAGAAGGAGUGAUGGUUAUAUUCUUCUAGUCAAGAAAAUGAAAUCUUAAUUCUUCCCUCUUAUUUCCUUUUGUUUGCAAGUCUUUUCAUUGUUGUUAGCACCCAAAACUACCUAGCUACCUAUAUGGUCUUCAAUAUAUAUCAAUAUUGAUUGAUUGAUUAAGUAGCUUGAGUACUAUUAUUCUAGUACUGGUUUCAAUGUUUUUUUUUAUAAAAAAAAUUAUGAAGUUUUUGAUUAGUUUGAUUGGAUUGUAAACAGAACUUGGACAAUGAAAUCAACAAAGUCAAGAAAGACAAUGACAACAUGCAAAUAGAACUCAAGUAAAUUUAUUAAACUUCUCUCUUUACUUUAUUAGUUUAGGCUCUUAGGAUGACCUUUAAGUUCGUUUGGUUGGAAAAAAGUUAUAAUAGGAUUAAUCAUUUCGGGACAAAUUAUUUCAUCAUGUAUAUGAGAUAACUUAUCUAAUCACUAAAGUAUAUUAAUGGUGGAAUAAAUAAUUCCAGGACGGCCUAAUACCUUCAAUCAAACGCAGUAUAAAAUAGUCGUGCAUCAGGAUUAUUAUACCUUCACACCAACAACUCAUGAGUUCAUAAUUAUAUAUUUAUAGUUAUUUAAAAGAUCUCUUAAUACAAAUAUUAGUAAGAAAGAAGUUUGGCUUAAUAUUUAUUGAUGUUGAGUUGUUUAAUUUCAGGCACCUAAAGGGUGAAGACAUAUCAUCUUUCAACUCAUGUAGAGAGCUCAUGAUAUUGGAAGAUGCUCUUGAAAAUGGACUCACUCGUAUACGUGAUAAACAGGUUUGUACUACAAUGAGUAAUAUUUUUAUAAUGUGUUCAAUUAAAUUUAAUAAUUAAUGUGUUCUUAUAUACUAGUAUUUAUCACUUUGAUUGUGUGUUACAGAAUGAGUUUUUGAGGAUGAUGAGGAAAAAGGUAUGUCCAACACUAUGUAAUGUGUUUGAAGUACAUAAAUAUUGUUCUCCCUAGCUAAACUAUUAUCAUUAAUUUUCAGUAUUCAUACUUAAACUAUUACGUGUUUCUCCCUUAUAAACUAUCCCCGUUCUAUGUUAUUUUUAAAAAUAACUAAAUUUAUUCAGAAUGAAAAAAAAAACAUUGCUAUUUUCUUUCGACAUAUGGAGUAGCCUCUUGUUUUUUUUUUCUUAUUUAAUAAAAACAUUGUUGUUAACUUUUCUGUGAUGUUCAAUUAUAUCAUGUGUUGUACAUUUUCUUUCUUAUAUUUUUGACAUACUGUGGUGUUUGAAUGGAAAUUAAUUCCACAGACUCAAAAUAUGGAGCAGGAGCAACUUAACAGCCAAUUGGUAUGGUUAUCAUAUUAACUUAAUUUUAACAUAUAUAUAUUUGCUCUCAUUUUUCUUUUUCACAGUUUUAACACUUUAAAUGUCUCAUAAAAAACAUAAUACACAUGUAUAUUAAAGGGCAAAUUCGAGAUUUGAACUUGAUAGGUUUAAUUAUCUUUAAGAUUCUUAUAGAACUAAAUUCAAAUUACUUAUUCCGCCUUGAGCAGUGUAUAACCUAGCUUUCUUAAAAAUCUUGAUGUUUUGUUGAGAACGAUUUUGAAUGAGGUACUGAUGAACUUCGUGUACGUUUAUUUAGAUAUACUCAUUAACAUUUUGAGAUGGAACGUCACUAAGUCAUUAGGUUGCUAGUUAGUUAUGCAGGUAUUAAAAUGUAGAAAUUAGUUAUAUAGAGUUUAAUUAUUCAUGUACUCCUUAUUAGCUAUCCAUCUUCUACGCAGAAUUAUAAAUUGAUAGCCAAACACCGCAUUAUUUGGUGUGUUGAACUUUAUACAUAGCAUGCAACUAUAAUGUUGUCAAACAAUGCUUAUACUAGUUUUAAUACAUGAAUAACUCGUCACUUUUUGACCAGCAACCAAACUAUAUACUGUUUCAUUAACAUUUUAAGAUUCCUAACGUCCUCGAUACACAUAUAUAUAUUUUCAAAGAUUAAUUUGGUGCACUAACAUUUAGUUUGUUUUGGAAAAAUUAAUGACAGAGGCAACUAGAGAUAGCAAGCAUCAAUAGGAACAUUGGAGAAAUAGGGGAAGUAUUUGAGCAAACAACCAAUGCCUUUUGCCUUGAGAGUCCAACGUAACCUAAUUUACCCCAGAGGUUCUAAAUCAAACCUCCAUCUCUAUGUUUGAUCAUCAUCAAUGAAACACCUUUUUAUUAGUAAUAUUGUUCUAAUAAUUUGUGCUUUCAACAAACUUUGGUGUGUAAUAUGAUCAAUAUUUAAUACUCAUCUCUACUCUAUGCUUUUAAGUGACAUUAUAUAUCCUAGCUCGAAGACAAAGAUAUUUUCUAUCGGUGAAAACUUGGAAAGGAUCAAGAGUUGUGACAAUUCGAGUUUGCUGAGGGGAUUAAGUAAGAGAAAAUGGAAGAAACACAAUUUAAAUAUGUUUUGGAUAAGUAAGAAUUCAUCAUUAUAUUAUAGGAUAAAAUUCAAACUUGAUAGAUGGAUGAACUAAAGGGAGAUACAUAGCAAGAAGACAAAUCAAACAUAUAUGAGUCAAUGUAAAUAGUUACAAUUAGUUGUAAUAAUGUGGCUUUAAAUGGGAUUUAUUUAGGCAUAAUUUGUGGAUCUUGUCUCUUAUAAUUAAUUAACUUAGCUAUAUAUAUAGUGGUUAUACUAAAAUUCUCGAAGCUAUUAAAUUAGCAAUUGUCCACAAGAUACAGCAUUACGCUCUCUAACGUUGUUGUCAGCUAACUUUCUCGAAACUCAAUGCUAUUAUAAUUUGUAUUUCUACAUAUAUUAUUGGGAAAAAGGUUUGACAUAUCUCUCAACUUUGUCAUUUAGAGCUGAUAUACCCCUCGUUCUGAAAGCGGCUCAUAUAGACCUCUUUUGUUACACAAAUAGCUCACAUAUACCCUUCUCCUCUAACAGAAGUGAAAAAAAAUAGUUUUAAAUUAAUUUUUUUAUUAAAAGAAAUAAUCCAUAUAGGGAUAUAUUUUAUCGUUCUCAUGCAUUUUUUUUUGUUUUUUUAUUCAACGGCUAAUUUGAAUUUAUUAUUUUGAUGGUCAAAUUUAUUCUUUUGACUUAUUUUCUUAUAAUCUUUACUAUAGAUAUACUAAAAAAAAUUGCAGAUAUAAAUAUUAAAUUAAUUACAAUAACAAAAAAAAUAGUUUUUUUUUCUUUUUUUUUUCUUUUUUUCAUUCACACUUCUUUCUUUUUAUUUCUCAAAUUUUACACUAAAGAAUGAAAAAAAAUGAGAUAAGAAUAAGAAACUCAAAUAAUAAUAAUAAAAAGAGUCAAAAAAUAAUUUAUGUGUGAACAAGAUCAAAUAAAUAUAAAAAUCAAAAAAAAUAAUUUAAAAUUAAUUUUAUCACUUUUGUAACGGUAGGGGUAUACGUGAACAAUUUUUGUAACGGUGAGGGGUAUAUGUGUGCCAAUUUUGUAAUGGUAGAAGCAUAUAUGAGCCAAUUUUGUAACCAGUGGCAUAUCAGCUCUAAAUGAUAAAAUUGAGGGGUAUAUCAGGACUUUUUCCAUACAAGUUAAUUCUUUGCAGUCCUAUUAUUUAGUCAAUUCAACGCACUUACUCUUAAAUUGUGUGAAGAAAUUUAAUUAUACCGUUUUGAAAGUCUAAGUAUGUGUUUGCGUAUGUGGUUUCAUAUCGCAAUAUAAAAUCAUGAAAUGAAAUCAGCGUUUGGAUAUGCAAUUUUACGUUGAUUUUAUCUCAUAAUUUCAUAUCAUGAGAUGAAAUUAGGGGUGUCAAAAAUGAACCCAAACAUAGAUAACCUGCCCAAUCCGCCCAGAAUUUUAAGGGUUGGGCUCAAGAUAAUUUGAAUUGGGUUCAAUCUCAACUCAUUCAAGCCUAACAUAUUUUAAGAGAAUCCUCAAUUAAGCCCAAUUCAAUUUCCAAUUUCAACCCGUUUUAAAACUCUUUACUAAGAUAUGCUCCUAUAUUAAAGGUAUGAAUUAUUAUCUAUUUAACAUCUUUAGGAUUUAUCUAUCCAUUUGUUACUUUUUUAAAAAAAAAUCUUGAGCUGAAAUUCGAAUUGUGAUUAUAAAAGUUAAAUAUCAGUAUGUUAAAAUUAUUGAGAUUAAUCGGGUCAAAUUGAGCGGGUCAAGACCCAACCCGUUUUUAGCCCAUUUGAACCCAACCCAUUUGAGCCCAAAGUAAACUUGGGCGGGUCAAGACUCAACCCAUUUUAAUAUCUCCAAUUUCAACCCAACCCGCCCAUUUGACACCCCUAGAUGAAAUCUCAAAUUCUCCAAAAAAGCAUGAUUUGGGAAUUUCAAAUCAUGAUUUGAGAUUUUUUAAAUAUAAAAUCCGACCCAAAAGUUUAUAUUUUGUAAAAAUAACCCCACAUUUAUAUCUACUAACCAUUUAUUUCAUAUGUAAAAUGAUUCAUAUCAUUAUACUUUUUAAACCAUUUAUACUCAUAUAGCGAUUAUUCUCACCAACAUAAAAUUUAUUAUUACUUCAAAUCAAUUCCUACUUUACCAUUUAUAUCCACCAUUUUAUUUAUUUUUAUCAAAUUUAUUUACCAACAAAUGGUUCAAAGUAACAACGUUGGUUUGUGAUCUUCUCGGUCAUAUAUGAUCGAGAAAUGCAAGUGACUGCUCGUACUAUAUGGGAGGAUUAUAUUAAAGACUAGUACACUAUAAUUUAUGUUCAAUUUAUUGCUUUAUUGAAUAAUGUUUGUCCAAUAAAUGUUGUAUAUUUUUUUUAGAAUAGUUUUGUGAUAGUAUAUUAUGUGAUUUUAUAAACUUUUGCUUAUUUGGUAAAGAUUGUAUAAAGAAUUGAGACAAUUUUAAUAGUUUUACAACUUAUGUAAUUUUUUGUUUUAUAAGAAAACAUACCACAUAAGAAGUUCAAAUUACAUGUACAAACAAAACAUCUACUGAAUCUUAUUAUGAUUUCAAAUCAUAAUUUCAUAUUGCAUCGAGUGAAUAAAUUUUUUCACUUUCAACUUCUUAAUACUGCUCAACAAGUGAGAAAUGAAGAUGGAGAAAAACCAAAGGAUAAGAAGAUGCAAGAAAGGGUUAAGAGAAGUGCUAAGUUACAAGUAAAGAUACAGAUGGAUUGGCAUUAUCAAAUGCCUUAAAAAAUACAAACUUUUUCUGCUACUUAAGAAAGUUGAUAGUCUGUCAACCCCUUAAUAGACACUCCCAUUCAUUUCUUCUUCUUCUUAUAUACUUACUUCAAUAUAUUCAUCUAAAAGGUAAAAACAACACAACAUACAAAGAAGAAAAGGGGAAAAAGAAAAAAAAAAUGGGGAGAGGAAAAAUAGAGAUAAAGAGAAUAGAGAACUCAAGCAACAGACAAGUAACAUACUCAAAGAGAAGAAAUGGGAUAUUGAAAAAAGCUAAGGAAAUUAGUGUUCUUUGUGAUGCUCAUGUUUCUGUUAUCAUUUUUGCUACUUCUGGAAAGAUGCAUGAGUUCUCAUCUACUCCGUAUGUUAUAUAUCAUCCUUUAAUUUGUUUAUUUUUUAAUCAUCAUAUUAUUCAACCUUGUUCUCUUUUUUUUUUGUCUAAGAAAUUUUGGUGUGAUUGUUUUGAAGUUUGGUUGAUAUUUUGGAUCAAUACCACAAGCUUACUGGGAGAAGAUUGUGGGAUGCGAAGCAUGAGGUAAAGUUGAAACCCUUUAAAAAAACAUUUUUUUUUCUUUUAUCUAUUCUUGAAAAGAGGAAUGAGAAAAAAAUUAUAUAGGAAAAAAUGAAAGAAACACUUGGAUCAAACUCCAUCUUUUCUUUUACCUAUUCUUGAAAAAGGGGAUUUUUUUUUAAAAAUAAAUCAAACAAAUCUUGGAUCAAAUUCCAUAUUUUUCUUUUACCUAUUCUUGAAAUAAACACUUGGAUCAUAUUCCAUCUUUUCUUUUUACCUAUUCUUGAAAAAGGAAAAAAAAUAAGAAAAUAUAAUAAACCCUUGGAUCAAAAUCCAUAUUUUUCUUUUACCUAUUGUUGAAAAAAGGGCAAAAAUGGAAGAAAAAAAAUCAAAGAAGCAUUCCAUCUUUCUUUUUUUUUUUUUUUUUACCUAUGCUUGAAAAGGGGGGAAAAAUCAAACAAACCCUUGAUCAAAUUCCAUAUUUUUCUUGAAAUGGGGAGGGGGUGGGGGAAUCAAAGAAACCCUUGGAUCAAAUUCCAUCUUUUAAUUACAUAUUCUUGAUAAAGGGGAAAAGAAAAAAAAAUCAAACAAACUCUUGGAUCAAAUUCCAUAUUUUCUUUAACCUAUUCUUUAAAAUGCAAAAAAAAAAAAACAUGUGUAUUUUGCUAAAAACAAUGUUAGUUCACUUGGAACAUAAAAUCUUUGAACAGGUCUAGAAAAAGCAAGUUGUUUUUUCUUAUUUAGCUUCUCUUUUUAGGAAGAAAAAUAAAAUUAGGGUUUUCCUCCCUUUGACAUGAAAGAUCAAUGUUUUAACUGGUUUUUGACUGACCCCCUUUUGGGGAAAAAGGGUGAUUUUGUUGUUAGAAAUUAGAAACAUCAAUUCUAUGAAGAGAUCUAAAAAUAGCAUGUACUUUUUUAGCUAUGUUAUCCCUAGUCAAAAUUGUUAACUAGGAAGAGUGAUGGUUAUAUUCUUCUAGUCAAGAAAAUGAAAUGUUAGUUCUUCCCUCUUAUUUCCUUUUGUUUGCAAGUCAUUUCAUUGUUGUUAGCACCCAAAACUAGCUAGCUACCUAUAUGGUCUUCAAUAUUGAUUUAUUGAUUAACUAGCUUAAUUUCUAUGUUUUUUUUUAAAAUAAAAUAUUUAAAGUUUUUGAUUAGUUUUGAUUGGAUUGUAAACAGAACUUGGACAAUGAAAUCAACAAAGUCAAGAAAGACAAUGACAACAUGCAAAUAGAACUCAGGUAAAUUUAUUAAACUUCUCUCUUUUAUUGAUAUUUAAAAGAUUUCUUAAUACGGAUUUGAGCAAAAGCUAGCUACUGGAUUCCGCUCCCUCCCUUUUCCCAAAAAAAUAAUUUAAAAAUAAAAUUCAAAGACCUCUAAGGUUUUGCUUCGUUUCACUGAUAUUACAAAAAAGUCAAAAUAAAUGUGAGGAAAGAGUCUGUGAAACGAAGCAAAACGUGAAGGGAGGUCAGUGAAACAAAGCAAAAAGUGUAAAAGAAAAAACAAAAUAUUAGUAGUAGGAAAGAAGUUUUGUUUAAUGGUUUAUCCAUUGUUGAAUUGUUUAAUUUCAGGCACCUAAAGGGUGAAGACAUAUCAUCUUUGAACUAUAGAGAACUCAUGAUAUUGGAAGAUGCUCUUGAAAUUGGACUCACUGGUAUCCGUGACAAACAGGUACCUACAAUUUUAUAUUUUUGUGUGUUUAAUUGAAUUUAAUAAUUAAUGUGUUCUUAUAUAAUAUUUAUCACCUUGAUUGUGUUACAGAAUGAGUUUGUGAGGAUGGUGAGGAAAAAGGUAUGUCCAACUCUAUGUAAUUUGUUUGAAGUACAAUGAGUUUUAAUACAUAGAUUAUCAUCGUUUUCGGUAUUCAUACUUAAACUAUUACGUGUUUCUUUCAGAACUAUCAUCGUUUUAUGUUAUUAGCUUUUUUUAAAUUUAUAUACAUUAAUUUUUAAAAAUAACUAAAUUUAUUUAGAAUGAAAAAAAAAAACAUUAUUCCUUUCAUUUCAAAAAGAAUGACAUGCUUUCAUUUUUAGUCUGUUUCGUAAAGAAUGUUUGUUUUCCUUUUUUGGCAACACUUUGGUUUCAGCUUUUCACAUGGCAUGUUUAAGGCCACAAGACUAAAGGACAUUUUGGUACAUUUGACAUAACUUCAAUUUAGGAUCAUAAAAUUGAAAAAUCUUCUUUAUUUUCUUAAACUGCAUGUCAUAUCAAACUAGAUCUUUUUUUUUUAAUCGAGGGAGUGACUAUUUUCUUUUGAGAGAUGGAGUAGACUCUUGUUUUUUUCUUAUUUAAUAAAAAAUAAUAUUGUUGUUAACUUUACUGUAAUGUUCAAUUAUAUCAUGUGUUGUAUAUUAUAUCUUUCUUAUUUUUUUGACCUACUGUGGUGUUUGGAUGGAAAUUACUCAAGACUCAAAAUAUGGAGCAGGAGCAAGAUCAACUUAACUGUCAAUUGGUAUGGUUAUCAUAUUAACUUAAUUUUUACACAUAUAUUUGCUCUCUUUUUUCUUGAGGACAAAUCCAAAAUUUGAACUUGAUAGGUUUAAUCUUCGAGAUUCUUAGCACUAAACUGAUAAAAUUAUGAAUUCAAAUUAAUUAUUUCGCCUUGAUCAAUGCAUUAUAUUUCUAAAGCUCUAUAAUAUGUUGACUCACGAAGAAUUUAGAUAUCUAUAACCUAGCUUUCUCAAAAUCUUGAUGUUUUGUUGAGAACAAUUGUGAAUGAAGAGAUGUAAAUCGUACUUCGUUUAUAUAUUUUAGAUAUGCUCCUAAACAUUUGAGAUUGAACGUCCCUAGGUCGUUAGAUUGCUGGUUAGUUAUGCAUGUAUUAAAAAUACUGUAUGAAUUAGUUAUAUAAAGUAAGUUUAAUUAUCCAUGUACUUCUUGGUUAUUUCAUCUUUUACCUAGAUUUUAUUCUAACUUAUACACAUGUACUCCAUUAGUUAUGUAGAUUUAUAAAUUGGUAACCAAACACCGCAUACUUAGGUGUGUUGAACUUUAUACGUAGCAUGCAACUAUAAUGUUGUCAAACGUUGUAUUAGUUAUACUGAUUUUAAUACAUGAAUAGCUCAUCACUUCCUAACCAGCAACCAAACUAUAUACCCUUUCAUUCACAUUUCAAGAUUUCUAACAUCUAUAGUUUCAAAGAUUAAUUUGGUGAUUUAACCUUCACUAAUAUUUAGUUUGUUUGGACAAAUUAAUGACAGAGACAACUAGAGAUAGCAAGCAUGAAUAGGAACAUGGGAGAAGUAGGUGAAGUGUUUGAGCAGACAAGGGAAAAUCAUGAUUAUGGGCAAAUGCCUUUUGCUUUCAGAGUCCAACCAAUGCAGCCUAAUUUGCACCAGAGGUUCUAAAUCAAACCUCCCAUCUAUCUACCUAUAUCUAUGUUUUUUUUUUGUUUUUUUGUUAUAAUCGAGAAAUCAGUCUGUGACCCGCCCUUUGAACCAAUCACAGCCUUCUAAACUCGGUGGAUAAUGAACCCGCCCCCUACCUAUAUCUAUGUUUGCUCAUCAAUGAAACAUCUUUUAUUAGUAAUAUUGUUCUAGUUUGUACUUUCAACAAACUUUGGUGUGUAAUAUCAAUACUUAUCUCUACUCUAUGCUUUUAAGUGACAUUAUAUAUAUAAUAUAUUAUGCAUAUCUUGAAGGGUGGUUUGGUUCAUGGGAUAAGGUGUAUAUCUCAGGUUUAAAUUUAUAUUUUGUUUGGUUGAAAAUAAAUUUAUAUUUCAAACUUUAUGUUAUUUUAUCCCUCUUAGAUAAAUUAGUCCCUAGAUUAUAAUCCUAAGAUAAUUUUAUUUGCGAACCACAUGAUCUCUCGGUAGAAAAGCAAGCUAUAGGACAACAUAGCUCACUAAAUUCUUUCUUGAGAUUCUCCAGAUAUUUGAUCAAAUCUUUCUACAAUGGUCACAUUAUAUAAUAGUAAUAUUUUAUUAUAAAAGUCAAGUGUUUUUUAAUUUAAAUAAAAAAUGCUUUAUUUAAGUGGAGAAGAAUAGAUGGAGACUCAUUAUCCAUUGAAUUUCAAACUCUACACCACUAGCUCUUGGAAUAUCUCGGAAUCAUAGAAAAAACAAAAAUCUUUCUAUUGAUUUGAUUGAAUGAAGUCUCAAUUGUCUUAAACAAGUGUAAGAUUAAAUAGAAAUAAUAAGAAUUAUUCCAUUUUGUAUUUAACAAGACAAAAAAAAUACUGUGUGACAACACAUAGUCAUGAAUAAUUAACUCUAGCGAAAGAAUUAGAAGUUCAAUUUGUGUUUGUGAUAAUCAUGGUGUUUAAGUUAACUUGCACUCACCUCGACUAAUUUAACAGGAUAUAUAUCACUUCGGCACCUCCUUAAACAGUUUUAUAGUGAUUGGGUAAAUUAAAAAAAAUACUUAUAAGCACUUGUUUUUAAGCCACAAUAACAUAAAUAAGCCGAAAGCCAUAAGUUAGAAUUUCCAACUUAUGGCUUUUGGCUUAUAUGUCAAAAGUCAAUCCAAACAAAGAUCAAAAUACAUCUGGCUAGUAUGUAAACCUUUGUUUCUUUACAAAUAUACAAAACAUCACAUUGCAAAAAUGAUUUUUGAUGAUGAAUAUGUACAGUUUUUCUUCAGUGUUUACUUACCUUCUCCAUCAUAUCCAAGUCUGCACUUGGAAGGCCAGAGGUAUGUUACCAGCCAAAUCGAAACCAAAGUAGAAUGUCGUCCAACUCUGUUUCCUCCUAUGAACUUAUGCUCUGAUCAAUAACUCAUAGACGUUACAGUUAUUAUCACCCGAAACACGCUUCAACAUUUCAAAACUUUUACGGCUACCAAGAAAUUCUAUUCGCUUGAAUUCUACACAACCACGCUCACUAGUCUCUUUACUGCAAUAAACUGAUCUUAGUCGGUCAGCAUUCCUUGAAUCUGUGUGAAUCGCUACCUCUACCUCUCCACGGGACAUGUUUUCCUAGAAAUAUCACAAACGUAAUGUUUUAGGAACAAGAAAUCCAAUUAGAGAGAGCAUUUUAAACUUCCCCGAGUAAAAGUGAAGUGUGAAACUAAUCAAAUUCAUUUAAAGAAAUUGAAAUCUUUCUGUUAUUAUCCAUUCUUGAAUAAAAGCACAUGAAUCUAACAAAGGAUAAAUCCAGUACCUGAUAAAAUGCAUAUAUGUAAUCCAACACCUGUAAACACGUGAACCCUUUUUCACUAAAAAAGGUCCUGGAACAUGGACCCAUUUCGGAAAAUCGAUCAACUGGAAACAGUAUGGUAACGAAGUUGUUUUUCAAUAUCAGCUCAGCUUUCUCACUGCAAUCAAACAAACACAAAAAGACAAUCAAAGGAAGAAAAAAAAGUGAAUCACAUCUGUACUCCUCAAUAAUUGAGCUAAGUAGCAAUUCUGUCCCUAGUGUACCAUUUCCGCCAAUAGUAACCUAAUAGUUUGAUAUUGGUCUUGGAAUUGUCCUAUGCUAAAUUCCAACAAGUGCACAUGACCGAUACAUGACUUUCAUCAAUUACCAGUUCUGAAAAAAAUUGAUCGUUCAUUGCCCACAUAAAGAACCAACAUGAUAUGCUCCGCGAAACAAUGAUAUGCGCAAGAACUCAAAAGUUUUAAGUAUGCUAGUUGAAACUGUAACAGUCACUGAAAGUAAGAAAUCUGGCAAACCUUUCUGAAAGCGGUCGGGAUAGGUUCACAAAUGAAGCUUCAGGUGCUUUGUGAUCGUCCUUUGCAUCAAAAAACACAGAUGUGUUCUGUUGGUUUGUAUCUUCCACACUGGAAGAAUCCAUGUAAAUAGAAGCAGUCGAAGUUGGAUCAGAUAUCGACCAGCAGAUGGAAUCUAGAAGGCUGCUUGGAGAUAGGUGACGUAGAGGGGUUUGGCAAGUCUGCAAAUCAAAUGGGAAAGUAAACUUAAAUUUUUCAUUGAAAAUAGUCAUAUACUUACGAGAUCAUAAUUGGUACUUGGUUGAGUGCUACACACAAAUAAGAGAAGAACAGGAGUGAAAAGAAUUAACUAAGUUAAAGCCCUCAUGACUCCUGGCAAUGCCUAAUUGUCAUUUUGGUAGAGCACUAAGAAUAAGCAAUCUACCAGUGAACUAUAAUUUCUUAAACAAACCAAAAUCGGGCCAAGACUAUGAGAAUUAAAGUACCCGAUUCCUGUUCCCCUCUAAAGUGUUUUGGAAUGGCAGAUUGAGAUUAACACCAAGUGGCCCAACCUUGGGCCAAACCACUCACAAUUGAGAAGAUAAACAUGAAAUUCAUUGCAAUGCAACUUGAAUUAAGAUGUUAAAUCUAAAAUGAGAGUUAUGCCGUGUCACAACAGAUAUAUUGCUGACAUAUUAGCCAUAACAGAAAAAAGGUAUUAUAAGCCUAAACCAUCCAUGCAUCUAUUUGUAUUUGGUGGCAUCAUUAAACAAAAAAAAUGAGCUGUAUGACAACAAGUGGAAGUGUUUUUACCUGCAUACGCCAACCACGACGCUUCCUAACUCCAUCUUUGGCCACGUUGGCAACAUUUUGCCUUUCUUCCUGGCUCACUCUAGGUGUAGAACUUGUUACAUCUCGAAGAUAAGCACCAGUGUUGACUUCCUAUAUUCAUUUAAAAAAAUAUUAAACUGUAGCAAGAAAUCAUCAAAAGAUGGUGCUACAAUGCAAAAAUUCAAUCAAAUAUAUAAAUUGAUAGCUCAAACUUGUAAAUAUGUGUAUCUUACGUGACCAAUUUGAGAUCAGCCACUGGAGGCCAUCCCAUCCAACUAAUCACUUGUUACACUGUCAGAAUUUUUUAUGGUAAAAUCUAUUUUAACAGAAAGCCCCAGAAAACUAGACAGCUUUCAACAGGUAAAGCAACUAAUUCCUUGUGAAAUUUCAAGCAUUGUCUAGAUGUGGUACCUUUCAACUGGACACAAUAUCCACAUUACUGAAUUGCAGGAUAAAAGUUUCAUGUAAAGUUGAUUAUAAUCCCAUCCAAGAUUAUAAUGUCAUUCAUUUAGUACCUAUUUUAGUAGAGAAACUGGGUAUAAACAUCUUGAGUUUAGAAAAGGUAAAUGAUGACAAACCCAGGGAACGCCUACGUUAGCAUCCAUUGAUCGCCUUACACCCACCUAGCAUCCAUUUAUGAUGUCUGUUGUUCAGGUCAUGAGAGGUACUCGAGGUAUUAAAAGACAACCAACACCCUCACUAAAUAUCCACCAAUCAACUAAAGACCAGAGAAGCUUACAAUAGCCACACGAAGCAAGAAUCACUUCUCUAAAUAUAAAUUGCUCUAUUCAUCAUUAUUAUAGUCCACCUUUUCUUCAGUACGACUAUCAAGAAAAUUUCUGAAAUGGAGAAUUACCAAUAUUUGUUGAUUAAACAUGUGAAGUCACAAGUUAGCUUCUUUUUUUCUCUUUUUUUGAUAAUAGUAUAGACGAAAAGUUGUGUUGAAAAGAGUAAAAGAAGGGUCCCACUGAACUUUAUGCAUUAUGUAAGAAGUAUUAGAAGGUUUCCUUUAAGGAUAGUGGUAAUCAGUUUGGAGCAAACAAAAAAAGAUUGCUUCCUAUUACUUCUAUUUUUGGGUUAAUGAAGAAAUGAGGAUUCAUAUAGUCGACCCCAACUUGUUGAACUGAGGUAUAGUUGUUGGUGAAGGUUUCCUUCAAUGUUUGGUCCCGUUACUUGGAAUAUCUCACGGAGUUAAGCUCAGAUCCAAUUGCAAAAUUCUGUAACUACUCCGAGUCCAAGCUUAAUAAUAGUCAAGGGCAAGGAUAUAUAGCUACAUCAAUGGGAAACCUUAUACAGGCUCAUAACCAAAAAUACAUGGUCUAUCUGAAGUUCUUAGGUUGAUCAAAAGACAACCCUUAAGACAUUGGAUAAAUUACCAGAACACCCUUAUGAUAUGUAUUUUUCUUUGAGAUUUGUGGGAAAACCAGAAAAAUGAGUAGGUCAUGGUCCAAAUUACAGUUAAAACCCCUAGCAUAUGGUCCAAAUUACAAAAUGCUAGGCCAGGAUCCUUGAACCAAAGUUAACAAAUUUUCUCUGGACCACCGACCCAAUUAAAGCCAGAUUAUCUGAUCUCUGGAUAAGAAAGUGGGCCUUAUGAAAAAGAUGUGACAGACAUGCUACUUAUCUAGUAUCAAGGGCUUACUAGAACAAGAUCAUAUGAGACACUACAUAAGCUUUCACUAAAGACGAUGCAUAAAUUUACUGCCAAAAAGAAGGGAAUUUUGUCACUUCAUAUCUAUACCUUACUAAAAAUCCUUCAGGCACAUACAUCCAUAUGAACUCAGAUACAGCACCAAAGUCUACUACAGAGAAUAUACAGCACCGUGGAACCCACCUCAAAAGAAAGAUUAACCAGACCCCUCAAUUUGUAUGGUGUCCUUGUGCGAGAAAGAACAAGACAAAUACGCUUUGUCUAUUUAUCUGAUGAUAUAUAUCAAUUUGCUUUCUAAUGGAGGAUUGUAAUAGAGACCACAAAGCUAAUAUCCUUGGAUUUAAACAACAGGAAGAUAUUCUAAAACAAUCUUUAAGAUGAUAGAGAAAGCACCUUGGAAAGCUCAUCAAUAACCAUUAGAAGACGGGGAUAGUGAAAGAGGAGAGAAGAGGGCAAACAGAAGGAACAUGAAUACAUACCUUGCUAGAAAUUGUAUUCUGAAUGUUAUCAAGUAAUAUUCCAGUUUGCCUAGCCAAAUCAGCAGACAUAUGAACAAGCCUUUGCAGGCGCUUUUCCUUUGCACUCUUCAAAACCCAGAGCGGCUGACAAAAAGUUUAUUGUUUGUAAAAGCAAUUCCAAUGAAGAAAGGAGGCAGGGGAAUGAUACAACAUUCCUCAAGGAGAUACUAAUAGAAGGACUUAUGUAAAGUUCUUGCCCAGGAAAAGAAGUGGGAUCAGAAAAAUGCAAUUCACCGAACUUAAAUAUUCAGUUCCAAUUAAGUUGCAAACAUGAGAAAGAAUUCAGGCAUACUCACUAAAUAAAUAAAGUAACACUUACCGUAACAAUUUUAGAGGAAUGGCCGAGGUAUUUCCGAAUUGAGUUUCCUUCGCAGACAACAUGACUCGCACUGCAACCAACAAACCACUGAUUGACCAAACUAGCACCUUCUGCUGCUGCAGACUCGAUGACCUAAAAUUUACAACAAGAAGUCAGAGAAAUAGUCAAAGCACCUUUAAUAAUUUGAAUUGAUUCAGAUGGCAUACGCUUCAGAUAUGAUGCAACAUUGGAAUUCAUAUUGUUCUAACAAACAAAGAAAAAUACAGUGGCAUAGCACCGAUUUUCAGUGAAACAAAUAUAAGACUUAGAUAAGCAGUACUACAGCAAAACAAUCCUGUAUAAGUUGAACAUAAUAUUCAAUUUUGAGUCUUUUUACAACCUCAACCUACCUUACUACGCAGCUCAUCAGAAACAUCAGCAUCAACAUAAAAGGUAUGACCAGACAGAGUUCUUCGCUUAGGUUCUCUUUCAGCAUGUAUUAAUGGCUCUUCAAUCAUGUCAGGUGGUUUGCUAUGUUCAGGCAAUGCAACAGGGAGACAUGAAUGCUGACUGCUGAUAUCAUCUACAGAGAAACCACCUUGUCCAACACCUUUAACACUAUAAAGGGAUUCAUUCAGCCUCACUGGAGCAAACAUAAGCAAUAUUGUCUUAGUCAUAGAAAAAAUAAGAAAAUAAAAGACAAAUUCCCUAAACCUUUUGUAAAAAAAACUGCAGAAAUAUGGGUUGCACCUUGAAAACAAAUGCAAGUAAAAGGUUUAUUUAUUACAGAAGGAGCCAAAUUCUAGUUAACCAUCAAUGUUUGAAACUCCUUCAAUUGACAAUCCAUGUAGAUACAUCUUAAACAGAAGAAUGACAAUUCAACUUCAAGAAUUUAAAACAGCAGCUUAUUUCUCACUAAAUUAAAAACAUGAAGGAUAAAGGUAAUCAUCUCAACCAUUUUAACAUCAAAUCGCCACACAUUAAGUUUAGGUAAUUCAAACUAGCCUAUAUAUUCCUUCUGCUUAAACAAUGUACAAGUAAUUGAAAGUUUUUCCAAAAUAAAUAUUUUAUAUUAUGCUCACAAGUCAUAUCCCUUGCCAUAAAAGAGAAGUGGAAGCAGAAUCUUGUAUCCGUGUUUGCUGGAGAGAAACUAUUAAGAACCACAAUUGACAAGUUAUUUAAAUUGAAAGAAAUAAAAGUUACCAAAAACAAAAGAAGGAUCAGCAUGUUCAGCAGUCCAUUUCAAGGAAAAAAGAAAUAACAAGAUUAAUCAAUUGAACAAGAACAUAAAACCUGGAAUACUAGAGUAAUACAGAAAACAAGUUAUGAAGCUUACUGCACCAUCCCUAAUAAAAAUACAAAACAGAACAUUUCUUACCAUUCCUUCUCACGCUAUCCACAAACCAUGCCAAUGAAACGACAAGUAGACCAUUUUUUAGACCAUGUUUCGAGGCGUGCUCAAACUUUCGUCCAGAAAAACUGUACCAGACAUUAAGGAAUAAAAAUACAAGCAACAAAUUUUAACCAAAAAACACAACCAUUAGACCUGAAUCACUUGAUAACCUGGAUCUAAUGAGCAAGUUAUAAACAUUUAACUAGAUCCACCUAUCCGAUUGUCAUUUCUCUGGCUUGUGUAAGUAUGGAAAAGAUAAGUAGUCAACUGGAAAAAAUGCAAAAAAGUAUCAUUGACUAGAUUUGGAAACAGAACGUGGUUAUGGAAAAUAGUGAUCAAGGAAAAAGAAAUGCAGAAACAAAAGGAUAUCUGAACCACCAGAUGAGUACAUUGAGGGUGCAAAUGCGGACUGUAUUUUCCACCUAAUCUCUCAGUUGCUUCCAUCACUUGCUUCCUAGCUUCUGGUAUAACAUAUUGAAGAAACAAGAAUUAGCAAUAGAACAUAACAUGGAGAACACAUCAAUAUCAACUUCAUAUUUUUUUUUAAAAAACAAUCUUUUUCAUCUCCUUUUCCAAUUCACAUCAGUUUUAGCUCAAAUUUCCAACACCAAAGUAUGCAGAAUGCAUCACAAACCUUUGGAAAGUCCAGUUACACAGAUAACAAGUCCAGAAAAUGGACAAUUGGAUGGAGUGGUGAGUAUUGAUUGAGACAUAACAGAGGAAGAGGAAGCAGGAGACAUGAAGGGUUCCAAUGAAUAAGAUGGAAUCCCUCUAAAUGAAGAGGAAAAAUCCACUAACAGCUUAGAACACCCUUUGCUGCUUACCACCUCCACUCUUCCUCCCCCACCCAUUUCAAUCAAACAUCAAAAGUACUAAAAUGGUUCAAAGGGAGGGAAAAACAAAAGCAAAAGAGGAAAAACAAAAACCCCAAGUGGGAUUUUGUCCUCUUUUCUGAUUGUUGAAAGAAGUAUAGAAGGGUGUUGAAGGAAACAAGGAAAAAAGACUGAAUAUACUAUAAGGAAAUGGUGUAAAAAGUGAAGAUUUUGGGUCAACAGAUAUAAGAUUGAAGAGACAAAUGGAACAUUUGGAAUCUCUUUCCCUUUUCUUUAUCACAUUCUUUGAGUCAUAGGGAAGUGAGGAAAAGGGGUAUUUGGAAUGAUGGCUAUUUGGAGUGUACAAACUAUAAAAAAAAAAAAGAGUAAAAAAAUUGUUUUAUAUAAGAAAAGAAGAGGGAGUGGGAGAAUGAAGGAUUUGAAAGUUGAAAGUGGUAGCAGUGUGAAAGAAGAAUCUCAUGAAUUUAUAACUUUAUUCAAAAAUGGUGGAUUUGUUCUGAUUCAUAGCUUUUGCUUUAUUGAGGGUUUCAGAAGUGAGAGGAUGGAAGGGAAGAAGAGAAAGGAGGAGUGGGGGACCCUUUUUUUUUUUGAACUUCAAACGGGCAUGCUCGCUCUCUUUGCAUCGUUGACACUUUGCACACAAAUUCCGUCCUUCAAUCAACUGAGAUAUUAAAAAAAAAUUCGUUUUUGUUAAAAUUAAAAUAUCUCUAUAUUAAUGUUACGAUAUGUGAAUCUGAAUAUACAUCUGAAUUUGAAUAUUAAAAUGUUAUAUGAAGAUUUGAAUAUUAAAUAGUUGAAGAUUGUUUAUUUAUUCAACAUGCGAAUGUAUAAAAUUUGUUUUUUUAAUAAAAAAUAACAAAAUACUAAAUUGAUCUAACAUUAUAUCAAUAAAAUAUUUUAAAUUUUUUAUAUGACAAUUGGUGAUGGUGUUGACUAAUGAUGAUGAUUGGUGUGUUGAUUUGGGAUGGCGUUGACUGAUGAUGGUGGUUGUGGAUAGUAACUUAUAGUACAGUGGCUGACAAUAGUGAAUAAUUGUGAUUGUUGUUGUAGGUGGAUGAUAAUUAGUACUUAGUAGAAUGAUAUUGAUAGUUAAUAAUGAUAUAGUGAAUAGUGAUGGUAGUAAGCGGUAGAUAAUAUUGACUAAUAAUGAUAAAUUGAUAAUUAUCCAUAGUAAUUAAUCAAAGUAAUAAUGGUUUGUGGUUGUGAUUGCAAAUGAUUGCUAAUGGUGAUAACAAUUAAUGGUUUUGUGAUUGACGAUAGUGGUGGUUGAAAUCAGGAUAAAGAUGGUGGUUAUGGAUGGUAGAUGGUGGUGAAUUGGUGAUUAACGAUGGUUGUGCGUGGUGGGUGAAAGUAGAUGGAGUAGCGAUUUGUAGGAUUUCUUCAAUAAACAUUUUAAUGAUAUUAAGACUUCAUUAUACAUCUUAAUCAUUCAGAUACAUUAAAUGAUUGUAAAAGAAGAAAAAACAAUACAAUUAAUAAUUAAGAUAUAAAUUAUUAAGAUUCAGACCCUUAAAAAUAAAUAGACUUAAAUCGUAAUAACCCAAAUCUAAAUUAUUAAGAUUGCAAAUAAAUGAUAAUUAUCUAUUGUUUCAUAAUAGAAUUAGGAUAUCAUAUUUAUUGUAUUAUAUAUUAGAUAUUAUAUAUAUAUCAUAAUUGUUUCAUAAUAGAAUUAGGAUAUCAUAUUGUAUUGUAUUAUAUUAUAUAUAUAUCAUAAUAUAUUAAAUUAUUUUAAUAAAUAUAAUAUUUGAAUAUAUUAUAUCAUUUUUUGUCAUUAUAUGAUAUCAUACAUCAAAAAACCUAUAAAAUAGUGUACAGAAUAGACUAUAAAAAGAUAGGAUAAAAAAAUAAAUUAAAAAAAUUAAAUGAUAAAUAAAGAAAAAGUGAAGAAAUAAAAAUAAAAAAGUAACGAUGUAAUUACACUAAAUCGGUCGUUAUACAAAAUGAGACUUUUUAUUGUUAUUAAACGAUGAACUUAACAAUACGAUACAAUAAAAUUUAAAUAACACUCAAAACAAAUAUCAUAUUUAAACUAACAAUAAUCUUAUACAACCAAGUAAAAUUUGUGACUCAGUAUUACGAAAUUUUAUGUGGAUAUACUAAUAAUUAAUUAAUGGGCAUUGAAAUUACAAGAAUGAGAAGAAAAAACAAUAAUUAGUCAUAGGUUUAAGUGCAUUCAACCUUGGUAUUCAAGCUAAACAUAAUCACAUGGAUGGUUGAGCUGUGUAUAUUACUACUAGCUUUCCAAUCUCCAUACAUCAGUUUUUUUGCCAUAUUAAAUUAUUUAAUUUUUUUCGUUCACUUUUACUUAUUAAUUUCUUCAUACGUAACGUAUAAAUUAGAUAAGAUGCCCACAUCUUCUUUCAUCGUUUAUUCAUUAUAUAUAUUGGGACAUGGAUCCUCACACUUUCCCUCCUUGAUUCCAGAUUAGUUGACUUAAUCAUCAUUUUGAUUAUAAAAACAAAAAAAAACUAGCUCUGGUCACGCUUGAUUGGGUUGUUGAUGGUGAAACAAUGUAGUUUUCACGUCUUAAUUAGAUUAAUUACCUAAAUAUAAUACAAGGAUGUGUCUGGCAGCUAGCUAGCAUGUUACCAAACUUGCAUAUAUAUAUAUAUUUGAAAAAGAUCUUAAAUAUAUCCGAACUUUAACCAAAAUUGCUAUAACAAUCUCAAAUCUUGGGCAGGACCUAUUACCAGUGGCAGACGCAGGAUUUUCAUUCAGGGGGUUCGAAUAUAAAAAGUAAAUUUACAAAAAGGUUGAUUAAAAGGAGUGUAGUGGUGAAAGACAAGAUCAUUUUAACUCACCAAAUUUUAACUCGUUUUGUCAUGUUUCAUUUAACAUUUCUUCCUACUUAUGUCUUGCUUCAUCGAACCUUUUUAAAAUCUAUUGUGCUUUUAGAAAAACACAUACAGUAGUUAUUUUUGAGUUGUGGCAAAACUUCUUUUCAAAAGUUGAAAACAUAACUUUCUCUAAAAGCAGUUUUGAAAAUUUUGGUCAAGCACAAAUUUGAUCUCUAAUAUUGACGAGAAAAAAAAUUGAAUUUAUUAGUCAAACAUGAAAUGUUAAUCUACAAAAUAUUUUUUUUGAAUAAAAGGUAAUCCUCAUAAUAACAAAUUAUAUAAAUUUGGCCAAUCCCCUAUUAAUUUUGUUGUUUUAACGUUUUAAAUAUAUUUAUUACUAGGAGCCUAUUCUUAUUCUAUAUCCUUCGAAAAAUGAUAUAGAAUUUUUUACAAAAUGUAUAUAAAUAUUAUUUAUGAAAAAAAUCAAAUGUUAUAUUAAUUAAUACUCCCUCUGUCCCAAUUUAUGUAACACUUUUCAUUUUUUGAGAGUCAAAUAGUUUAAGUUUGAUCGAAUAUUUGCGCCUAGAAUUUUCAAAUUUUUUAAAAAUGAAAUUUAUAUAUUUAUAAGAUACGUAAAAAAUACUAUAAGUCAAAAUAACUAAAAAAAAAUAAAAUAUAUAAAAGAUAUAUGAAAAAUUUGCGAGAAAAAAUAGACUUGUUUGAAUCUUGAAAUUCAAAAAAUGUCAUCAAACUUCAACACAAUUUCGUAUAAGCUUUAGUGAUUUUAGUAUUGAUAUUAACCUUUGUAAAAUCCAAAUCAAACAACCUUUUGAAAGCUAAUUUGUGGGCUAGGCUUUGGGAAAAGACAAAACUAAAACUUAUAGCUAAAAGCUUGGGAUGUGGGGAAGGACGGAAAUUUAAGCUAAAAUUAUAUAUAAGCGCGACUUGCAAGAAUCAAACUUGGAACCUUGAAGUCAUUCUGAACCCCCUUGAUCACUGGGCUACGCAUCACAAUUGUAUAGAGGGGGUUCAAUUUAAUAUUUAUACUCAUAAAUAAUAAUUUUAACCUUAUAUAUACGGUAUAAUUUUUUUAUCGAGGGGGUUUGGGUGAACCCCCGCCCAUCCACCUAGGUCCUCUCCUACCUAGCUAUUAUCCCUGCACAAUUUAAUAGUACUAUAUUUUAAAGAUAUAUAAAUGUACAACUGAACAAGUUACUAUUUAUAAUGAUGGAUAUUUAUGAUGUCCACGUGGACACCUAUAUAUCUUUAAAAUACACUAUUAAAUAGUCAGGGGUAAUAGGUCCUGCUCAAAGUUUGAGAUUGUUACAACAAUUUCGAUCAAAGUUCAGAUAUAUUUUAAACCAUUUUUUCAUAUAUAUAUAUAUAGUCUGGUUAACCCCAUGAAGUUGUUUUACUUGUUGAUAAAAAUUAGUAAAGUGUAUUCGAAGUACAUAAAAUGAAUCAUUUAAGUAACACGGUUGAUUAUUAAUUACUACUCUUAUAACGUUGUAUCACAUAUUUGUCUUAUGAACUUGUAAAACUAAUUAAUAUGUAGUAAUACGAUGUUUAAUUAAUUAAAAACAAAAAAUUGUUCCUAGUUUUACAAUCAUGCAUGGUCUUUUAUGAGCAACAACAUAUUUGUAGAGUACAUUAUACAGAAAGUUGAAAAAAAGAAACCAAAACAUCUUUUUGACUUGUACAGGCAUAAACUAGCUUCUAUAUAUCUAAGAAUUAAAUAAAUUUGAGAGCAUUUUUGAACUGAAAAUAUAGAACUAAUUUUAAUAUCACAUCAUAAAACAAUUGUUGAAAUUAUUGAAUCUAAUUGCUGUGGAAGUCGAAUAUAUAGAGAGCGAUGAAAUCACAACUGCUAUAUCUAAAGGUAGUUAAUAAAUAGUAAAUGAUACAACAAUUAUACAUUACGAAUUUACGAGGUUUGGUAAAAAUUUGUUUUCUUUUGCCUGAUCCUCGGACACAAACAAUCAAUAUUUAUUUCACUCCACAAGAGUACAAGUGAAAUACCAUAAGAGAAAAAAAGAAAGAUCAAAUACCUUAAAAGAUGAGAAGGCAAGUGAGAGGUGUGUUACAAAUGAAUUAAGAGUUAUCUAUUUAUACGAAUGAAUUAUCCUUAUUGAUGUCACUAUGUGUCAAAAUGUUGACGUUUAACUUGCGAAAUCAUUUUAUGAUUUAUCUAAAUUUGACCUACAAAGUUACUAUCUUGACUUUUAUACUAAUGAAGAAUUAUCUUUCUAGCUACCAAAUCUUCACAUUAAUUCAUCUUGAAUCUCGUCAAAUUUAACAUCAACAUCAUUAAUUCUACAUCGAAAUACUAGUUACAAUCUAGAAUUGACUAUCCAAUGCAAAAACAUUUUGAAUUGGGUGCCUAUAUUACAUGAGAGGGUAAAGUUCUUACUUUCUUCAGUUUUCAUCGAUAGAAGAGGAAGACCACGCGUACCAAAAUAGUCACUUUAAUUUGGAGGAUUGGCAAUUUGGCAUAAGUUGAGACUAAAUGUAAUUGGUCCCUAAAGCAAAAUUUUAAUUUGAGAUCUAAAUAUAAAUAAAUUUUGAAUACAUAUUUAUUCUAAAUUAUUUUUUUUACACUAUUUAGAUGAAAAUUAUUACUAGUAUUUAAUAUUGUUUUUUUAGUUAUUAGUUUUAGGUAAUUAUCAACUCAACAUUGAAAAACAUUCUUUCAGUGAGACAAUUAUUAUCUGAAUUGUUAACAUAAUUUUAUAAGUAAUAAGUUGACAAAUAUUAAAUAAAGAUAAGAGUUAGAACCAUAGAAUCUGAUUCAAGAAGUUGAUGACUUGGUAUAUCCCAUUUUAAUAUGCUUGUUGUAAUGCUUGAAACUAAAAUUUAAAAAGAAAUAAAAAAUAAUUUGUAAUUCACUUUGUUUAACACUUUUCACUAUUAAUUUUUAUUUUUAACAAAAAUACAAAAGAUGUUAAAAUGUUAAAAAAAUUAUACUUUUUAUCAUGAAUAAUUAAUUUUUUCUAUAAUAAAUUUAUCACAUAAUUUGUUCUUGAUAAAAAUUUUGAGGCUCCCAAAUUACAAAGCAUUGAGCCGGCCCUGGUUGGAAAAAAGAAAAAUAAUUGGUUAGGUAAACACUAGAGAAAUUGGGGGUAGGAAGUAAGGUUGUGGGAUUAGGAGGGGUGAGCGUGGAGUAUGACUCAUAGCGUGGAGUAGGGCUGGCAAGGGGACGGGGACGGGGACUGGGGGACGGGACGAAGGGGGACGGGACUGGACAGGGGACGUCUUGGCCGGGAUUUUGUGGGGACCGGGAUUGGGGGGAUAAAAAUUCGUCCCAUCCCGUCCCACUAUAUAUACGGGACUGGACAGGGUUUGGCGGGACGGGACGUGAGAUUAUUUAUUUUUUUUAUAUGUUUAUUUAUUUGUAUUGAAAUUAUAUGUUAUUGAAUAGCAUUUUUAGUUUAUUUAGUUUUCAAUAACAUUUUUAGCUAAUAAAAAAUGCUUAAGUUUUCAAAUUUCAAAUUUCAAGUUUCAAGUUUCAAAUUUCAAAUUUGAGAAGUUCAAAUUUGUAUUUUAAAUAUAUUUAACUUGAAAUAGUGAUGUAGUCUUUUGUUUUGAUUUAAUACAAAAAACAAUAAAAUAUUAGAAGUUAUUACAAAUAUUAGUGGAGUUACUAUUUUAAAAUUAAAAUUAAAAUGCAAGACAAUAGUUAAUAUAAAAAAGACUUGAAUAAAGCAUUCAAAUUUAUUCAAUAAAAUCUAAUUGCAACUUAGAACUUAGAAGUUACAAUUUACAAAUAUUAGUGGAGUUAGUAUUUUAAAAUUAAAAUUAAAAUGCAAGACAAUAGUUAAUAUAAAAAAGACUUGAAUAAAGCAUUCAAAUUUAUUCAAUAAAAUCUAAUUGCAACUUAGAACUUAGAAGUUACAAUUUACAAAUAUUAGUGGAGUAACUAAUCUACGCAGCCACCUUCUAGGAAGGGUUCUGUUUCAAUAAGUUCUCAUAUGUAAAACUAAUAUUUGUUACAAAUAUUAGAUGAGUAACUAAUUUACGCAGCCACCUUCUAGGAAGGGUUCUGUUUCAAUAAGUUCUCAUAUGUAAAACUAAUAUUUGUUACAAAUAUUAGAUGAGUAACUAAUUUACGCAGCCACCUUCUAGGAAGGGUUCUGUUUCAAUAAGUUCUCAUAUGUAAAACUAAUAUUUGUUACAAAUAUUAGAUGAGUAACUAAUUUACGCAGCCACCUUCUAGGAAGGGUUCUGUUUCAAUAAGUUCUCAUAUGUAAAACUAAUAUUUGUUACAAAUAUUAGAUGAGUAACUAAUUUACGCAGCCACCUUCUAGGAAGGGUUCUGUUUCAAUAAGUUCUCAUAUGUAAAACUAAUAUUUGUUACAAAUAUUANNNNNNNNNNNNNNNNNNNNNNNNNNNNNNNNNNNNNNNNNNNNNNNNNNNNNNNNNNNNNNNNNNNNNNNNNNNNNNNNNNNNNNNNNNNNNNNNNNNNNNNNNNNNNNNNNNNNNNNNNNNNNNNNNNNNNNNNNNNNNNNNNNNNNNNNNNNNNNNNNNNNNNNNNNNNNNNNNNNNNNNNNNNNNNNNNNNNNNNNNNNNNNNNNNNNNNNNNNNNNNNNNNNNNNNNNNNNNNNNNNNNNNNNNNNNNNNNNNNNNNNNNNNNNNNNNNNNNNNNNNNNNNNNNNNNNNNNNNNNNNNNNNNNNNNNNNNNNNNNNNNNNNNNNNNNNNNNNNNNNNNNNNNNNNNNNNNNNNNNNNNNNNNNNNNNNNNNNNNNNNNNNNNNNNNNNNNNNNNNNNNNNNNNNNNNNNNNNNNNNNNNNNNNNNNNNNNNNNNNNNNNNNNNNNNNNNNNNNNNNNNNNNNNNNNNNNNNNNNNNNNNNNNNNNNNNNNNNNNNNNNNNNNNNNNNNNNNNNNNNNNNNNNNNNNNNNNNNNNNNNNNNNNNNNNNNNNNNNNNNNNNNNNNNNNNNNNNNNNNNNNNNGUGGCAAAUCACAUAGUACACAACGCUCAUUAAAUUCCCUAAUUCUAGCAGCUCUAUUAGCAUAAAAAAUCCAGGCAACAGCAUAUUCAAUUUUCAUACAACCACAUUCAAAUAAUGAAAUACCAUCUUGUACAACUAAAUUUAAUACAUGUGCAACACAUCUAACAUGAAAAGAAUUAACAUCAAUUGGACAUAAUCUAGUUUUUAACAUACUAGCAGCGUUUACAUUAUUAGAUGCAUUAUCUAAUGCGACAGACAUUACUUUAUCUAUAAGCAUGUAAUAAUCUAUAACACUCAAAAAUUUUGAAGCUAAAUAUGCACCAGUUUUUUUCUCUACACAUUCUUUAUAACUUAAGAUUCUUUUUUUGCAAAUUCCAGUUAUAAUCAAUCCAAUGUGCUGUAACAGUUAAAUAAUCACGUCCAUUAACACUACGACCCAUGUCCGAAGUUAUAGACACUCUACAAUCUAAUAUGUUAAACAUACAACGAAGGUAUUGACAAUGUUUACCUUGAUAUACAAAAACAUCAGAUUUAACAGUAUUUCUUGAAAAACCUCUAUAAUUAGGAUUGUAAGUUUGUUGAAUAUAUUCAAUAAAAUCGGGAUGUGAAGGAAAACUAUAAGGCAAACCACAAACAAAAAUUAUUUUAGCUAAAUUUUCGCGAUCUCUUUCCUUAUUAUAUUUACGUUGUGUUAGUGGACCACCGGGGUUAGAAGGAUUUAAUGUUCCUUGAACCAUGUUAGAAGCCCCUACCGAUUCAUUAACAUUAAUAUCACAAUCAUUAAUGAUUUAGCUUCUUUGUAUUGAAUCGGCACACAAGAUAACAAAUGUCUAUUUAAGCCCCCCGUCCCACCUUGACCUCCACCUUGUUUAUGUUUAAAAGGUUGCUUACACUUAUUACAAAUAGCAAUAGAGUUUUCCUUAUCUAAAGUCAUAAAUUGCCACACAACAGAAGUUUUUAGGGCGUUGAUACUUCACCUUCUCCCUUGUAGGAGGUAUAAGGGGGUGGGCGUCCACAAUUUUGCUUCGUUGAAUUUGUAGUUUCAUUUGGAACUUCUAUCACCGGACUAGUAGGUGUAUCUUCUAAUUCAUCUUCUCCCGAACCAACUUCUACUUCUUCACCUGAAUUUUCAUCAAGAUAAGGAUUAAUAUCACCAUAAAUUUGAUCUAAAAUUUCAUGAUCGAGUUGAGCAUUUGAAUCAAUAUCAUAAGAAGUAUCAUCAACAUAAGUAGAAUCAUUUGUAUUAAAUCUAACUCUAGACAUUGAUUUAGAAGAAGUACCACCACAUUUACUCUUAUUUUUUUCCUUACUACUCUUUUUAUGAAAAUUAAAUAAUUUACUAAUGCAACUUGGUUCUCUCUUUUCCUUUACCGGUAUCUUUUUUGCUAGAACUCAUAUUUAAUUAUAUGUAAAGUGUAAUAUAAAAAUAAUAAUAACACAAAAAUUAAUGAUGAAAAAUAAAAUAUAAAUAUUAUGAAACAAAUGUACCAAACGUCUGCGUUAAUAACAGACGUUAUAACCGAUUCUUGAAGAAUGUAGUUUGAAACUCCAAUACUUGAUAGCAAAUAUGAGAAUAAAAUAUAUUAUGAUAUAAUAUAAAAAUUUAGAAUUGAAAUAUAUGUAUUAUAAUAAUAUGAGACUUAAAUGGAAUAAAAAAUUAAGACUUAAGAUUGAGAGGAUUAUAGAAAUAGAUGAGAGAAUAGAUGAUUUUGUAAGAAAUAAUAAGGGAUAGAGGGGUAUUUAUAAUAUUAAAAAUGGGUUAAAGUGUAUUUAUGACAACUUGAGGGUUUAAAUUAAAAUAUUAAAAGUAGGGGGUGUUGGGGAAGUAAAAAAGUGGAAUAAAUCCGUUGGGGGACCCCACUAGCCGUUGCCCCAACAGUUGGCAACAGAUACAAUUCAAAAAAUAAAUAAAAUAAUAAAAAAAUAAAAUAAAAAGGGGAUCCCGCGAAACCUGCCGGUUCAGCCGGGCCGGGAUCGGGACCAACGGGUGAACCGGACCGAUUCUGAUCCCCUAACCCGUGAUCCCCCUAUCCCGCGAGAAUUGACGGGAUUGGGUCCGGCGAGACGGUUCUCGAACCAGUCGCGGGCCGGGGUGGGCCGACCUGGUCCCCCUGCCAGGCCUAAGUAUGACGGUGGAGACGAACAAUCAAUCUAAAAUGUUAUUAGUGAACUUAUUCAUGUUUCCGUUGGAAAAGUUAACUUAUUUUUCUAGAGAAAAUAUUUUAAAAAAAAUUAAAAGUUUCACUUUGAAAAAAAAUUCAUGGUUAAUAGUAUAUACAAUUUAACUAAAAUUUUAUUUAUUUUGCUUGUAGAUAAAGUGGUUUAUUAUAGUUAGGAUAGAGUUUCAUAGUCAUUUUAAUACUUUAUUCUGAGAUUUUUUAAUUCUAAAAUUGUCAAUUCCGAGAUAAAGUUCAAACAAACUUAAGAUAAAUUAUAUUAGAUUUUAUUUUAAAAUUAUUAUCCCUCGUGUCACAAACUAAAAUUAUAUAUGAAAAUUCUUAUCAAGUUCUAGCUAGUUAAACAAGAAAAGAAACACAAUUUUUAAAAUGUCUUUUGUGUUGAGAUGAGGGUUUAAGAUUGCUAAAAUAUUAUGUAAAAGAAUUAUAUCAUAAAAACUAAAAUUGAAACUUGAAAUCAAAUUAUUACUCCAUCCGUCUAAUAAUAGUUGUCCACUAUACUAUUUUGGGAUGUCCAACAAUAUUUGUUUAGUUUAUGAAAUCAAUGGUUAGUUCCUAAUUUAUCUUUAUCAUUAAUUAUAGUCAUUUCCCUAUUACAUUUUUCAAGACAUUGUAUUUAUUAUAUUCAAAUGGUGAUAUAGUAAAAUUAUCAUUCUAUUUAUAAUUUCUUAAAAUGUGUGUAAAAUCAAUAGUGGACAAGUAUUGUUGGAUAAAAAAAGAGUAUAUUUUUAAAAGUCUGGUUAAUCACCAACAAAUAUGAUGUAAUGAAUGAAACUGUUCCCUUUCAUAAGUGAUGAACACCAUAAAAGUGUGUGAUUAAUUAGGGGGGAAAAUGAUAAAAAUGCUCUUAAACCAUGUGAAAUGAACAAAAAUGUCAUAUGUUUAUGAUUUAGUCAAAAAAUGUUCUUGCCGUCAAUAUUUUGAUCCAAAAUAUUCUUAUUAUUAUUUAAUGGGUCAAAAUGCUCAUUUUCUAAAUAAUAAGGAUAUUUUUGAAUCAAAAUAUUGACGAUAAAAAUAUUUUUAAGUCAAACUAUAAACGGAUGAGUUUUGGUUCAUUUCAUCACAUUUUUGUCCCUUUCCCUAAUUGGAGUCAUAUUUAAGUUCACUUUAAAAUUACGGCCACACAAAUUAAAUUUUGAUUUUUGGCUGUUCCCUCCCUUUGUUGUCUGCCCUUCUUCAUCCAAAUUUGAAUGCACCUGAAUCUCUCUUCCUCCCAUCAAUGGUUGGCCCUUCCAACCCCAAAACCCUAAACAUCUCCUCAGCUCUCACUGACGACGAUGAUUUUCAAGACCCAUCUCCUUCUCAGCUCCAUUUGCCAAAACCCACCUCAAAAAUUGUAUCCCGUAAGCCUCUCAGACCUUAUAUUAGUGCCACUCCCCGUACUUCCAAGAAGCCAAAACAGAAUUCACCACAUGUUGGCAAGGAGAACGUUGGUGUUGUUGGAAAGUGUACUGUGGAUUUUGAUUUGGGCCAUGGAUUAGAUAGUUCUCGUCCUACCAAGAAGCCGAAACAACAUCCAGUAAGUGUAGAAAAGGACAGUCUUGCUGCUGUUGUUGUUGAAAAAUCUGAUGAAAAUGGGAAGAGCCUUAAUACUGCUCAUCAGAAAUCGGAGUCUGAUUUUGAGGAUUUGGAUUUGGGUCAUGGAUUGGAUAACAUAGAAUCAACUAUAGAUUGUUGUUCUGGGGUCCAAAGAACGACUAAUGAGGAAGAAUUAAAGAGGGGUUACUUGUUUAAGUCGAUAGAGGCAAGAUUGCUCAAUUCAAAUGGUGCGUUCGAAGAGAGGAAGGAGGAGGAACCGGAGGAGUGCUCUGAGCUUGAUUUACUGCUCAAGUUAUGUGGUGAGGAGGAUGAAGUAUACGGUGACGCUUUGACAGCUGAUCUGCACAGGCAAGAAGAGUGCUUGGGAUUAGACGAAGAAUAUGGCCUCAUUUGUUGUCCCCUUUGUGGAGCAGAUAUUUCAGAUUUGAGUGGUGAAAUGCGACUGGUUCACACUAAUGAGUGUCUUGACAAAGACGAGACUCCAGUUAAUGUAAGAUGCUCUUACCUAAUAUUUGUUUCUUAUUGUAUGGAAUGUAGCACCAUAUACCUAAGAAACAUGUGUAUGGAGAGUGCUUGAAGCUUUUUCCUAAUAUUUUCUUUUGACAUGAGCACUUCGUAGUCCCUAUAAUGUUGCCAAUAUUAUAUGAUAUACUGAUUUUAAGGAACAGUGCACCUCCCCUAUUGAGGUGAUGAAGGAAAAUGUUUGUGCCCAACUUGUUGCCGAGGAAGUAGUCAUGUUAAAUGGUGAUAUGGUUUCUCUCUACUGCCAUAGUUUGAACUACCAGAUUGCUAUUUUAAACCUUGUAAUAGUUGGUCCACUAAUUUUGAUAGAUGAAAAUGGGAGUACUAUCACAAAAUAGACGAGAUUAAUAGUGAAACACGUAAUCUUACAAUUAGGGGUUGUUUGGUUGAUGGAUUAGGAAUAAGUAAUUCUAGAAUAAAUCCCGUAUAAGAUAAUACAAUAUAUGGUUGGUUGCAUAAGAAAAAAUAACCGGCGCAUAACUAAUAUAGUGUCUAGUUGACGAUAUUAGAUAAUACCAUCAUUACGUUAUAGGAUAAUCUAUGUACAAUUAUUUUAUGCAGAAUAAAAUGUGGAAUAAGCAUAUGUAUAUUAGCAUACAAGGAUUAGACUAUAUAUUAGCAGGCAAGGAUUAGACUAUAUAUUAGCAGGCAAGGAUUAGACUAUAUAUUAGCAGGCAAGGAUUAGACUAUAUAUUAGCAGGCAAGGAUUAGACUAUAUAUUAGCAGGCAAGGAUUAGACUAUAUAUUAGCAGGCAAGGAUUAGACUAUAUAUUAGCAGGCAAGGAUUAGACUAUAUAUUAGCAGGCAAGGAUUAGACUAUAUAUUAGCAGGCAAGGAUUAGACUAUAUAUUAGCAGGCAAGGAUUAGACUAUAUAUUAGCAGGCAAGGAUUAGACUAUAUAUUAGCAGGCAAGGAUUAGACUAUAUAUUAGCAGGCAAGGAUUAGACUAUAUAUUAGCAGGCAAGGAUUAGACUAUAUAUUAGCAGGCAAGGAUUAGACUAUAUAUUAGCAGGCAAGGAUUAGACUAUAUAUUAGCAGGCAAGGAUUAGACUAUAUAUUAGCAGGCAAGGAUUAGACUAUAUAUUAGCAGGCAAGGAUUAGACUAUAUAUUAGCAGGCAAGGAUUAGACUAUAUAUUAGCAGGCAAGGAUUAGACUAUAUAUUAGCAGGCAAGGAUUAGACUAUAUAUUAGCAGGCAAGGAUUAGACUAUAUAUUAGCAGGCAAGGAUUAGACUAUAUAUUAGCAGGCAAGGAUUAGACUAUAUAUUAGCAGGCAAGGAUUAGACUAUAUAUUAGCAGGCAAGGAUUAGACUAUAUAUUAGCAGGCAAGGAUUAGACUAUAUAUUAGCAGGCAAGGAUUAGACUAUAUAUUAGCAGGCAAGGAUUAGACUAUAUAUUAGCAGGCAAGGAUUAGACUAUAUAUUAGCAGGCAAGGAUUAGACUAUAUAUUAGCAGGCAAGGAUUAGACUAUAUAUUAGCAGGCAAGGAUUAGACUAUAUAUUAGCAGGCAAGGAUUAGACUAUGCAAAGUCAAAAAUUUCUUUUAGAGUAAGUAAUUCAUGUGUAACAAUUCUCGUGGUUAUAAAUUACUGUAUAACAAUCCCUUUAUUAUUCAUCACAACAUAAACAACCCUUGCACUAUAAUUCCCGCAUAACUAACAUGUGAACCAAGCCAUCCUUAAGAGUAUAAAGGGGCAUACCAAGGUAAAUCGAGUUCAACACAUAUUGAAUGUAACAAAAGAAUUAAGUGAAAGAUUCAUCAAAGAAGAGGUGAGAGAUGAUAUAUGUGGGUCAAAGAUUGCAAAUGGACAUAUUUCUUUCUUGUAAGCUAAAGUUCUUGCCAACUAGUGUAUCUAUGAUAUUGGUUAAAAAGCAUUUCUUGGAUAAAAUUUUUGAACAUGAUACUGGUUAGGCUACAUAUAUAUCUUGAAACUUUUUAGUUUGUUUCUUUGUGUCAUAGUUAAAAAUUUAGAAUCGACUACUACUAAAAGUUGUAAGAUAUUACUUUUAUAUUUGGUUGAUCACAAUCCAGAAGUCCCUUAGAGAAUGAAGAUUAUGGAGGUUGAAGAAUAGUGAAUGCUUCUUAAGCAAUGUGCUAUAGUGGCACUAGUCAGAGUCAAGGUUUUGAGCAACGGCACCACAGAUAUAAAAGAUAAAAAUCUUUGUUACAUAGUAGAAAGGAACACCAAUGUCUAAGUAGUUUCAGCUAGAUAUGCCUUGAUUAGAAGGAAAUGCAAUGCAUACUUUUGUGAUGGGUAUCUCUUCUAGCACCAACGUGAUUCCCUGGGUGCAUAAGGAAAAUGUAGAUUCAGAUAUAGAUCCAACACUUAGUGGGAGAAAAGUACGGUAAGAGAUGCAUCUUAAAAAGGUAUAACUGGUGUAUAGUUAGGGUGCCUCUCUGAAUGAUGUGAACAUGAUUCAUUGCUGUCAAGGGUUAUGGAAAUUCAUCAACAAAGUAAUCAAGUAAAAGGAUGCACCAUCAACUAGAGAUACAUAACAUAUGGGUUAAAGAUGCCUCAUUCCUUUGAGAAAUGUUUAUCAGCAUGUAGUCACUAUCUUUCAACCUAAAGGUGGCUGGAGCAGAGUCUGGAAUGCAACUCAUUGUCUGUUGACAACUUUGGACAAAUAGAUAAAUCAGACUUUAUGGGAACUCGUUCAUCACCCUGUACAGGAUAAGUUGCCCAUCUUUAAAAUACACAUCUUUUAGUUUGGAAGAUCUCUAACAGUCUAACUAAGGAUCUGAUGAACUGACUCUAUUUUUAUUUUUUGAUAACUAAGAAAUCCCGGGGGCCAAUUUGCACACUGUUUGAACCUCAGUGGAUAUUGGCUGUCCCUCUGCCCUUUCUCGACUUAAAUACUAGGCUUUUGUCAGCAGUAGGUCCUAAACUCGUGAUGAGCGCGCUACCCACAUAUCACAUGCUGUGCUCCUACCACUAUACCAAAGUCCAAAUCCCCGAGGGCUGACUCUGUUGUUCUUUUAGUAACCCUAGCUAGUCUUUUGAUUAAAUUUUUUGUCCCCCCUGCUUUUUUCUUUGACAGUUUUACCAUGCUGCUGACUUUUUAUUGCGUAUAAACAAAUGCUUAUAUGAAAGUAAGAAAGAAAGAUGUCAAACAAGCAUUUGAAGUUAAUAAUAAGCAAAGGGUUAUGCUGUGCAAUGCCAACAUGCCACCAUGGUCUCAGUUAAGAUCCAUUUAUUACAAUCAAAUUCACACUAUUGUUCCUUUUUUAUACAGUUGGAAUUGCAAUGAUUUAAGUACUGUAAUACCGUUUAACAUAUAUCUAGUAAAAUGGUGAACAUCUGUUCUACUUUUUACUGUUUUGGUUGUUAUUUAAAAGUAAAAUAACAUAGAAUUCUUUGAAUUGCUUUAAGCAAAAUUUUUAUAGCUAUUUCAUAUAAGGAUAUUCAUAAUCAUGUAUGGAAAAUGAAAAUGUGUAAUUUUUAGCGGCACAUGAUUGCAGUUCCAAGUCUGCAAGUGUUCCUUUCCGCAUGUCUGUAUGUGUAUUAUACUGCUCCUUCCUCUGAGAUGAGCUUUAAAAUGCUCUUCCCUAAAUGGUGGUAUUAAAUUCUUGUUUUUGGAAAUUGUGUUUGGCCACCCUCAGUGGCCAGCUGCAUGUUUUCUGGGUUGAGCCUUCACAAGCUGGGUAUGCCCCCAAAUUGACAAAACUUUGUUCGAUCAUACUUUUAAGACUAGUGGUAAUAAGCAUGAGUUUCCAAGACAAACAUAACCACCAGAGCAUUUAUAUGAAAGAAAACAGAUAGACAUGAUCUUUGUUACUGAAUUCGACCUAGUUCAACACCUUAAAAAAUAAUGUAUUUCCAUCUUACGGUUUCAGUUACAUUUCCGUUUAUCAUAUUUUUAAUUCAAGUGCGUUUGAGACACUGCUGCUGCUAUUGUUCAUCAGAGAAGUUGCCUUUGUUUCCUGAUUUUAAAGAAGAUAUGGGAAGUCAAAUGUGGUUACCUCAAUACAAAUUUGAUCAUCUUGCAGGUGGUUACUGCCAAUAAUGAUGUAUCUUUUCAGUGUCCUGGGCAAGUGCUCAAUGAUUCUCCAUGUCCUAAAGAGGUUGUCCACAUGUCACCUGUUGUUGAAUGGUUACAAAAUCUUGGACUUGCUAAAUAUGAAGAAAUCUUUGUUCGGGAGGAGAUUGAUUGGGACACUUUAAAAUCCUUGACAGAAGAGGUUUGCUUAUUGUUCUUCAUUGCUAAUAUCUUUGUGCACAUAAAACUAAUGAUAUUUCUAGUCACACCAGUUUUCUGGAUAUUCUCCUUGGGGAUUUCUGAUAAUAACAUUGAAGGAAGUAUAAGAUUUAUGUUUUUUUUGGCUGUUACUUGUGGAAUUCUUUGCUUCCGGAAGUGCGCUUGUUCCUGUGAGAGUGAUUACGUGCAACUUGAUGCACCUAUAAUGAAGGGUUUUGCUUUUUUAGAAUUUAAGUGGCUACUAUUCAUGGUUAUUUUUAAAGAUUAUGUUGUGAGCAUAAAGCCUUAAACUCAGAAUUGGGCUGGUUAAAAUGCAUCAGAGCAUAACAAAACUCGAACCAAUCUGAUGUAUUUAUGUCCCUAGUAAUAUGUGAAGGGCCAUUAUUUCUUUAAUUGACUAUAUGGCACCAAAGGUGAGAUGUUCAGGGGCAGAGUGAGGCCAUGGCCUCAAGGAUUCUCCGUCUUAUGUUUCCCUUCUAGAAAAUGGUGUGCUGUUCCCUCCGUUGAGUGCACCCAAAGACAUAGAAUCUAUAACCUAACCAUCAAUCUUUUUUUUUUGUUUCUUCUCAUUACUUAUUUUGUUGGACGUCCUGUCCUACCAUUACAAGUUUUGAACUACAAGUUCUUAUUUGGAGUUGGCCGUUGGGGGUUCAAUACAAUGUUGCAACAGUGAGAACUGAAAACAAAAGUAGUCUUGAAGAAGCAUUUAAAUAAUUACUAAAGUGACAAUUCUCUGGUUAUUAUUGUUUAGUACUGCUUGAGCUACUCUUUAAAUUCUUGCCCCCAAAAGAAUUUACUUUAGGUUCAAGUCAAGAAGAUCAAGGUAAAAAGUUAGACUUGAAUUUUCUUCCCCAGAGGGAAAUGAACCUGGCAAAUUCACAUACCCUAUAAAGCAAGACUUGUUUCUCUACCAUGUAUUCAUUGAAUAUACUUCUCAUGGUGAUUUUUCUGCAGAAGUAAUUAGCCCAUUUUACCUUUCCUCAAGCUCAAUCCUUUCCAAGUUGGAGUUGUGAAGGGGGCUUUGCUGAGUUGUAUUUGUUAUUUCCACUGUUAUCUUAUUUAUGUGAUUUGGUGACAAACUAUUAAGGCUGUUUAUUUCACUUGGUGCUCAAACCACUAAGUUUUAGUUGUAUCUUUGCCAAACUAAUUCCACUAUUUUAAGUUCCGUUGCAGGAUUUAUUCAGCAUUGGUGUCACUGCUCUUGGUCCUAGAAAAAAGAUCGUUAACUCUAUUUUGGAGCUAAGAAAGGAAACUGCUGAGGAAAAAGUAGCUCGACAAGAUGUUACAAAGAUUAUACCUGUUGAUGCUGGUACUAAACCAAGCAAGUUGAUAACAGAUUAUUUCAUUUGUCCUGUUUCGGAAAGGAAGAAAGUUUGUGCUACUGAUAGGGCACAAACAGAGGUCGAAAGAACUUGUUCAAGUGCUUCCCGUAAGAGAAUUCAGAAGAAAACUCCAGCCAAAAGUGCAAAAUCUAAAGAUAUUCCCGUGUGGUGUUCUAUACCAGGAACACCAUUCCGAGUGGUAAAUACCCUAAAUACAUAACCUACUUACAUGGGCUUUUGUAUCAUCUCAGUUCUUGGAAAAGUGCAUAAUAUACUAAACAACAUCAUCUGUUUUACCAAAAUUAAGUAGGAUGCUUGAAAUGCACAUAUAUUACUGGAAGCUCUCCAUAUAUAUACACAUUUGUUGGAUUUACCACAAUGGAGAUUAUAGGUGCUGGUUCAAAGCAAUGCCAGUGUGUAUUUUAUACUGUAUUAGUGGUUUAAUUAGUUGUAUGAAUUCCGGCGUCUUAAUGCUUGUGACAUUGGGUUAUUGAUAAUGAACAUUAUUGCACUAUGACCCCCACUUGUGGGAUUACACUGGACAUGUUGUUGACAAACUUUUUUCUAACUGCUAAGAUAUAAAGUUGUUAUUCUUUAUACCUCUCUUUUGCUAUAAAUUGCUAAAAGUAUCUUGUUUACAUCGUUGCAGGAUGCUUUCAAGUACUUGAGAAGAGAUUGUUCUCAUUGGUUCCUCAGCCACUUCCAUUUAGAUCGUAAGACCUCUUCUGACAACCAUAUUUUCAAAUGUUUAUAGCUGAAUCAGCACAAAUAGAAACAGAGAAAAUAGCAUCAGCAUGUAAGGCAGUCUCCUUUAACUCUGCUUGUAGGGGCAUUUCCAAAAUUGUGUUCAAUUUAAAAGAAGGCAUAAAUAUAUUUUGUAUUUGUUCAAAAAAGUUGUGGAACAUUCUUUUUUUAUUUUCUAUAAUAAAACUUCUCUGCACUCCAAAUCCCCCAAAGUCCUUUUCGUUCCUGUAACAAAUGCUAAAUAAUUAGCAUUUUUUAUUCUAAUCUUAACAACCAUGUUAAGUCAAACUACAUAAAAAAUGAGAUGUAGGCAGGAAUUGGUUUGACUUUGACCCUGUAAUGAGACUUAGAGCUUUCAUCUAUUUGCUUGCAGAAGUUUUGAGGUGCACUACCAGUCGAUUGAGUAAUUACAUGUUUUAACAAUUAUGAAGAAGAACAUUUACUUUCACGCACUUGUCAAUAAAAUGAAGCUGUCAAGGUUGCGUUAUCAUCAUUUUCGUUUUAAGCUUAUUCUCCAUGUUUAUAGGACAUGCUGGACUAAAAUAAAUGCUGGUUUUCUCAAUGGUCACUACAUAUAAAUUUCUGUUUCUUUAGAAAAUUGCAUUACGUGUCGUAUUCACCUUUUUGCAUAGGGUUCCCUCAUUUAUCAUGAUAGUCAAUUGAUAACUUUUGUAUCUUUUAGUAAGAAGAGGUUUUUAAGGAUGUUACAUAUUUGUAAUGUGGAUAUCAUCAUGUAGAUAUUAAUCAGUCCUAAGACCUACUUGAUUGGUUGCUGCCUUUAUGGCAUGAUGUUCAUUGAAAAUUUUUAGAGACAUCCUUAUAGGUGUAUAUGAUAAUCUAGUUUGAUGAUUAUGUGAUCAGCAAUUACUUAUCAGUCCAGCUUUGAAUUUUGUUAUCGUAUCUCUCUGUAGAUUAUCAAGGCCUCACUAAGUCCUUUUGUCAUGGAAAAAUUUAUUGUUCCUCAAUUACGGCAAAGCUUGUUAAUCUGAAGAUUGGAAUCCCAUGGGACAUGAUGCAAGUUUUACCCAUCAACCAGAAGAUCAACAUAGCAGGGAUUGAUGUCACAUGCUUUGAUGCAAAUCAUUGCCCGGGUUCCCUAAUAAUCCUUUUUGAGCCACCCAAUGGUAAGGUGUGGUUCAAAUUGGUUUGCUCUGUGCUUUUUCUGAAUUCUAGUUUGAUUGCUCUUGUGAUGAAUGCUUUGUUUGUGUUCUGCAAUAGGCUGUCCUGCACACGGGGGAUUUCCGAUUUUGUGAAGAAAUGACAAGGAAUGCAAUCUUGCAGAUUUGUGUCCACAGUCUCAUCCUAGAUACUACAUACUGUGAACCUCAGGUAUUUAGAUUGUUAAUUCAUUCUUGGCUGUGAAACCUACCAAAAAUUAUGGUCAUAUAUUUUGAGUGUCAUGCCUUGGCCAUAGAAGCAAACACUUUGAAGAAAUGCUCUAGUAUGAUCAUGUCACAUUUAUGUUAGCUAAUAUUGAGAUUUUCUCCUUACAUCUGACAUGACAAGAAAUAAUAUAGAUAGGAAACGAUAAUUGACUAUGUUAUACAUCAAUUGUAAGAAGUAGCAAAUACAAUUUAUUUACCCAAUACAUUCAAAAAGACAGGAAACAUACAGGACUAAUCCAUACACCAGGAACAUACGAAAUAGCAAAAAUCUUGUAAAUACAGUUAAAUACAUUUCAGUAUGUCAUCAGCUGUGUCCAUUAAUACUUCAGAUGUUGUAAAUGUUUGCUUGCCUUGCAGUAUGACUUUCCCAAACAGGAGGCUGUUAUUCAAUUUGUUAUUGAAUCAAUACAAGCUGAAACUUUCAACUCGAAGACCUUGUUUCUCAUUGGUAGCUAUACUAUAGGUAGACUUCAUCUCUGGCCUUUUAAGUUUCUUGGUAAUAUUGUGGCCAAAAGCUCAAAAGCUACCUAGUAUCUUAUGCUUAAUGCUUUCAUCAAAAGGCAAUUUCUCAUGGUUUCUGUCCUUACUGAUUUAGGAAAAGAGAGGUUGUUUGUUGAGGUUGCUCGUGCUCUGCAGAAGAAAGUCUAUGUCACUGCAUCAAAGUUGAGCAUUUUGGAGUGUCUGGGUUUUACUCGAGAAGAAAUGCAGUUUUUCACACUAAAUGAGCAGGAAAGUCAAAUUCAUGUCGUGCCUAUGUGGACACUGGCUAGCUUCAAAAGGUUGAAGUAUGUUUCUAAUCAGUAUGCGGUAAGUUCUUUGAUGUCCAAGUGCUUUGUGAUGAUUUAAAGAUCUUGGAGAUGGAAAAAAGUUGGUGUUGAAUUGAGGUCCAUAGUUAAUCAGUAAUUAUAUUGAUUGAAAAUAACAAAGCUCCACCUAGUGAAUAUCAUCCUCUUAUAUUGAUUGGAGGGCCUAAAAGUUUUCUUUACUGCAACAUACUCAUUAUAAUAGACUGCACAUUUUUCAGUUUUGCUGACAUCAAUUAGAUGCUUUCUCAGCAAGACCCAAGAGAGCUAUCUAGCCAAAAGUUUGCACAAAAUCUAGAGCUAAAUUCAUUCGUCGGCACACCUCUAUGCGUCUUGGUUGGGUUCAUUAUGUCAUCAUCCCUUGCACCCAAGUAUAUUACAUAUAUGUUUUUCCUUUAUAGCGCACUUAAGUAAAUUACAUAUAUGUUUUUCCUUUAUGGUUACUCCCCUUUGUUUAAUUUAUAUGACACUCUUUCCAUUUCAAAAAAUUCUAUUUCUACACAACAUAUACAACUGUCAAGAAUUUAAAUUUAUUAAACUACACACACUCUAACUUUGAUGUAGUGUUUACUUUCUUUUCAACCACUAUUUAAUAGGAAGAGUGUAAGUUAUUGGUUGAGCAUAUCACUUGGAGGUCCUUACUUUCUUUUCCUUAGAAUGUUACACAACAUUAAGAUGGAGUAUUUCUUGGGAAAAUUUGUGUGUACCAUCAUUUUUCUACCAGAACUGAAUUUCCUGGCUGCAUAUACUCUAGCUUUGUCAUUGACUACUACCCUUUGGUAGAAUGUGCCUUGUCCAGUUACAUCUUUACUUGGAACACUCUAACCAAUAGGUUUUUGCACCACCAUAUACAAAAGCUUUUGUUUAUUGAUCCAGCUUUGAGUGGUAUGUAACGGUUAGUUACUACUUCAGGGUCGGUACAGUCUUAUAGUUGCUUUCUCUCCAACUGGUUGGUCAUUUGGUAAAGGAAAGAAGAAGUCAACUGGAAGCAGGUGGCAGCAGGGUACUAUCAUCAGGUCCAUUAUCUACUACUUCUAUUUAACUUGUGUAUUAACUAUAACUGAGUCAAGGUACUAGAUCAAUGGAUGGCACAUUUCUGAUUUGAUGAAAACAUCAUUUGUUUUGGUCUCAGGUAUGAAGUACCAUACAGCGAACACAGCAGCUUUUCAGAACUCAAAGAGUUUGUUAAGUUUGUAUCUCCUGUUAACAUCAUCCCUAGUGUAAACAAUCAUGGACCUGAAUCCAGCAGCGCAAUGGUCUCACGUCUCUUGGACUGAUCUAUUCGACACAAAAUAGCAAUAACUCAUUGCCCCUUGCCUUGUUUUGUAAUUUGAGGAUGCAUUUGGCUACUCUGUAACUUAGUUUUUUCAUGUUAUACCAUUCUGUGUUGUAGUUUGGAUAAUGUAUCUGCUGAUGUUAUGUGUAUUCUCUUGCAUGAUGUAAUAAUAGUUAGUAUAUUCAGUUCAAGGGAAAAAAAAACAAUUACUUCUGAUCAAGUAGUUUUGGUGCAAAACUCGUUUAAGUGUUAAUUUGUUUUUUACUAAAUAAGUAUAUAAAUAAUAGAUUUCAAACCUAAUAAAUUUCUUAUGUGUCUCAGCCUUCCUAUCAUUUAUUGUUUUUCCAUUUUUCUUCAUGUGUAUUCUUGUGGGUUGUUUGUUUGGGUUUCUUUAAGUACUUGAAAGUUUCCCUUUUAAUGUUUUUUAAAACGUCUCUAAAAAUAAUUUUUAAAAAAAAGUAAAAGUCAAAUCUCCUAAAAUAAGUUAAUCCAAACACCUGUAAAAAGUAAAUAAUGCUCCCUUUGUCUAUUUUUAUUUAUCAUGGUUUUUGUUUUUGAGUUAAACUAUAAGAACUUUGAUUAACAUUUUGCGUUGUAUUUUUCCACCGUAUUGAUAUGUAAAAAAUUGCAAUUUAUAGUAUUUUUCGUAUAGUUUUUGAAUAUCUAAAUUUUUUGUUUAAAAUAUCGAAUUAAUGCAAUCUAAUUUAACUUUGAAAAUUAGUCAAAUUGACUUUCGAAAAGCGCAACAUGACAAUUAAAAGUAGACAAAGAAAAUAUCUUUACUUAUUUACACUUAAUCAAUUAGUAACUAUUUGAUAUAGUUUCUUGAUUAUAUAAAAUCUACAUAUUUAAACAAAAUAUAAUUUUUAAAAAUAAGAAUCAAUACUUUUUUUGAUUACGUAAAACACCAUUUAUUUUAUAUCAAAAUAAAGAUAUAAGUAUAACUUAAUUUAGAGUGGAUGAAGUAUAUGAUAUUUUUCUAUUUUGGGUAAAACUCUUGCAACAAUAUUCAUUAAGUGAAGGCAGGUGGCAAGUCUUUUCUCAACCAUAAGACUAUUAUCCCUCACCAAGUUGGAUAUUCAACUGUCGUCUGAUAUGUUGUUGUGAUUGAAAUUAUGAUUUGUUUACAAGUCAAAGUCCAAGGGCUUAUGCUAUUGAUUCUUCAACUAGUUUAUAUAUCAUUCAAUUUAUCAAUGAUGACUCUAUUUAUAUUUUACUAUAUUAUAGAAGAGUCUAGGAAUGACUACCAAUGGUCCAAUAAGAUCACUAUUAAUGUCCAAUAUAUUUAUAAAAUAUAUAAGUGGGCCUCACCACCUUCCAUUUCAAUACUACAUAUUAUAUAUUAAUUACUAUACUAUAAAUCACUACUAAUAUCCACUAUAUUUCUAAAAUAAUAAAAAACCUAACAUAUAAUAUUUAAAUAUAUUUAAAAAUAAUAUAAGUAAUACUAUACAUUAUAAUAAUUAACAGCUUAAUUAUUUAAAACUUAUAUAAAAAAUUUAAUUGACUCUCUAAAUUCUAUUGGUACCACAUAAAAUGGAUUAUAUGAUAAACAUAUAUUGUUUGAAAUUGACGAAAAAGAAACAAUAAAUUACAAUAAUUAAUAAUAAAAAAAAGGCCUACUCCAAAAAAUCUAUCAAUUAACAACAUAUAUUGUUUGAAAUUGACGAAAAAGAAACAAUAAAUUACAAUAAUUAAUAAUAAAAAAAAGGCCUACUCCAAAAAAUCUAUCAAUUAACAACAUAUAUUGUUUGAAAUUGACGAAAAAGAAACUAUAAAUUACAAUAAUUAACAAAAUAAAUCUCUCGACUCCAACAAAUCUAUCAAUUAAUGCCACAUAAAUUGGGACAUGGCAAAUAACAUAUAUUAUUAAAAAAUUAGGUUCAAAAUGUACUAUAAAAUACAAUAAUUAACAACUUAAUAUAUUAAAGAGACAUAUAAAAAAUGCUUAAUAUUUAAAAUUCUGCGUGUGCCACAUAAAUUACAACAAACAGAGUAAUAAAUAUUAUUUUCAAAAUUAUGUUAAAAAAAGUACUACAAAUCACAAUAGCUAACAAUUUAAAAUAUUUUUAAAAUCAUAUAAAAAUUUCAAUAACUUCUCAAAUUCCAUAAUAUAACACUUAAAUACUACAUAUUAUAUAUUAAUUAUACUAUACUAUAAAUGACUUAAAUACUCCAUAUUAUCUAUUAAACAAUAAUUGACAAUUAUUUGAUACUUUAAAUUCUAUUAAUGCCAUAUAAAUUAGGAUAAAAAACCUAACAUAUAAUAUUUAAAAAUAAUAUAAGUAAUACUAUACAUUACAAUAAUUAACAACUUAAUUAUUUAAAACUUAUAUAAAAAAUUAAUUGACUCUCUAAAUUCUAUUGGUACCACAUAAAUAGGUUUAUAUGAUAAACAUGUAUUGUUUGAAAUUGACGAAAAAGAAACAAUAAAUUACAAUAAUUAAUAAAAAAAUUGUCGACGAAAUUGACGAAAAACAAAUUAUAAAUUACAAUAAUUAACAAAAAUAAAAUACUCUCGACUCCAACAAAUCUAUCAAUUAAUGUCACAUAUAUUGGGACAUGGCAAAUAACCGAUAUUAUUAAAAAAUUAGGUUCAAAAUGUACUAUAAAAUACAAUAAUUAACAACUUAAUAUAUUAAAGAGACAUAUAAAAAAGGAUUAAUAUUUGAAAUUAUGCAUCUGCCACAUAAAUUAGNNNNNNNNNNNNNNNNNNNNNNNNNNNNNNNNNNNNNNNNNNNNNNNNNNNNNNNNNNNNNNNNNNNNNNNNNNNNNNNNNNNNNNNNNNNNNNNNNNNNNNNNNNNNNNNNNNNNNNNNNNNNNNNNNNNNNNNNNNNNNNNNNNNNNNNNNNNNNNNNNNNNNNNNNNNNNNNNNNNNNNNNNNNNUUUUUUUUAAAAAUUACAUUAAAAGUAUUCUAUCAAUUAACAACAUAUAUUGUUUGAAAUUGACGAAAAAGAAACUAUAAAUUACAAUAAUUAACAAAAUAAAUCUCUCGACUCCAACAAAUCUAUCAAUUAAUGCCACAUAAAUUGGGACAUGGCAAAUAACAUAUAUUAUUAAAAAAUUAGGUUCAAAAUGUACUAUAAAAUACAAUAAUUAACAACUUAAUAUAUUAAAGAGACAUAUAAAAAAUGGUUAAUAUUUGAAAUUCUGCGUGUGCCACAUAAAUUACAACAAACAGAGUAAUAAAUAUUAUUUUCAAAAUUAUGUUAAAAAAAGUACUACAAAUCACAAUAGCUAACAAUUUAAAAUAUUUUUAAAAUCAUAUAAAAUUUUCAAUAACUUCUCAAAUUUCAUAAUAUAACAUAAAUUAAAAUAAAAUAAAAUAUAUAUUGGGCCCCGUGCUGGCACGGGGUCCUAUAUCUAGUUAUAUUAUAAGUUUUCUGUUACGUUUUAAUUUAUUAAAUAGUUUGACUUGACAUAAAUUUAAGAAAUAUAGAAAGACUUUGCAAUAUUUUAAAACUAUUUUUAAAAAGAGCACGUGAUCUUGGAGGAGGCGAUGGUGUUCACCAAAUCCUCUCGACAAAAAAUGACAUUAUAUAUAUAAUAGAUUUUAAAUCAUUUAAACAUAAGACUAAAAGAUGACUCAGUUAUUAGACUAGAAUUAGACAUACAUUUUAAGACAAGCUACACGAAUAAACCAACUAACGUGUUUUUGUUCUCCUUAUCUAUUCCCUAGUUAUUGUUUCACGUUUCAAUUUGUUUGUUUAUUUUAUUUUUUAAAAUUUAUUUAUUAAAAAAUGUUUAUUUUGGUAAUUUUUUUAUUUUAACUUUUUAUGUGACAUGUUUAAGAUUAUAAAAUUAGAUGAUAUUUUGAUAUAUUUUAUAUAUCUUUAAUUUAAGAGGUACCAAAAGAUUCAAUAAAAAUAUUUGUUUAUUUUCUUAAAUUUCAUGUCCAAGUUAAAAACAUAUAAAUAAAUUAAACUAAAGGGAGUACUAAUGUUUCUCGAUACGUUUAUUAAUUCAAGAAUCCUAAUGAAUAAUAUGUGGUGUGAUUAUUCCUGAUAAAUAUCCCCCACCGUUCAUUUGAUUUUUUAAACUGAACAUCUAUUUUUAAUAUAGUAAAAAAAAGAAAGUAAAAAAGUGGAUGGCGGGAGUAACCACUAAUUUAGAAUUUUCUGCUUUUGGAAAGCCAACUACUUGUUGUUUUCUAUAGUUUGUAUCUCCCUUCGUUCAAAAUAGUUGUUCAAUAAUAUUUGUUCAGUUUAGAAUAUCAAGAGAUAAUUUAUUUUUUGUGUCUAUUUUACACUUGCUAUUAAAUAUUAUUUAUCAUCUAAUAAAUUUUUCAAAGCAUUAAAUUUAAUAAAGUCAAAUGAUAAAAUAGUAAUAUUACUCCUAUUAUUUAUUAUUUCUUAAGGGGUAUGUCAACCACAGAAAAAGACAAAAAAUAAAUUAAUAAAUAAGAAAUGGGUUAAUGCUUGAUUUCAUCACCAGCCCAAAACAUAUACGUGUGGACUGGACUCAUACGAUUAAUGACAUACUUAUCACAAACAAAGAUAAUGUAACUACUUUUCCAACAAUAGCAACACAAUUAUUAUUGUCACCACAAACAAAGAUAAUGUAACUACUUUUCCAACAAUAGCAACACAAUUAUUAUUGUCACCAUUUUUUUUUCUUGUAUCAUUUAUAUCUUGAGCUUGAAUUAUAACUUUUUGAUAUGCUUUUUCGUACCACAAUAAUGAUCAAUAUAUAUAUAUAUAUAUAAAAGAUUCGUAUAUCUAAACUUUGACUUGCUUCUAUCUUUAACUUGUCUUUCUCUCCUUUGAAGUUGCUUCUACCCUCAUUUAGUUGGGGGAUAACUGAUAAAGUUAUUCCAAAAUUGUUAAUUCUAUAUAUUUUAAAUAUGAGAUAAAAAUAAUAUUAUAAUUUCAGGAUAACUAAAAGAUAAGUUAUCUCUCGAUUUUAUCCCAACCAAAUAUGGAAUAAACUCAUUCUAUAAUUAAUUCUAAAAUUAGUAGGGGAACUUACAUAAAUUCCACUAGUCUAAGAGCUAAUUACUUAGAUACACUCUAAUUUGCAAUAUUACAUAUCUUAUAAGAUUUUUGGUUGUCCAGGUAUGAUGAGAUACAUGUAUCUGGGGAUACAUGGGGGUUAAAAUUAGGUGUAAUUUGUUAUAGAUACAUUGUAUCCAAAUGGAUUCACAUGUAUCUGGGAUACAUAACAAAUUCUACUCGUCUCUCUCCCAUCUUGCUCGCCACUCUCCACUGUAUCUGAUAUCCCAGAUACAUGCGAAUCACAUCAUAUACAUACAAAUACAUCUAUUUAGUGUGUUUCACAUGUAUCUGGAAUACAUAUGAAUCUUGCUCGCCUCUCUCCUUAUUUUUGUUUAUUGAUAGCAAAAUACAUGUAUCUAAGUGUAUUUUUCUCAAUAUAUGGUAAAAAAACUCUUAAUUAGUGAUAAGAUACAUAAUAUUUUAAAAGUAUAGGUAAUAAUAAUAUAUAUGGUAGUGAAGUUAUAUAUCAAUGUAGUUUUUCCAAAUUAGUAACCCGUGUACCAACGGACCCUUAUUAUGAAAAUUAUUAAAAAAGAAAAGAAAGAAGAGGCUUGAUAUUUUUUCAUUACUUCAUUGUCCAGAACAUAUCGAUCUUGGAAUAUUAUAUGAUCACCACAUUAUUGAGAGCUGAAUUAGUUAAAAAAAAAUACAGAGCUUUUCAAAAGUAUUAUAAUCUAACAUGGUAUAAUAACAAACACAUUCCAAACAAUUUUUACCUACAUCUUUAUUAAAAUAUGAUUAUAAAUAGGACAAUUCUCUCGUAUCUCAAAUUUAUCAAUUGCUUUAGAAGAAAUAACUUGUUACUGCCUGUCUUUGAAGCAUAAAGUAUCUCAUUUAUUCCAUAAGGUUUUAACAUGCAUAUCAUUUACAAAAUGGUUUAGAACAUUAUCUUCUAUACAUUGCAUUAUAUAUAACUACAAAUGUUUCAUUUUAAUUCCCCCCAAUUACAUAGUUACCUUCACAAGACUUUGAAAUAUGCCAGUUAACACUCUUCUCGGUUUUUUUAUUAAGAACUUCAUGCUCUUACAAGAGUUUGAGACCACUUGAUAUGUCAUGUGACAAAUCGGCGGUGUAUCUAGGUUUAAUUAAUCAAGUAGAUGAUUGUUUUUAAGACUGUCAAUAGUUCGGAGAUGAAACUAAUAAUUUACACCAAGUUUAAGAACAUUUUUAAUACCCCUCUCUAUGUAAAUUUGGAAGAAAUUAAUGAAGAUAAUAGUUUAAGAAAAAAUUAAAUUAACUUUCAUAAUCUUUUUUCAAAACGCAAAUGAAAAGGAGUAGAGGGUUGGGUCAUCCCAUUAUUUGAUCCAAACAAUUAAACUUUAGGAGAAUCAGAUCAUGAUAUAACCUAUUAACUGAUUUUACACCCUUUUUAAUCCGUUCAAAUUUAAUUCAACUUGCUCAUUUACAAUCCACGGGAAUAAUAAUUUCACUGUCCCUUAGAAUUGAGCUGGAAACACCUAACAUACGUACUGAAAAAGAAGGCGAUGAAAAGAAGUUUCUAGAAAGUAUUUACUUUAUUAAGCAUAACAUAGCAAGCGUACAUGCAAAUCAAUAAUAAUGAAGUCAUUUGCAUAACCAACGAUGGCAGUUGUGCGGUGGAGUGAUAAGUAUUUCUUCAUUUUUAAUCAUAGUCUCAGGUUCGAUCUCAUUGGGUAUGAAGUCGUGAUCUUUGUUAGGGAGCGCAUUAUUCUCAAUGUGGUACUUCGAUCGACACGAAUUCAGGACUCUAAUAUAAAUAUCGAACAGUGGGUAGAAAACCAAAAAAAUAAAAGUCAUUUGCAUAAUUUCGAACUACUUUGUCAUAAAUGUAUUACUAGGAAUUUAUGGCUAGUUGAUAGCAUCCAACUAACACCUCUCUCAAUUGGGUGCACAAUUUCUCUUCACCUAACUACCCUACCCCUCCAUUCUCCCAACGCUUAAUUCCAUAAUAAAUGCACCUACACUUUCCCCUCCUUUCAUUAUCUUAUAAAAAAGAUAUACAUUAUCCCUAUAUUUCCAUCCAAAAAAAAAAAAACAACAAUUACGUCUCAAUUCCAAUUAUGGCUCGAGAAGAACAUCUUCUAUCGACGGAUAUUGUGAACCGAGGGAUAUCGGAUGAGGGAUCACAAACGUUCUCCGUUAGGGUACAGAGGCGUUUGCCCGAUUUCUUGCAAUCAGUUAACUUAAAAUAUGUGAAGUUAGGGUAUCAUUACUUGAUAAAACAUGGGAUAUAUUUGGCUAUAUUGCCAGUGUUGGUGUUGGUUUUCAGUGCUGAAGUUGGGAGUCUAAGUAGAGAGGAGUUAUGGAGGAAAGUUUGGGAUAGCACAACACGUUAUGAUUUGGCUACAGUGUUGUCAUUUGUGGCACUCUUUGUCUUCACUAUCUCUCUUUAUAUCAUGUCUAAGCCAAGACCUAUUUACCUUCUUGAUUUUGCAUGUUACAAGCCAAGUGAUGAUCUUAAGGUAAUUUUUUACUUGUAUACUUAUUUUUUGUGGUCUCUAGACCCCGCGUGAACGUGGGAUGGUUCGUGCACCAAGCUGUUAAUCUUUUUCUUUUCCUUAUUGAUCUAAUUUGUUUGAACGAGGUUCUUUUGAAAAUAACUCUCUACCUCCAUGAUGUAGGGAUAAGGUUAGUGUACACUCUAUUUUUUCAGACUUCACCUAUGAGAUUACACUCAAUAUGUUAUUAUUUAUGUGUUUGUACUUAGACAUAUUCAUCUACUAUAUAUAUAGUACUAAUUUUUGUUGUUAUUUUUGUAUAUAUUUAGAUUUAGUUAACCAUUUCUAGGAGUGAAGUAAGAAUAUGAUUAGUUGACUAGUUUUAUAAAAAGAUUAGAUAUCUGUGAAAUUUAUAUAAAAGGUAAAUGAUAAAUUGAUAAUUGUCGUAUUAGAAGAUUUGGUCAAAUAUUCUUUUAAUAAAGUGUGCACGUACGAGCUAGCUGACCUUUUUUUCCUCCUCUAAUUAAAAAAAAGAGAAGGUUAAAUUAAUGUACUUUACAUAGAAGCAUAUGGUAAAGUAAUAUGGUUAAAAAGUGUAAACUUUGUGCUCCGAUAAUAUAUAAUACUUUUACAUCAUAAGAUUACGUUAAUAUAUGAUCUAUAAUAGCUUAAAAAUUAAAGUAAUUAAACAACCUCUCAUAACAUGUUAAUUUAUACUGAUAAUAUAAAUCUUUUAUUUAUUGUUAGUGUAUAUAACUUAAAGUUGAACCUUAUUCUUAAUGCAUGUCAUGCUAAUAUUUUGGUAGGUAACAAAGGAACAAUUCAUCGAGUUAGCACGAAAUUCGGGUAAAUUCAAUGAAUCAAGUCUAGAAUUUCAGAAAAGAAUUCUAGAAUCCUCUGGAAUUGGGGAUGAGACUUACGUCCCCAAAUCCAUUGGAUCAUCAGAAAACACAGCCACCAUGAAAGAAGGACGAUUCGAGGCAUCAACGGUGAUGUUCGGAGCACUCGAUGAACUUUUCGAGAAGACGAAAAUUCGCCCGAAAGACGUCGGAGUAUUGGUGGUGAAUUGCAGUAUUUUCAACCCAACACCAUCACUUUCAGCCAUGAUAAUAAAUCACUAUAAAAUGAGGGGAAAUAUUCUUAGUUUUAAUUUAGGUGGAAUGGGUUGUAGCGCUGGAAUAAUAGCGUUAGAUUUGGCACGUGACAUGUUACAAGCUAACCCUAAUAAUUACGCGAUCGUGAUUAGUGGUGAGAUGGUUGGAUAUAAUUGGUACCCCGGUAAUGAGCGGUCCAUGCUUAUUCCGAAUUGCUUUUUUCGAAUGGGUUGCUCCGCCCUCCUCCUCUCUAAUCGUCGUCGCGACUACCACCGUGCUAAGUACAGCCUCGAACACAUCGUGAGGACACAUAAAGCUUCCAAUGAUCGUGCAUUCAGGUAAACAUUUCUCCAAUUGUGAUCAUUUCGUCUAAACAUUUUAAACUGUCAAUUUUGAAUUUGUUUUAUAUAUGAUAAGGUUUGAAUUUUCGUAUAAGUGCAUUAAUAUCGUAAAAUUAAGUGUUAUAGGGACGUGUCCUACUAAAGUUUGAAAGACAGCUAAUUGCAAACAGAUAGUACAAUUUUGUGUGCUUUUAAUGUGAGAUAUAUAGGUGAUAUAUAUAUGGUACUUGAGGGUGGGUGUACAUUUAAUUUAAUUUCAAACUAUAUGGUUGAGCCAUUUAUUACAACCAGGUAAAUAAUGUCUCAACUGUCUAAUAAAUGACUUUAAAUUCUGGGGACCAACAUACUACUCUACUAAUUAUACCCCCUCCCCCCCUCCCCUUCCCCCNNNNNNNNNNNNNNNNNNNNNNNNNNNNNNNNNNNNNNNNNNNNNNNNNNNNNNNNNNNNNNNNNNNNNNNNNNNNNNNNNNNNNNNNNNNNNNNNNNNNNNNNNNNNNNNNNNNNNNNNNNNNNNNNNNNNNNNNNNNNNNNNNNNNNNNNNNNNNNNNNNNNNNNNNNNNNNNNNNNNNNNNNNNNNNNNNNNNNNNNNNNNNNNNNNNNNNNNNNNNNNNNNNNNNNNNNNNNNNNNNNNNNNNNNNNNNNNNNNNNNNNNNNNNNNNNNNNNNNNNNNNNNNNNNNNNNNNNNNNNNNNNNNNNNNNNNNNNNNNNNNNNNNNNNNNNNNNNNNNNNNNNNNNNNNNNNNNNNNNNNNNNNNNNNNNNNNNNNNNNNNNNNNNNNNNNNNNNNNNNNNNNNNNNNNNNNNNNNNNNNNNNNNNNNNNNNNNNNNNNNNNNNNNNNNNNNNNNNNNNNNNNNNNNNNNNNNNNNNNNNNNNNNNNNNNNNNNNNNNNNNNNNNNNNNNNNNNNNNNNNNNNNNNNNNNNNNNNNNNNNNNNNNNNNNNNNNNNNNNNNNNNNNNNNNNNNNNNNNNNNNNNNNNNNNNNNNNNNNNNNNNNNNNNNNNNNNNNNNNNNNNNNNNNNNNNNNNNNNNNNNNNNNNNNNNNNNNNNNNNNNNNNNNNNNNNNNNNNNNNNNNNNNNCCUUCCCCCUUCAUUAUAUUAAAAAGAAAUUUGUUCAUUUGUAUUUAUUCAAUUUGAGAAAUUAAAAAUAAUUUUUGUUAUAUCUCUUUUAUUCUUAUUAUUAAGUUUUAUUCAUUUUUAUUAUUAAAUUUUUUUCAUUUUUUAUGAAUGUAUUUUUUAAAAUAUUAAAUUUAUCAUAUUCAAAGGGUGCGACAAUAAAUCUAUCAUUUUAUUGGUAAUUUCUUAAAAAAUGUGUCUGAGUGAUGAAAAAAUAAAAUAGACGGAGGGAGUAUCUUCACAUUUGUGCUUUUAAAAGUCUUGUCGACAUUUUAUUAAUAAUUUAAUAGUUAUCGACUUAAAUGAGCAGUAGUAUGAGCAGUAGUCAGAUAGGCUAACCAAACAUAGCAUUUACUAGUUUUACAUAUAUUUAUUUAUUUAUGUGGACAACACAAUAUUCAUUUGUUGACUUUGAUUGGCCAUAAAGAUUUUUUAGACAUAAAAAAUAAAAUUUAAAAAUGGACGUUUUAAUCAGCACUCUUUUCCUCUGUCAUCUUAUUAAUUGGUGAAAAAUGCAUUUAUUUUGCCCUCUUUUUUCAUUAGGUUGAUCUAAUCAUUGUGUGUAUUAAUUAAUUGCAAGAAAAUGCAUUAAUACAUAUAUUUGUCUAAUUCGUGUCAAUUGAUUUCAUGAUUAUUAUGCUUAAUUUUGAACAAGCUAUUCUCUCAUAAAAAUAAAUCAAUUUGAAAAGAUUAUACCACACAACUAAAGUAUCGAUAAUUAUUGCAUAAUUCUUUUUUUUAAAAAUACUAUCAGUGCAUAUAACUUAAACUUUAUUGCUAAAGUCGAGUAUUAAAAUUAUACAUUUUUCAGGUGCAUUUACCAAGAAGAAGAUAGCCAACGUUACAAGGGGCUAAAGAUAAGCAAAGAUUUAGUAGAAGUUGGAGGAGAUGCAUUGAAGACUAAUAUUACUACAUUAGGCCCUUUGGUUCUACCUUUAUCAGAACAACUAUUCUUCUUUGGAAACUUAGUUUGGAGGCACUUAUUUGGCAAUAAAAAUGCCAAAACAAAUAAUAACAACAAUAACAAUUCCCAGCAGGCCAAUAAUAUCAAACCCUAUAUUCCAGACUACAAACUUGCCUUUGAGCACUUUUGUGUCUAUGCAGCCAGCAAAACUGUCCUUGAUGAGCUUCAAAGAAACCUAGAGUUGAGUGAGGAAAACAUGGAAGCAUCACGCGCCACGCUCCAUCGAUUUGGUAUUAAUAUUGAACUACAUGAUCAUCUCAUAUAUAUACAUAUAACAUGUUAUGUUAUGUUGUUAGAGUGAACGUAGUUUUAAUUAUAUAUUAUUAUGUCUGAACAGGUAACACGUCUAGUAGUAGCAUUUGGUACGAGUUGGCUUAUUUGGAGGCUAAGGAGAAAAUCAGAAGAGGCGAUCGUGUGUGGCAAAUUGCAUUUGGGUCAGGUUUUAAGUGUAACAGUGCGGUUUGGAAAGCUAUUCGUCGCGUUAAGAAGCCUUCAACGAAUCCUUGGCUUGGUUGCGUUGAUAGGUAUCCAGAGUCUCUCACACAAUAAAUGUGAGUUUAAUUUUAUGGUCAAUUUGGAGUUGGGAGAUCGAUGGGAAUUUAUGAAUGACUAUAUAAAUGUAUAGUCUAAGAGUAUUGAUAUUAUAAUUAAGUUAAGUUUAUUUAUGGACCUUGAUCACAUGGAUUGUUAAUGAAAUUUAAGUGUUCCAAGUUUAACAAACAUAUGUAGAUCCCUUCUUUAAUUUCCUAUCAUUUAUAAUUUGUGAAAUAAAUGUAUUGUGAACAUUUUAUAUUGGUGAUAAGCAAAUAUUUAUUUAUUAGUUAUUCAUGUUUGCAUUAAUUAAGUUGGUCAUCUUCUCAAUAUUCUUGCUAAAUUCCUAUUAUUCUUGUAUUAGCAUACGAUGCCAUCGGAUUUAUUGGCCCAAUUAAUUUAAAGAGAAAAUUAGAUAAAAUAUUCAUUGUGUCAUAAUCCUUUGUUCAAAAUAAUUCAAUCAUCACUUACACAACAUGGUCAGGUUUAUUUUUCAUCUCUUAUAUUCUCUUUUUCUUUGUUUUUUUUAAGAGUGUCUUUGGUAGGAAGAAGAAUAUUUCUCAUCGAAAACAUUUCUCCUAUUUUAAAAAAAUAAAAUAAGUUGACUUUUUUUCCCAGUAUUUAUUUGGUAAGUUAGCAAAAAUGUGUUAAUCUUAAGAAUAUUCUAUGUAAUUUAGUAGAACACUAUAGGGGUGAAAAGGGUGGAGGCGGUGCCUUAGGGGUAGCGAGGGUGAGAUGGUAAAGGGGUAGGGAUUGGAGGCGUUGGAUGAGCGGGGAAGAUACAAUAAACAUAAAACUUCGCUUAUAUAUAAAACUUAUAUUUCCUAUUUUUAAUAAGAAAGUCCUUUUCUAUAUUUUUAAACAACUUGUUUUCUUAGAGAAAAUAUUUUCAUUAUUCAGAGAUGAAAAUAUAAGAAAGCAUUUUUAGAAAAAUCAUUUCAACCAUACCAAACACACCCAUAAUGUCAAUAAUUAUUGGCAAUGUCCCAAUCAUUAAGCCACUACUUUCAUGUCUCCAUGGUUUCUUUUAUUCUUUAUUUCUUUACACUUUUAUUCAAUUUCAUUCCAAAUCUCUUCAUCUUUAUAUCACUUCAUUCCUACACAUUAAAAUAUAAUAUUAAUAAAUAAAUAAUAUAAUCAAUACUCAACAGAUAAUUAAAAGUAUUAAAAUGUGAGAAAAAUAAUAACUAAAAUAGAUAUUUAUGUCCGAAGAUAACCACCUCACAUUUAAAUUCUGGUUCGUUCUCGAGCAAACAUUAAAACUCAAUAUAAAAUGAAUUAAUAUAAAUUAAUCAAUGAGCUUCUUAAUGUUAACGAAAUAAAAUAAUUAACUUAACUAUAAACUAAAUAAAUUAAAGUAUAAACUAUUAUAUAACUAAAUUAAUUAACCAAACAUUUAACAAAAUCUUUUUGAGACAGUUUUCGAAUAUUCAUAAACUAUACUAAUUAUAUACAAAUUUAUAUAAACAUAUAUAUAUAUAUAUAUAUAUAUAUAUAUAUAUACAUCUUUUAUAAACUAUUUAUGCAAUAUCGAUACAUUACAUAAUUAUUUAUAUAAUAUCAAUAUUUACAAAAAUAUAUAUACAAUAUCGAUAUAUUACAUAAUUAUUUGUAUAAUAGUAAUACAUUAGAUAACUAUUUUUACAAUAUUGAUAUAUUAUAUAACAUUACAUAUACAAACAAUCAUUUUAUUAGAAUUUUUUUAUAAUCUGUAUAAUUAUAUAAAAGUAAAUUUACGUCGAGCCUAUUUAAAGGAAUGCACACCCAACCAAGAAAUAAAUAAGCUCUCUCCUUAGCUCCAAAGCUUAAGAUAAAUAUGUGUGUAUACUCCUCAGUCUUUUGAUGGUGUGAAAGGUGAUAUAGGGAAUAUUCUUGGAAGAGCUUAAGGAUCAUCAUGUUUACCUCUCUUAUUUAAUCAAUUCAAUAAUCUCUGGAAUAUGUGACGAAGAAGAUAAAAUUGAUUAUUUUUCUUUUUAAAAAAAAAGAGACAACAUGGCCUGGAAAAUUGUGUGUAUGAUAAUAUAGUGUGUUUUAAGUUUCGUUACUCCUAUUGUUUAAAGGAAAUUAUAGGAUAUGGUAUAUUGCUAAUCAUUUGAUUUUACUUUUUUUUUUUGAAUUCUUCCUAGGAUCACUUACUUUUGAAUAAGCGAUAUAAACAGUAUUUUCAUUUUAUAGUAAGAUCUAUUUGUCCCAAAAAAAAAAUCUAUUGACAAAGAAAAAAAAAACAAAUUAUGAAAAAAUUAUAAAUCAUUUUAGAAACAAUUGAUAGAAACUCUUUAAACAAAAAAUGUAAUAACAAGUUGCUCUUCCUUCCUUCUUUUUCCCCCUUGAUUUCGUGUAGUGCAGGUGAUCAGUUAAAUAUAUAGAAAUUAUACGAAGUGUAUAUAUAUAUAUAUAUAUUAGGGAAGAUUACUCGGUUAAGCAAAUUUAUACUACUUAAUUACUCAUCACAACUAUAUAGUUUACUAUAAUUAUCACUCGCGAUUAACAUUAUACAUUAAUUACGUGGGGUGACUUCAAGCUUGUAUGUUAGCCACGUUUGUAUAUGUAUAAUUCGCCAUAUUUGUAUAAUUCACAGUCAACAAUUCUUUGUUUGAUUUGUAUUUGUAUUUGUAUACGAUUGUUUAUAUUUGUAUAUGACGAUGAUUUCCUUUGUUUUUUCAGUUUUGUCAUCAUCUACAUUCAAUCAUUUUGUGUAUAACUUUUUAAAGUUUGUAUAAACGUGUAGUUUUUGGAUUUUGUAUAACAUAAUUUAUAUAAUUUAAUUUGAAUAAUAUAUUUUGUAUAAUUGUUUAAAGUUCAUAUGUUUAUGUUUGUAUCAAUUCGUUAUUUCGAGUUUUAUUAUAUUUGUAUAGUUCCAGAUUUUAUAUAACUCAAUUAUACAAAAAUACGUGAAUUAUAUAAACGCACAUGCGGAUUAUACAAACGAGAUGUGAAUUAUACAAAUUAUUGUCCUCUCUCGCUCGCCUCUCUCCUCCCUCUCCCAAUCCCGCUCGCCUCUCUCCUCCUUUUCUCAAUCUCUCUCGCCUUGUUUAAAAAAGAAUGACUCUUUCUUUUUUUGGUAACAUUUUAAUUUCAACUUUCCACGUGGCAUGUUUAAGGACACUAGAUUAAAGGACAAUUUUGUACAUUUGACAUAACUUUAAUUUAAGACCACAAGAUUCAAAAGUCUUCUUUAUUUUCUUAAACUCCGUGCCAAGUCAAACUAGACCAUUCUUUGUGAAACGGAGGGAGUACAAUUAUUUAACCGAUAUACUUAUACAAUUCACCUCUCUCCCACUCUCUGCCCUCUCUCGCUCGCCUCUCUCCUCCCUCUCCCAGUCUCGCUUGCCACUCUCCUUCCUAUAACAUGUAGCUACAAAUUGUAAUUAGCAAACUAUAGCUAUGAAGCAUAAUUAGGCUAUUUUUGAGUGGUUAUAUGUAAAAGUUUCUCAUAGUAUCGAUAUUGUAUAAAUAGUGUAUACUAGUGCAUAGAUGAAGUAUAACUAUAUAUGAGAGACAUAUAUAUACCUCUAUAAACAUUGUUGUUCACUCCUGAUCAACUCAAAAUUUCAUCCAAACAAUCUCAAAACUUAGAUAUCGCACUCAAUAUUUCAAGUCUUUUGAUAUAUUAUUCACUCAAAACUAUUCACGUUUAUGACACAUUAAUUUAAAUAUUUGAGCUUUAAACAUAGAAGAAAAAGAUUACAUAUAAUAUAGUGUAUCUAAUAGCUAAAAUACAUAUAUCUAGAUGUAUUUAACUUAAAAUUUAAUAAAAAUCAUUAAUUAGUGAGACAAUAUGUAAUUAUUUUAAAUUAUAAGGAGAAAUGUUUGUCUAAUGAAAUAUUUUUUUUCCUUUUUAACGAAGCUUGCAAUAAUUAGCACCAGAAAUUGUAAAAUAUUACUUGUGAAAAUACGCAACCAAAUAAAAUACAAAAAAUUUCUAAAAAUAUAAAUUAAAAUACAAUGACGAGAACCAUUAAAUAUCAGAUCUCUCAUAAUUGACAGAAAAGAAAAACUGGGAGACAUACAUAUAAUAAUUAAUUUCUCCCUCAUCUAUUAUUUUUCUCUAGACCCUGCGAUUUCUAGCAAACGCCUUUAUUACUGAUCAUUUUUUUAAUAAAUAAAAUAAAAUAAAAAAGCAAAGAAAUGGAGAAAUUUAAAAUCCUCCUUCCCCAAAAGAAAGAAAAAACAGCAAUUUGGGGCUUCAAUAUAAAGGCCAAAGAUUUGAUUAUGAUUAAAAAAAAACCCAUCAAUCUUCUUCUUUUCAAGCUAACCACUCCACAUCCAUUCCUUCAAUUCCUUCAAUGUCCAUACUGUAACAACACAAGAAAUUUAAAUAAAAUAAGAAUAUGGAGAACAUAGUAGUUUUUGUGACAUAUUCAUAACAAAUAUUCUCUGAAUAUAGUUAUAAAAAAUACCCUUAAAUAACACUGAAAAUAUAAUAUUUUAAAAGUCAGAUUUGAUGAUGAUGAUGAUAACUAUAAUGAUGUGAAUAAAUAAAAAAAAGCAUCAACUUUCUUCUUUUUAGUUUAAAGAAAAAGAAAUAUAGAAAUAUAAUCUAUCAAUAUUUUUUUAAUUUGAUGUUCGGCACUUAUAUCUAAUUUGAAAGGUAAAAACUUUUUAUAUCUAAUUUGAAAGGUAAAAACUUUAUAUAUACAAAGUGUGAUUUCAUUUCCAGAUUUCAGAAUAUCUCAUAAAAUUUUGAAUAUUCAUAAAGAGAUCAUGAAGACAUCAAAAUUUUUUUUCUCAAAGAAAUCUCGAAUAUCUCAUAAAUUUUUGGAUAUUUCUAAAGAUCAAAAUCUUGAAUAAAUUUUUAGGUGUUCACGAAUAGAGUAUGAAGACAUUAGUGAUCUUGAAUCCCUUAAAACUCUUCGAGAUAUUCAUGAAGACAUCAAACUAUAUCCUUCUUCUUAAUGAUCAAAUAUUUUUAAAAAAUCCAUAAAUACGUCAUUAACAGCACAUAAAUCACACAAAAAUUUUAUUUUAAAAGAGAAAAAGCUAGAAAUAAAUAAAUUUGUACCUACAAUAUUUAUCAUUAGAAAAAUAAAAUAAUUAAUUUUUAAAUAAAAAUUUCUAAUUAAAAAUGAACGGCGGCUAGAGAUAAUUACAAAUUCAAUAUUUUCUCAAUGACCCAACAAACUCCUAACCCCAAAAAAAGAAAAAACACAAAAAAAAUUAUUAAAAAAAAGUGGGCCCAAUGGGUUGUCUGUUUCAUUUGUUCCACCGUUUGACGUGUCAAUGCUAGCAAAGACCCAUACUUCCGUAUACUAAUACCAACAAAACAUGAUGCUAAUAGCAUGCAUCUGUUUUUGGCCACGGAAAUUUCCUAAAAUAAAUUGUGAUUCUUCUCAGAAAACUGAUGUUAGAAAAGUCUGAAGGAUAACUCGAUGCAUUAAACUUUUGCUAGUUAGACAUAAAGUUCAAAAAAUAAGAUUGUAUUUAACAUGUUAUACUCAAUUAUAUCCUACAUUUUUGUGGCGACUAUUUUUUUUUUUUAAUAAUAGAGAAAUUUAUCUGUGACCCGCCUUUGAACCAAUCACUAUCUUCUAAAUUCGGUGAAUAAUGGGCCCGCCCCUCUACCAUUCUCCACUUAAAUACCAAGCUUCGCUUUGCAUGGUGUGGGGUUUGAACCUGCGACCUAAGUCACAAAUCCUCCCCUUUUGCCACUUGAGUUAGGCCUUAAACAAAGAGCAUCUUGAACAGUAAGAUGACAUAGGAACAAAAAACAUUUCCUAAUAUUUUAAACAUAAAAAGCAACCUAAAAAUGAAAAGUGAAAGAAGAAAUGAAACAACAACAAUAACAAACAUCCUACAUCCUACAUCCAUCCUAGUGUAAUUUCAUCAGGUUAGGAUAUACGUCGAUUUUAUUAUGCUAUUUUCGAAAGAUUCACGAUUCAAGCAGGUCAUACAGAUGUAAAGAAGACAUAGCAAAUAAUAAGUGAAAUUAGUAAGAAAUAGUUACCAUGGUAAGGUAGGAUGAGAAUAGGUAUCAUCGACAUGUUGUUGCAAGCAGGUUUCAUUUGGAUUAAACCAGGGAGGGAAUUCCAUGACUUCAUCAAAUGGAUAACAUCCAUAAUCCUCAGCAAUGUUCUUCUCAUCAGGUCCAAUUUCCAUGGCUUUCAAGAACUUGAACCACCAAGCUGAAGUUGCCAAAUUGAGUGUGUCAUUCCACUCCAUCUCAUGUUGUUUCCCUACUGAUCUGAUCUCUUCCAUUUCUUGGUCAUCCAUUGAUGGAUGCAACCUUGAAUUCACCAUUUCACCUAUAGGACCAACCCCUUCUCCCACAUAAUGGAAUUCAUCUGAAGAAGAUGAUGAUGAUGAUGAAAAGAUUGAAUUUUUAUUGCUGAUGCUACAAUAAGGGGUUGCAUCUAAAUUAUUGAAAUCAUGGAAAUUGAGAUUCAAUCCUAAUGUUUGGUUGGGAAGUGGAAAAUUCAUGUUGUCUUGGAAAGGUAAUUGGGAUGAAACAGGGCAAGAAUAAGGAUAUUGAGGAAGACAAGGGAAGGUUGAAUUGGAGAAAUUUUCCAUGUUGUAACAUGGUAAGUUAUUAGCCAUAGUGUUGGAAGCAUAAAUCCUGGGGUUUCUCCGGGAUUUUGGCUUCCCUUGUUCUUCCCCUAAAGAUUCCUGAGGCCAAGUCUGCAACGACUGUGGCUCAGUGUGAGAUUGUUGCUGUUGUUUCAUAGACGCUCUAUGAAACUUAAGGGCAGUGACAAUCUCACGCCGAGCCUCGGCCAUAUUUAAAAGCCUCUCUUGAUAAGGCCUACUAGUGUGGAGUCUCCUCCUCACUUGUUUCUUUUUAAUCUGUGGUGGUGCUGCUGGCUGUGGUGAUGACAAUUGUGUAUCACUACACAAAGUAUCAUCAAGUUUUGUUGAAUUCUCUAGUGAAUCAUCAUGGUCUUUAGGAUUCAAGGGAUCUUUGGUUCUUGAAGAAGUUAACUGUUUGACUAGGCUUCUAAUAUAGGCACCGGAGAGAUGAGGAGGCUCUUGUUUUAGUUUAUCAACCUUUGCUACUUCCAUAACUCCUCCUUGCUUUGGUGAAGAUCUUCCCCUCAUCUUUUACUCAAAUGGCUUUGCUUUUCUCUCUUUUUGGGAUCUUUUUUAGGAUGGAAAUGGAGGUCAAUAUAGCAAGAAAGUCGGUCUAAAGAAACAUGUCAUUCAAUUCCUGAGGAGCCAAAGUACACACUAUGCAGAGGAGAGGCAGAGGUUAGGAAGGUCUCUUAGGUGCAUAUAAAUAGCUAGAGACAGUCUAGGGUUUUUAAAUACUUUUGGAAUUUUCCCAUUUUUCUACUAUUCUUUUGUUACUUAGUCUUAGAUGGGGGGUAGUUAGGAAGAGUUUCAUAACAGAUUUUACUCUACAAAAUGACAGUUAUAUGUGUAAGCACCCUUCUCCUUUUUUUAAUAGGAUCAAGUUAAAGGAGGUAUGAGACAUAAUCUUCCAUAAUAGUUGGAGGAUCCCCUAUAACAACAUCAAGUGUACCCCGAUGCACAAAGCAUUCCACAUUAGUAGGGUCCGAGGAAGAACCGCACCACAUCGGGUGUGAUAUAGACAACCUACCCUAAUGCAAGCAUUAGUGGUUGCUUUCACAACUCGAACCUGUAACCUAUAGGUCACACAAAGACAACUUUACCUAUAAAUAAAUUUGAGUAUUGAGCCAAAUCAAGUUGAGUCGAGUUAAGCCUAUCAAACUUGCUAUGGUAACAAGUUAAAUCGAGUCCGAGGUGAGCCCAACUAUGAGUCCAUACUUUGAAUCCCUCUGUUCAUUUUUACUUGUUUUGGAUAAAUUAAUCUCAUUCCAUAAAUAACACACAAAGUUGGUGUUAUGACUGGCUCAACCACUUCUAUCACUUAAGUUGUCAAAGUCAAAUUUCAAACCUUUUGUUCUAAGCAUAGUUUUCAAAAAGAUAUGCCAAACCAGAGAACAAAUCAAAUUCAUCAUCAAAGCCAACAAUUUGACUAGUGUCCAUUACACUAAGCCAAAUCAAGGUUAGAGAAACUCCAAAGUGUGAAAUUAUGGACUUUCACAGGAUUCAUGUACAUUGAUGACUUCGGUGGUGCAUAAUAGUCUGUCUAUGACACUAAGGCAUGUUCAUGUGACCUUUUGGUUAGGCUAGAAAAGUCUCAUUAUAUAUAUGCGGUGUUCAAAAAAUAAAACGACUAAAGAAACAAGAAAUGUAAACACAAUUGGGAGAAAAAAGAAAAACAGUCUCAAACCAACCACAUUUAGUUCAAGGGGCAAAGGUUGAGGGACUUGUGAUUUAGGCCACUGGCUCGAGCCUUGUAGUAUACGAACUAGGCCUGAUUUUUAAGUGGAAAAGGGUAAAAGAGUGAAUCCAUUAUUUCCGAGUUUCAAAGGAUGCUAUUGGUCUUAAGGGUUGCCACCCAUCCAAAAGAAAAGGCAGUCCACUAGCCUCCACCAUAAUUAAGGCCUGCAAAAAGACCUUCAAUGCUCAGAAAAUCACACAUCUUAUACUUAUCUAACCGUUGACAAAACAAUUCUCAGAAUUACCUAAGAAAUGGUUAAGACAGGACAUAUCAAUCAUUCAACUAGAGAAAGAAUCAGGGUAGGGACGUUUGGUAAAGUGUAUUAGAAUAGUAUUAAAUAGGAAGUAUUAGUUAUGUUGGGAUUAGUAAUUCAUGAAUGUGUUAUGCUGGAAUAAGUAAUGUUGGAAUCAUUCCUUAUCCACUAUUUGGUUUGGUGUAUUACGGAAAAUUUUAUCUUUAAUCAUGCUUAUGCAUAUCUCUAUAACCCAUAUAUUACUAAUAUCAUGAUUUGUUAUGUAUUGGUUUUACACUCUAUAAUACUGAACAUGGUGUAUAACUAAUAUUCUAUCAAAUAAUACCAUAUCUAAUAUGUAUAUUAGAUUCUCUCAUACAUCCUACCAAAUGAUUUGUAUCUCUAAACUGCUUGUCUCUUCAUUUCCAUAAAGCACUAGGAGUGUAGCAAAAUGUUCAUUUUCUUUAUUCAUUUCCAACAAUUAAAAUUAAGGAAAAUAGACACACAUACGUCAAGGCAGAAAAACAGAGUUGAUCUAUAUAUUCUAUACAUAUCUUGUACAAGAUAUAGAUGUAUGUAAUUAUCCUCAAUUACAAACUAAUUAAGUCAUUCUAUUUCAUGCACAAAAGGGUAAAGAUAACUUCAUGACAUGGCCCUGAACCUCUCAAGUCAUCAAUUUCAUAGACCAAUCACUACUGUAGUUAUCAGAUAUAUAUCAACACAAAAUUUAUUCUAAAAAGUAUUUUAAGCAGUUAAGAUUUUUGUUAUUUUAGUAAUGUUAAAUCAAAAUAGAAUGGUUGAAAUAGAGAAGUAGUACUAAGGUGUUAAGUGAAAGAAGGAUACCUAUCAAAUUGAAAGGUAACUUGUAAAUUAAUUGUAAGACUAGCAAUGUUAUAUAAAAGAGUAAAUGCUAGUUUCUAAAGUCCGAUAUAUCUGCAAGAUGAAUGUUGUAGAGAUGCGGAUACUAAAAUGGAUGUCUACUAAUACUAGACUAGACAAAUUAAAAAUAACUACAUCAAAAGUUACAUAUGGAGUAUAAAUGAGAAAAAGACCAAUCUAAACGGUUUAGUCAUGUUUUUUGUCAAUCACUAUAUGGAUCAUUUGUAGGUGUGAAAUCAUGGUGAGUAAAAGUAUUAAAAGAGAACGAGGUACACCUAAAUCGCAUGGAAGAAAACGUCUUGAAAUUCAUGCAAACCUAGCGAUGAAUAGAGAGAGGUGAAGUCAAUUAGUUGGGAAUAUAUUUUAGCAUGUUAAUACGUUUACUUUUAAGUCUUUAUCUUUUCUAGGUGUCUGAAAUUUCUAUGCUCAUAGAACAACACGAUCAACGAGAAAUCAUAUAGCCGACCCCAGAUUACAUUAGAUUGAGGCUUUUAGUUGUUGUGGUUGAAGACUUUUGAUACUUAUUCCAUUUUUCAAUUGAUUGAACAAGAGGGUAAUUUAGGCAUAUUAGUUUCUGAUGGUUUUGAAGGAAUGCUAGUAAGUUGGUACCAUGGGACCAGGAUCAAAACGUCAGCAGAAGACCUACAGAAACUGACAGGAGAAUCUCCAUACUAUUGUAACAACUUUUCUUUGUAUAAACAAUUGUAUGUGAGCAUAACAAUAAUAUUUGUUUAAUAAAAUCCAAUAUUUAUGUACAAAUUGUUGAUAUGACUAGUGUCUGUUACUUAAAAAACAGAGAACUUGGACCUUUUGGAAAGGCUAUCUAUACACACACAGCCUGUUAAAGACAGAAAUGUUCCAUACCUCCCCCUUCCUUUUCUUUCAUAUAUAUUUCUGCUUUUCUUCCAAACAGUUUCUAUUUAAUUUCUAAUGCUACUUGGACCUGCCAGUGGCAUGGAGUCUUUUUCAAGAUUAGAGUAACAGCAAAUAGGUAAAAUGGAUUAGCGGAGAGUCUAUCGAAAAUAAUUUAUCUGUCUUCACAAGAUAGGGUAUGAUUACGUACACACGAGAUUCCACUUAUAAAAUUACACAGAGUAAUGCGUAUGUUGUAGUUAUAAUAAAGAAACACCACUAGAAAGAGGGUCAUUAAAUAACAUAGCCCAACUCUCAAAGGGUAACCAAACUAUCAAAGGACUAGAAUGACUAACUUGGAAACUAUGCUUCAAAUUCAACUAGAAACGGUGGUAGGUGAAUUCUCCCAUUUGCCCAAAUUUUGUGUAAAGAAUUACCAUAAAGUUGUGUCUACGAGUGACAAAAGAGCGGGUCGGAUAGAAAAUGGGCGGAUAAAAAAUGGGUUGAACAAAAACAGAUAAAAUAUUCAAUCAGACUCUAUUUAUCACAGAUAGAAAAUGAGUUAAUCAAUGGAUAAUAUAAAUUUGAUCCAUUUUUUAAGAAUUGAAUAUCCAACUCGUAUCUGACGGAUCGGAUUGGAUGGGGUUACUCGUUCUUUUUAACCACUUUACCAGCCCUAGUUGUACUGGUGAAUUGACUCAGACACCAACGUUAUCAAAAAAAAAUAAUUUAGAUCCUCUAAUGUGUAUUCACUACCAAAGGCCUACAAUUUAGAAUAUUACUGAAUAAAAUAAUUUCAAUUAAUUGCACUUAAGGGUGUAGCUUAGUGGUCAAUGAAUUUUGAGAAUUAUGAAGUUUCAGAUUUAAAUUCCAGUAGAGAUAAAAAUCCUAGGUGAUUUCUUUUCAUCUGUAACUUUGGUGGGUAGAGUUACCUGAUACAUGAUGUUGGUGGGAGAUGGUAGAUAUCCCGUGAAAUUAGUCGAAAUGCACGUAAGUUAACUCAAUCACUGCAAUUAUAAAAAAAAGUAAUUUUUGUCAAACUAUAAGCUUCAAAUUGAUCAAAACUUGUCUAAUUAAUAAUAAGUUCAAUUAAUCUCCAGGUUUUGGUUCACCGGUAAGAGCGUAUUGAUAAAAAUGUUGUCUAAUUAAUAAUUAAUAAUAAAUUCAAUUAAUCGUCAAACUUUGGUUCAGUGAUAAGAGUGCACUUAGUAUGUAGAUUAGACGCUCAUCACGAGUUUGAAUCCUAUUACAAACAAAAACUUGAUAUUUAGGCGUGAAAAAGUAGAAGGAUGAAUUCAUUAUCCACUGAGUUUCAAACCGUGCCUAUCCUGCAAGGAUUUAUAGCAAAAUAAAAAUUAAUCAACUAUUUGGGGUUACACCCCCGACACCUUCUGUUAUCUUCACGAGUAUGACACUGUAGUGUACGUAGGAAGCAAAUGCAGUAAUCUGUCGAAACUUACAAGUUCAUUCCAAAAACUAUGAAAUUAAUAAAUAAUACCAAAAUACUAUCAUACAAUUAUACAAAUAUUGGGACAAAGCCAUGAGAUUUCACCAAAGUUUGAAUUUUAGUCAGCAUUUGGACAAGUGAUUUUAUAUCGUGAUUUAAAAUUACGAGAUGAAAUCAGGAUAUGUGAUUUCAUCGAGAUGACAUAUCAAAUUCUCUAAAAAGCUUAAUUUAAAAUUUUCAUAUCAUGAUUUCAUAUUUUACAAAUACAAAAAUUAACCCACAAAUUUAUAUAUUGCAUUAAAAAUCCAUUAUUCUAUAUUUGUAUAAUUUUUUUGUGAGAAUACAAAAAUAGUGAUGAAAUAUUCACGGAAUAUGAACAUGAUGAUGUAGUUACAAAUAAUAUUGACCAUACUCAAAUUCGAUCAAUAAAUGUUGUAUGUGAUAGUGUGUUAUACUUUUGUUAUGAAUUUUUACUUAUUUAGUAAAUUGUAUAAAGAAUUGAUGCAGUUGUGAUAGUUUCACAACUAAGGGAGUUCUUAUGUUUAUGAGCAAAAAUACAACUCAAAAAUUAAAAAAUUGCAUGUCCAACAAAACAUUAACUACACCGAAUAUGAUUUCAAAUUAUAAUUUCUAUCUCACGUAACCAAAACGUACCCUUAAUUUAGCAUUCCUAAUUGCAAUAUAUCCUUGGGCCUUUUCACUCCAAAACAAGCAAUUUUUAUUGAACCAGCUAAAAAAGUUCAAAGUUAUUUCCAUUUUUGUUAUUAUUUGUGUGAUGUUUUCUUUUCUAUGAUCCAAACCAGUAAAGGAUAACUGUGAAAGCUGUGUUAUUUGCUCAAUUCACAUGGAAAUGUCCAAUCAUCACCAGUGGAAAAAAAAAGGCUCUUAAUGGUAUCCAACCUUUCACAUAACUGUGCAAGUUAAAGGUGUCAGGCAAUCAAUAUUAGCAAAUGGCAAUAAUUAUUCAAACAAAUACCAAUUAUAGGAAAAGGUUAAGGGUCUAUUUGGAAAACCACAUAGUAAUUGAAAUUGGUGUAAUUACUAGGAUAGUAAUUAUCAGCCUAGUAAUUAUACAAUCUAGUAAUUACAUUGAUCUGUUUGUUUGCCUCAGUGUAAUUAUACAUGUCAUGUUUGGAUGUUAUAGCGUAAUUACACAUGUUCUGUUUGGAUGCACAAUUGCAAUCAUAAAAUUAUAUUAAAUUUUAAAGAUAAAAAUUAAUUAUUUAAAUUUAUACUAGAGAAAUAAAAAACUUUAUAAAUACUAUUAAAUUAAAUAUUUAAGAUAUAUAUUAAUUUUUGAAAAUAUAUUAAUUAAAAGCAUACGUUCUUAACUAAUAUUAUGAAAAAUAACUCAUUUAUAAUUUUUCAAAUUAAUGUAUUUCAAUUGAAUUGAUCAUAAAAACUAAAAGUACGAAAUUUCUACGAACAUUGUGAAAUGCAUGUUUGAUAAAAAGAUUAAUAUAUAAAUAAAAUGUCAUAAAUUAUUAAAAUGUUUGACAAAAAGAUCAAGUCUAAUUAAAAAAUGACUUGCAAUGUGAAUUCAAUAUUACUAAAAUAAAUGAAACUGAAAAUAUAACAUAAGUUAUAAAUUCAAAACAAAAAAUUUAACAUAAUACUCUUAUCGCAAAUUUCAACAUAGCAUACAUUAAUAUUAUUUAAUUUUAUUUAUUUUUUAGGGAAAAGAGUCUGAUAUACCCCUCAACUUUAUCAAUUAGAGCUGAUAUAUUCAUCAUUAUGAAAGUGGCUCAUAUAUGCCCCUAUUGCUAUACAAAUGACUCACAUAUACCAUUUUCCUCGAACGGAAAUGAAAAAAUUAAUUUUAAUUUAAUAUCUUAAUUAUUAUUAUUUUAAAAAAAAUAUAAUCCCAUAUGGGUAUAUUUAAUCCUCCUCACACAUAAUUUUUUUUUACUUUUUUUAUUUCAACGACUAAUUUAAAGUUAUUGUUUUGAUGGUCAAAUUUAUUUAUGUCUCACUAAUUUUCUUGUAAACUUUAUUAUAGAUGACCCAAUUUUUUUUCAAUACAAAAACUAAAUAAUAAUAUAGUCGAAAAAAAAUUAGUUUUAAAAUUUUCUCUUUACACUAACGAACGAAAGGAAAAAAUAAAAUAAGAAUAAGAAACUCAAAAAGUGAUAAUCAAAGAUGUCAAAAAAUAAUUUAUGUAUGAAAAAAUUUAAAACAUACCUUGAAAUUCGCUAGAAGGAUCAUAUAUACCCCUACUUGAUUAUUUUAAAAUUUAAAAGUCAAAAAAAUAAAUUUAAUACUAUUUUUUUCACUUCCGUUAAAUUAAGGGUAUAUGUGAGCUAAUUUUGUAACGGUGGGGGUAUAUGUGAACCGUUUGUAUAACGGUAAAGGUAUAUAUGAGUCAUUUUCAUAACGAGGGAAAUAUCAGCUCCAAAUGACAAAGUUGAGGGGUAUAUCAGACCCUUUUUCCCUAUUUUUUAAAAAGAAAAUGUAAGUCUAUAACCUUACUUAACAAUAAAUUCUCUUUUAAUUUAAAAACUAGACUACUAAUAAAAUUAUGCUAAUGAGGAAAUAAGCAUGACAUAAAGAAAUAGAUAAUACAAAAAAAAUUGCAUAGAAUCACGAGAAAAAAAAAAAAAAAAGAACUUAAAAAAUUAAAAUAAGAAAAUAAAAAGAAAAAAUUUAAAAGUAAUUAGCUGGUAAUUACACUAGUAAUUCACAAUCUCUUCCUGUGAAUUGGAUAGUGUAAUUACCUGUAAGGACUUGUUCCCGUCAUUAUAGAAAAGUCAACGGGCGAAAAAUUUGGGGCCGAAAAACUUUUUUAGUAGUAUUUGAAUUUUUCCAACCUUGUUCGGAUUUGGACGAAAUCAGAUUCAUUGAGGUGAAGGGAAUUCUGGUAACAAUCGGGUGAAUCAUUUAUGAUUUUGAUUACAUGAGCAAUUAGAUAACUCGUUAAGGAAUCCGUACAACUUUACGAAAUUGAUUUCGAACGAGUAGAACUCCCAAAAUCGAUCUUAGCGUAAAUGGUAUUUACUGAGCGUCGUGGGUUAGAGGUGUGUUGCGAAAUGGGAAUUUUGGAAUUCUUGAAAUAACUCUGUCUCGAAAAUGCCGCUUUGACUCUAGGAUUUGCUGCUGUGGCGGGGUGGUGGCCACCGUGGCGGGCCCGACGCGAAUUAAAAUCGUUAAUAAAUCCCUGAACGACCUCAUUAUGUACUUUUCAACUUUUUGAGCUAAGGAACGACUCUCAGGUGACUCCUACUCGUUUUUCACCAUUCUUGAGGCUAAAUGUAAGUUUUUCACUCCCCGAAUUCAUUUUUCAAUCCGUAGAGCGUAAUAGAAUGAGUGAAUAUUGAUGGGGGAGGGUUUUGUUGUAGAUUCUAUGGUGGAAACAACCCUAAAUUGGAUAAUUGGAAUCAUGGGAUUAACCUAGGAUUCAAAGAAUUGUUAGUAAUUCGGGUAAUUAAUGAUUGUUUAUUGAUUCCCGUAUCAUAUUGAUUGUUUGUAGACCAAGAACAAGCGGAACGAAUUCGAAAAAGAAAUGAUCAAGUUUGUUAGGGUCUCAAGCUUGUUUCGUGGUAAGUGAUGAUUGUUAUUCUAUGAUUGUGUGAUGUAUGUUUGUUCUUGCGUCAUUAUGAUACUUGUAUAUGUAUGAAUGUUGCAAUGUUGAUCACACUUGUUGUAAAUGAGAUAGAUAAUUGAUGAAUGCCGUGAAAUCAUGACUUAAAUGUAUGAUUUUGAUGAUAUACUUGUGAUUGUGAUUGUGGUGUGUGAAUGAGAUCGGUUGCCACGUUCCGGCAUAACUAAAUUGGAUCGGAUGCCACGUUUCGGCACAAAAAUGGGAUCGAUUGCCACAUUCCAGCAUAAAUAUAGGAUCGGUUACCACGUUUCAGCAUGCUAACUAUUUGGGUUUGGGUUCCAUGAAAGGACCAAUGAUUUGACAUAAAAUGUGAAGUUGUUCGUUGUUCGUAAAUGUUGAUGAUAUUGUAUAUGUUGAUAUGUAUGCAUGUGAUUAUAAUGUUAUUUGACUUGUUUCUGUUGCACUAGUGGGAUAGCCGCAUGAUCCUACCAGUACACUGUGGUUGUGUAUUGUUCUGCACUUGUUCUUAUUUUUUUGUUGAGUACAGGGCAUCUUCAAGCGGUUAUUGACAGACCUCACUUAGGUGAUCAGUGAUCGUUCGAAUUCAAGGUUGAGCCAAUUCUUCCGGGCUGCCAUGGGUUCUCUUUCGUCUAGGUCCACCAUUUCCGGACUUAGACAUUUGUUUUAGUUAGUUCAUUAGUAUGGGGUUAUAUCCCUUCUUGUUUAGACUUGGAUCGUUGUUAGAUGUUUUGGUACAUUGACUUUCAGGUUCUAGGUUAUUCUUCCGCAUUGUUAGUUAUUAUUGUUAGACUUUUGUUAGAGUUUAUAGCAACUCUAUUUUUAUUUCCUUGGUGUUUGAUUUAAAUGCCUUAGUUUUUAAAUUAUUUGCUUGGUUUGGUUGUAGUAGUGGUUCUCCCACAUGAGAGUUAGUGUGGGUGUCAAUCACGACGGUCUGGGUCAUGACAAAGUUGGUAUCAUAGCCUAGGUUCGUUGAUCUCGAUGUACCAAAAUGAGUCUAGUAGAGUCUCGCGGAACGGUGCGGGGACGCCUUUACUUUUCUUCGAGAGGCUAUAGGACUUUAGAAAAUCUCUAUUUUUCUCUUGUCUCCUUUCGUGCUAUGACUUUAUUCCAAAUGGUCUCUAACCUCCUUCACUUUUCUGUUCGUAGAUGGUUAAUACUAGAUUUAACGACAUUAAGCCUGUAGCUCCCGUCAAUGCUCCAAUUGAGAAAUCUGCAACGAGAGGUUGCAGUCGAGGUAGGGGUUGAGGAAGAGCUAGGGGUAGAGGUCGUGGAAGAGUAGAACCUGCUGGAAAUGGAGCUCAUGUUGAGAAUGCUCCUAUGAAUGAAAACCCUCAUGCGUAUCAUGAAGAGAUAGAAGAGAAUGUUGAGGAUUUGGGACAAUAGAGAGAGGUCCAGGCUAAGACUACAUGUGUUCCUCCUUUGGAUCCAGUGUUAGCUCAACAAAUCAUGUCGUUCUUAAAAUGAUUGGUUGGUCCUAGAGUGUUUCCUUCUGCUUAAGCAACUCAAACUCCUACUAAUCCUUCUGUUGCUAGCACUACGCCCAAGGUAGGUGGGACUGGAGGUAAUGAUUCGUAAUGACCCUCCAGGUCAUUUUUAAAUUAAAGCAUUCAUUCCAUCGUUUAGAGCGUUCCUGUAGCAACCCCAAGUCAUUUAUGACUUGCUGGCACUGACUGUUCGGUCGCCUGGUCGUUCGUUUGGGUUUAAGGCCCGUUUCCCUGUUUUGGAGAUUUUAUAACUUGAAAAGUUGACUUCGGUCAUAAAUUCAGGUAAAAGACCUCAGAAUAAAAUUCAUCAGCUCCGGAAUGGCCAAAUUUGGUUAGUAGCAUGGUCAACAGAUUCCAUAUAUGGUUUGUGUUUUUCCGACUCCGAAACAUCAAAAUUUAAGUUUGAAGAGUUGUUGAAUUCUAACGCGAUGGUGACGUGGCAGAGCCACACGACGCCACGUGGCAGCGUGUUUAAAUCUGGAAAUUUCCAGAUUUAAGGACAAUUUUCGUCCAUUUUUUUCCUCAUCUUCAAACAUAGAUAUAUCCUACAUUUUAAGCUCAAAUUAGGUGAUUCAAAUCUCUCUUAUCGUAUUACAAAUACGAGCUUCAAUGUUUAAAUUUCUUAGAGUCUAUUGAAAAUCGCAUCUUUACCUCCACAAGAUAGAGACACGUAACAGUACUUUAGGUUUAAUCCAUCUCUCGCCUUCUCUCGCGUAUGGCAGUAUGUACCUUUUAGAGACAGAAGAGCAAACUCAAGUUGCACGGUAAGGUAAGUAUUCAUUUUCACUAUUAGCCUUUUGAAUCACCUAAUUUGAGCUUAAAAUGGAGGAGAUAUCUAUGUUUGAAGAUGAGGAAAAAAAAAUGGAUGAAAAUUGUCCUUAAAUCUGGAAAUUUCCAGAUUUCAACACGCUGUCACGUGGCGUCGCGUGGCUCUGCCACGUCACCACCACGUUAGAAUUCAACAACUCUUCAAACUUAAAUUUCAAUGUUUCGGACUUGUUCGGAGUCGGAAAAAACAAAUCAUAUAUGGAAUCUGAUUGGAAAUGAUAUUUCGGACUCAACGAUGAAGUCAAAAUUUCCAUUGGAGAUCGCUUCGAUGAAAAGUGGGUCCCACACCCAGUAUCAUUUGAGCCAGAUUCCACAACGGGCAUCUAAAGCCUCGGGAAGUGAACAAAGGGUCGUUCUAGACCAAAAUCGAUAUUCCGAAGCUAACCUAGCUGUCAGAAUUUUCAUUUGAGCACGUCUUCCAAGAAGGUUGGCUAAAGUCAACUACAUGCCAAGUUGUAAGGGAAAAAACGUCAAAUGGGCCUAAACUCGUACUAAUUGCCUCGAUACUCGUGCUGACCAUGCUACUAGCCAAAUUUCGCCAUUCCGGAGCUGAUGGAAUCGUCAGAACUUUAUUUUGAGGUCUUUUACCUGAAUUUAUGACUGAUGUCAACUUUUCAAGUUUUAAAAUUUCCCAAACAGGGAAACGGGCCUAAAACCCAAACGAACGACCAGGCGACCGAACAGUCAGUGCCAGCAAGUCAUAAAUGACUUGGGGUCGCUACUGGAACGUUCUAAACGAUGGAAUGAAUGUUUUAAUUUAAAAAUGACCUGGAGGGUCAUUACAUGAUUCUUUCUUCCGUCCUUUGUUGGGUUCUAUUAUGACUGGUAAUGAGCAUGAAAUGUUGACUAAGUUUCUGAAUCUAAAGCCUCAUAUGUUUGUUGUGUUUCUUGGUUCUGAGAAUGAGAAUACUUAUGAGUUCAUUCUGGAUUGCAAUGAGAGGCUUCAUAAAAUGAGUAUUGUUUAUCAGCAUGGGGUUGAGUUUGUGUCUUUCCAACUUCAAGGUGAGGCUAAGCAGUGGUGGAGAGCUUAUAUGGAAUGCAAAUCUUCUACUUUACCUCUACUUGGACCUAGUUUCAUGCUCUGUUCUUAGAGAAAUAUGUGCCUAGGACUUUGAGGGAUCGCAAGAAGGAUGAGUUCAUGGCUUUUGGAGCAAGAUGGUAUGACUGUGGCUGCUUAUCAUGCGUUGUCUAGAUAUGCUACUCAAUUGGUGACUACUGAGGAAGAGAGGAUCCGAUUAUUUAUUGGAGAAUUAAACUCUGAGUUGCAAGUAUUAUCUGUUCAUAUGACUUCUGCAGGGUGGAGCUUCAAUGAGGUAAUAGAUUAUGUUAAAAAAGUGGAUGGGGUAAGGCGAGGUGGUCAAGCUAAGGCAUGGGCAAAAAGGGCCAAGAACUCGGGUAACUUUCAAGAUUCUUAUUCUAAGGGGUCUGAAAGGCCAACGCUUGUAGCCAAACCAAUUCAGUCCGUUAUGCCCGCCUUUGCAGGUAGUUACUCGAAAACUUCAUCUCAUAAUUUUCAGGAUAGCCAGGGAAUCGCGCCUUCGACGGGGGGCAGACUAUCUUUUGAUCGUACUUGUUACAACUAUGGAGAACCUGAGCAUAUGAGAAGAGGUUGUCUCCACCCACGUGUGCUAGAUUUCGCGCAGCAGCAGUCUAGAGUAGUUGUAUCCGCGAGGAAUGGUAAUAAUGGUAGGGGACGUCCACAAGGUGGGCGAAGAGGUAAUCAGCGAGGCCGUGGAGGUAGAAGAAAUGGUAAUGCGGGCAGAGGUAAUGUGCAACCAGGCAUAGAAGUGGUUCGUCAAGAUGAUAGGGCUCAGUGUUAUGCCUUUCAGAGCAAGAAUGAGGUAAAGGCGUCUGAUGCAGUGAUCACAUGUACUAUUCUUGUCUGUGACCAAAUGGCUAAUGUGUUAUUUGAUCCAGGUUCUACUUAUUCUUAUGCAUCUGUGCGAUCUGCCUCAGAGUUUGAUAUGAUUUGUGAUAUACUUGAUGCCCCUAUCCAUGUUUCUACCUUAGUUGGAGAGUCAGUCAUAGUUACCCAUGUCUAUCGUGAUUGUCCUAUUUUGUUUAUGGGUUUUCAAACUUGGGAUGAUUUGAUGAUUCUGGAUAUGACUGACUUUGACAUAAUCUUAGGUAUGACUUGGUUGUCCCCCUAUUAUGCCCUACUUAAUUGUAAUACUAAGUUUGUAACUCUAAAAAUUUCGGAAAGGGAAAAAUUAGAGUGGGAAAGGGUGUUCAAGUGUAAGCGAACUAAGAUCAUAUCCUCCAUUCGGGCUAAGAAAUUGAUAGGGCAAGGUUGUUUGACUUAUUUGGCUCAUAUUAAGGAUGUUGAGAUUGAGGUUCCAUUCAUUGGGUCAAUUCCUGUGGUAUAAAAUUUAGAGAAGUGUUUCCUAAUGACUUGCCUGGUAUGCCUCCGGAUAGAGAUAUAAAUUUCUGCAUUGAUUUAGAACCUGGUACUUGUCCCAUUUCUAUCCCUCCAUAUCGCAUGGCUCCAGCAGAAUUAAGAGAGCUUAAGGCUCAAAUCCAUGAGCUUCUUGAUAAGGGAUUUAUUCGUCCUAGUGCUUCCCCAUAGGGUGCUCCAGUUUUGUUUGUUAAGAAAAAUAAUGAUAGUAUGAGAAUGUGUAUAGAUUAUCGGCAAUUAAAUAGGGUCACUAUUCGAAAUAAGUAUCCGUUGUCUCGAAUAGCUGAUCUUUUUGACCAAUUGCAAGGUGCAUCAGUUUUCUCUAAGAUUGAUCUAAGGUCUGGCUACCAUCAAUUGAAAAUUAGGCCUGAGAAUGUGCCCAAGACGGUGUUUAGAACUUGCUAUAGGCACUAUGAGUUUUUGGUUAUGUCUUUUGGUUUGACCAAUGCGCAUGCAACUUUUAUGAGUUUAAUGAAUGGGUGUUCAUGCCAUUUAUUUUAGUCUCUUCGAAAAGUGAGGAAGAGCAUGUCAACCAUCUUCGUAGUGUUUUGGGUGUUCUUGGGAAGCAAAAACUAUACACUAAAUUUUCUACGUGUGAAUUUUGGUUGAAAUCGAUUGCAUUUUUAGGGCAUAUAGUUUCAAAAGAAGGGGCAAUGGUAGAUUUCCAAAAAAUUGAGGCGGUUAAGAAUUGGGUUAGGCCUAGCUCUGUGACGGAAGUUAGGAGUUUUGUUGGGCUCGCAAGCUAUUAUCGUCGAUUUGUGAAGAACUUUGUUUCUAUUGCCACGCACUUGACUAAUUUGACCAAAAAGGAAAUAUCAUUUGAAUGGACUAAAAAUUUUGAGGAGAGCUUUCAAAAGCUCAAGACUCUUUUGACCACCGCACCUAUUCUAGCAUUACCGGUUGCAGGUAAAUUUUUUAUUGUUUAUUGUGAUGCUUUACAUUCUGAUUUGGGUGUUGUGUUGAUGUAGGAUAAGAAUGUUAUAGCUUAUGCCUCCCGUCAAUUGAAGAUGUAUGAGGAAUUAUCCAACGCAUGAUUUAGAGUUAGUAGCGGUAGUAUUUGAUCUUAAGAUCUGGCGGCAUUACCUCUAUGGUGUUAAGUGUGAAGUGUUUACUGAUCAUCAUAAUUUGCAAGAUGUGUUCACUCAAACGGAUCUGAAUUUGAGACAGCGAAGGUGGAUGGAGUUACUUAAAGAUUAUGACGUGACCAUUCAAUACCAUCCAGGCAAGGUUAAUGUGGUAGCAGCCGCUUUGAGUCGAAAAGCGGUGAGUAUGUGUAGUUUAGCUUGCUUGAAUGUAUUCAAGCGACCUUUGGCUAAAGAAAUUUAAACAUUAGAGUCUAAGUUCAUGCAGUUGGGCAUCUCAAAAAGAGGUGGGGUGCUAGCUAGUAUUGAUGUAAGGGCCACUUUUAUUAAAACGAUCAAGGCCAAACAAUUUGAAGAUGAGAAUUUAGAAGAACUUAGAAAGAAGACUGCGAUUGGUAAGGCACAAGAGAUCACUCUUGAUUCGGAUGGUGUGCACAAUUUUAACGGGAGAAUUUGUCUUCCUAUAGUAGAUGACUUGAUUGAGAAAUUAUUGGUGGAGUCUCAUGGUUCGCGAUAUUCUAUUCAUCCGAGUGUAACCAAGAUGUAUAGAUAUUUGAAACGAAUUUAUUGAUGGCCGGGCAUGAAGAAAGACAUAGCGGAGUUUGCGGCAGAGUGUCAAAAUUGUCAAGAAAUGAAGUAUGAACAUCAAAGGCUUGCAAAUUUACUUCAAAGAAUGUCAAUUCCAAAAUGGAAGUGGGAAAGAAUAGCCAUGAAUUUUGUUGUUGGUCUUCCCAAGACUGUGGGGAAGUUUGAUUCUUUUUGGGUAGUGGUCGAUAGAUUGACCAAGUCAGCCCAUUUUAUUUCGGUAAAAAUAAAUUAUAAUGCUGAACAAUUGGCUAAAGUUUAUGUGAAAGAGAUAGUGAGGUUGCAUGGGGUGCCCCUCUCUAUCAUUUCAGACCGUUGUACCCAAUUCACAUCUAAGUUUUGAAGGAAAUUGCAUGAUGAAUUGGGCACACAACUCACUUUUAGUACAACCUUCCAUCCACAGACAAACGGACAAUCAGAGAGGAAUGUUGUUAGACAUGUUGAAGGCAUGUGUGAUUGAUUUUGGAGGGCAUUGAGAUAAGGUCUUACCUUUGUGUGAAUUCUCUUAUAAUAAUAAUUAUCACUCCAGCAUUGAUAUGACAUCAUUCGAGGCAUUUUAUGGAAGAGGAUGUAGAUCACCUAUAAGAUGGUUUGAGGCUGGAGAUGUGAAACCAUUAAGGGUUGAUUUACUGAAGGAUGCUCAAGAUGAGGUUAUGAGUAAUCAAGCUAAGCUUCUAGCAACCCAGAGUAGACAAAAGAAGUAUGCGGAUCAUAAGGUAAGAGACAUGACAUUUCAAUCCGAUGAAAAUGUUAUUCUUAAGGUAUCACCCAUGAAAGAGAUGAUGAGAUCUGAUAAAAAGGGUAAGCUAAGUCCUAGAAACAUCGGUCCAUUUGAAAUUCUUAAAUUAGUAGGGCUGAUAGCGUAUAGAUUAGCUUAACCUCCUAAUUUAUCGAGUGUUCAUCCGAUAUUUCAUGUAUCCCCAGUUGUUCGUCAAUUCAGGUACUACUUUAUCCCUUCCUUAGCCUAUUUUCCUAAGUUUGUCACUCGGGGACGAGUGAUGGGUAAAUUGGUAACUAUUAUAACAACAUGUUCCCGUUGAUCUUAGCAUAAAUGGUAUUUACUGAGCAUCGUGAGUUAGAUGUGUGUUAUGAAAUUAGAAUUUUGGAAUUCUUAAAUAACUGUCUCGAGAAUGCUGUUGUGGCGGGUCCGACGCAAAUUAAAGUCGUUAAUAAACCCUAAACGACCUCAUUAUGCACUUUUUGACUUUUGAGCUAAGGAACGACUCUUAGGCGACUAAUACUCAUUUUUCACCAUUCUUGAGGCUAACGACAAUUUUUUCACUCCCCGAAUCCAUUUUUCGAUCCGUAGAACGUAAUAAAAUGAGUGAAUAUUGAUUGGAGGGGGGGGGGGGGGUUGUUGUAGAUUCUAUGGGGGAAACAACCCUAAAUUGGAUAAUUGAAAUCAUAGGUUUGACUUAGGGUUCAUAGAAUUGUUAGUAAUUCGAGUAAUUAAUGAUUGUUAAUUGAUUCUCGUAUCAUAUUGAUUGUUUGUAAAUCAAGAACAAGCGAAACGAAUUCGAAAAGAAAAUGAUCAAGUUUUUAGGAUUUCAAGCUUGAAAGGGAAGGAUCAAGUUUCUUAGGGUUUCAAGCUUGUUUCGAGGUAGGUGAUGGUUGUGAUUCUAUGAUUGUGUGAUGUAUGUUUGUUCUUGCGUCAUUAUGAUACUUGUAUAUGUAUGAAUGUUGCAAUGUUGAUCACACUUGUUGUAAAUGAGAUAGAGAAUUGGUGAAUGCCAUGAAAUCAUGACUUAAAUGUAUGAUCUUGAUGAUAUACUUGUGAUUGUGAUUGUGGUGUGUGAAUGAGAUCGGUUGCUACGUUUCGGCAUAACUAACUUGGAUCGAUUGUCACGUUCCGACAUAAAAAUGGGAUCGAUUGCCACGUUCCGGCAUAAAUAUGGGAUCGGUUGCCAAGUUUCGACAUGCUAACCUUUUGGAUUUGGGUUCCAUGAGAGGACCAAUGAUUUGACAUAAAAUGAGAAGUUCAUUGUGUGUAAAUGUUGAUGAUAUUGUAUAUGUUGAUAUGUAUGCAUGUGAGUAUAAUGUUGUUUGACGUGUUUAUGUUGCACUAGUAGGAUAGCCGUGUAAUCCUAUCAGUACACUGUGAUUGUGUACUGAUUCUGCACUUGCUCUUAUUUUUUUUGUUGAGUACAAGACAUUUUCAAGCGGCUAUUGACAUACCUCGCUUAAGAGAUCAAUGAUCGUUUGAAUUCAAGGGUGAGCCAAUUCUUCUGGGCUGUCAUGAGUUCUCUUUCGUCUAUGUCCACCAUUUCCGGACUUAGACAUUUGUUUUAGUUAGUUCAUUAGUGUGGGGUUGUAUCCCUUCUUGUUUAGAUUUGGAUCGUUGUUAGAUGUUUUGGUACAUUGACUUUCAGGUUCUAGGUUAUUCUUUUGCAUUGUUAGUUAUUAUUGUGAGAUUUUUGUUAGAGUUUAUGGAAACUUUAUUUUUAUUUCCUUGGUGUUUGAUUUAAAUGUCUUAGUUUUUAGAUUAUUUGCUUGGUUGGGUUGUAGUAGUGGUUCUCCCACUGGAGAGUUAGUGUGGGUGUCAAUCACGACGGUCUGGGUCGUGAUAUUACCCCCGUCAAUUACACUAAUUACUUGCUGACCAAGUAAUUACAUGUUCAACCAAACAGGACAGACAACAUAAUUACACCCAAUUACACCAAAUCCAAUUACCAGAGUGGCUUUCCAAACAGGCCUUAAGUUUUCUCCCAAAUAUCGUACGCGUUUGGACAUGAUUUGGUUGAAAUUUUAAAAAAAAAAAGAACUUAAAAGUUGAAUUUGUGUUUGAAUAUGAAAACAAAGUUGAAAUUUUAUCAUUAAAAACUUGAAAAACUUACCAAAUCUAUAUUUCAAACUUCAAAUUCUAUAUUUCAAGUUUGAAAUUGAAAUGAUAUGGAAAAUAAUAAACCAACAAUUAUUUGAAAUGAUCUCCUAAUAUUAUUUUGAGUUUUGGAAUCAAAAUCUAUGAUCAAACGAUGUUUGGUAUGCAAGAAUUUUCUUUGAGAAAGCCAUAUUAUUGUGCAUCUUUAAAAAUAUUUAUUCGAUUUUGCUAUAGUGAUGGAGGAAUUGACAUGACAAUUUUAAGGGAAAGUGUUGUGUUGUAUGUUAUUCAUAGUAACACAAUUUUGAUUGGCAAGACGUGCGGCGGAUUAACAAUAGGAUGAACAUUUGGAGAUGGACCCUAGAGUCAAAUCUUGGAUCAAACAUGAGUGGUGGUUAGAUCAACAUUAUUGUAUGUGGCAGAAUAUUGACCAAUCAAAAUUGCGCACAUUUAAUAGAUGAAGGUAGUGGAGAUGAGAAUCCUCAGAUAGGUGUAUCAGCAUACUAGGAGAGAUAUGAUUAAGAACAAAAUUAUGUGGGCCAAGAUAAGAGUGACUUCUAUGUCGACAGGAUAAAAGAAGUGAGACUGAAAUAAUUUGUUAAGUGAAAUUAAUCAGGUAUGCUAUUAUUGUUUUUGUCAGCUUAAAAUGCUUGGCACCACUCCAUUUCUUUAGUACAACUUCCGAAAUUUUCAAGCACUCAGAACUCUUUAAAUUAAAAAACUUCAACUUUAAUGAGCUACUUUUUCUAACUUUUAGCCAUUACGUUAGGUAUUUUAUUCCAUCUUCACUAGAUUAACAUGAACGUCAUUAACACUUUAAAACUCAAGAAAUAUCUUCAAAUAAAAUAAAAGAUAUUAAGUGUUAUCUUCUUAUAGGGGACCAGAUAGUGCAAUAAAAUUGGCCUAAAGUAAAUACACUGCCAUCUGCAGUGUACAAUUUUGACACACAUAGAGACAAUAAUUUUGACAUUAGACAUGUAGCCAAUAGUUUUGACUAUUUCACCUAGUAAGAUAUAUAAAUUUUGACACUAGAUAUGUUCUAUUUCAUCAAAUGCUAUUACAUUCGAUCAAAAUUUAGUAAAAAAUCAUCUAAUAUCAAUAUAAAUUGGAUGCUAAUUUUGUCGAACAAAGCUUAAUGAAAAAUCAUCUAGUAUUUUUUUUUUAUCUCUUGAAUCGUUUUCCCUAUCUUCUUUCUGUUCUCUUUUGUGCCAAAAAGGGACCUGAAGUUUUAUAUAUAAAAUGGUGGUUUAUGUUCACACUUCUACUAGGGAAAAAGUCAAAUACUUUUCUUUUUUGAUCCUCAACUAGGAUAAAAAAGUCAAUGUGAUAUAAUGCUAAACUUUUUUCACUUUCACUUAUAUUCAUACAUUUCUUAGCUUCAAGCUGUAAUAACAAGUUUUAAAGUUAAUUAAUUUUGAAGCAUAUGUUAAAUCUUUAAUUUCAUCACCAAACAAACUAUACAUGGGGAUUGAGGAGGCAUUAGAACAAUUAAAGUAUUAAACUCUUUUGCAACCAAAAAACAAAAAUUGCAUCUUGUAUUACUAUUUCAAUUCCAUUUUCUAGACAUAGUCUGAGGUUGUUCAAGGCUUAAUUAUUAAAACCUUACAACACAUUAGGAUGGCAAAUUGAAUGUGCAUUUAUUUUCAAAACACGAAUCCCAUACUUAACCCACAGAUUUCUACACAUUGUAUGUGGUCCGAAUAGAUGGAACUAAUUGAUAUUUUCAUAUUGUCCACUUUAAACUUUGCACGUCUUUUAUAAAAUAAUUUAUAGUUUUAGAUUUUACUAGGAAAUAAGCCAUUAAUGUUUUAUUUCUUAAUAUGUAAAAAGUGAAAAUCAACUUUUAAAAUAGUGGACAAAUAAAAGUGAUUGAAAGGAAUAGAAAUUUACGAAAGGGAAAAAAAUUAGCAGGAUGCAAAACAUAAAAGAAUAUCUAGAGAGGAAUCUUAGUAGCUCAAUUAGUUGGUUAUAUGAAUUUUUAUUUUAUUGGUGAGAGAUUAAUUUCCCAGUCCGCACAUUGUAAUCCCCGCCCAUUUCCGCUCCCCUACCCCAAUAUUUUAACUUAUAUCUUUUUUAUAAAAAAUAAACUGAUGAAUAUCUAGAAAUUAAUACUAUAGACUCCACACCGACCAGAAUAAGGUAGGUGAUGGAGAUGAAACUUACCAAAUUAAAUACUCAAAAAUGAAUUGCAUUUUACAAUCCAAUAAAAAAAUUGUAUUCAACUUUGGUAGAUCUUCUUCUACCAAACAAUAUUGGUUAGCACUUUCUCGUUUCAACUAUUCUAUUUUGAUUUUAUAUGUAACAUAUUAACCUUUUAUAUUAUAUCUCAAUUAAUUUUAGGGGAAAAUGAUAAAUAUAUCCCGAACUAUCAUAAAUGGUAUGCAAAUAUUCUUCGUCAUACUUUUGGGACAUUGAUAUCCCUAUCGUCCAAAAGCUAGAGCAUAUAUAUCAUUUAUACUAACGGACAUACACGUGUCAUAAUCUUAUCCACCGACCCGACAUUUAUUAAAUAUCGAAUCGACGAAUAAGAUUGCGCCAUGUGUCCCUAUUUAAUCUUUCGUUAGAAUGAAUGACAUAUAUGCUCUAGUUUUUGGACGGCAGGAGCACUAAUGUCCCAAAAAUAUGACGAAGGGUAUCUACAUAUCAUUUACGAUAGUUCGGAGUAUAUUUAUCCCUUUUCACUUAAUGUUAUAUUGUAUCUACUAUCUCCGGUCAAUGCAGCUGUCAACUAAUUCUUUUCACCGAUGAAAGAAAUCACAUAGUAAUAUUUAUAUUACCGCUUCAAAAUUUAAAAUAGGGAAAAGGCGCAAAUAUGCCAUUGAACUAUCAGAAAACGCUUAUUUAUGUCAUCCGUUAAAAGUUUAGCUCAUCUAUGCCAUUACCAUUUAAGAAAAGGCUCAUUCAUGCCAUUAUUUUUUAACGGUGGUUUUGCAAAACCAUUUUUUACACGUGGCCAAUUAUAAUUCGGCCACAUCAUUAUUAUUUUUAUAAUAAAAAAUCAAAAUUCUGAACUAAAAUUUUAACGGUGAUUUUGCAAAACCAUUUUUUACACGUUGCCAAUUAUAAUUCGGUCACGUCAUUAUUUUUUUAUUAUAAAAAAUAAUGACGUGGCCGAAUUAUAAUUGGCCACAUGUAAAUAAUGGUUUUGCAAAACCAUCGUUAAAAAAUAAUGGCAUGAAUGAGUUUUUUCUUAAACGGUAAUGGCAUAAAUGAGUCAAACUUUUAAUAGAUGGCAUAAAUGAGCCUUUUCUGAAAGUUCGAUGGCAUAUAAAUAUCUCCUAUUCUUAAACCACUUCAAUAACUACUAGACGACCCUGUAGUAAUCAUUGUUAGUGCUUAUCAUAUAUCCUCUCAAGAUUAAUGAAAUAUUAUGUAUGAAUUUUUCUUCUUAGCAAGAAUAAAGCUUCAAAAUAUACCAAACAUAUUCAAACUAGUUUUCAAUUAAUCUUAUAGUAUCUCUAAAUUUAUACGCUAUCACACUUUUCCUAAAAUUUCAUUACAUGCUUCACAAACUUAAUAUCACAAAUAGCAGUGUCAAAAAUGAGCCCAAUUAUAGAUAAUCGAUUUAAUUCAUCCAGAAUUUUAAGUGUUGGGCUCAAUAUAAUUUGAAUUAGGUUCAAUAUCAACACAUUCAAGCAUUAACUUAUUUUAAGAGAAUCCUCAAUUAAGCCUAAUUUAAUCUCCAAUUUCAACUCGUUUUAAGAUUCUUUAUUUGCAUUGACGUAUUGUAGGUUCCUAUAUUGAAGGUAUGAAAUAAUAUAUAUUUAUAUCUUUUAAUAUUAUCUAUCCAUUUGUAACUUUUUUAAAAACAAAUUGGUUGAAUUGAAAUUUACAUUAUGGAUAUAGAAGUUACAUAACAAUAUAUUAAAACUAAGUUACCCUUGUCUAAAAAAAAAACAAUAUAUUAAAACUAUUGAGAUUAAGAGAUUCAAAUUGAACGAUGACCCAAUCCAAUUUUUAGCUCAUUUAAGUCCAAAGUAAACUUGGACGGAUCAAAACUUAACUCAAUUUUUAUUGCAACUCAUUCUAAUAUCUCUAUUUUCAAUCCAACUCACUAUUUGACACCCCUAAUCAGGAAGGCGAUAGUGCACGCAAACUUUGAAAUUAUAAACACUAAAAUUCAAAACUAAAAAUAAAAAUUGGAACUUCUUAUGCCAAAAGAAUCAAUUAAAUUAACCCAAAAUCACAAAAAGAGAGAAGAGUCAUGUAAGUUGCAGGCAGAGACAAAUAAAAAUUCUAGAAACACAUAUGUAAGAAAUGCAAUAUAUUUAAUUGACAUAAACAACAACAAUAAUUAUAUUAAAAAAAAAGUAGAAUUAAAGGUAGGUAAGAAAGAGAAGAGACCUGAGUGGUGUUGGAUAACAUCAAAUAGAGAGAAAAAGAUGGAAUUUGCUUCCUUUUUCUCUCUCUCUCUCUCUCUAUUUGUGAGAUCUGAUCUGAUCUGAACAGGAAACCUGAUUCCACCAAUCAUCUUCUUCCUCAGAAAAUAGGGCCAAUUACAUUCUUCCACUAAAUACAUCAACAAAACUCUAUCCUUUUCUUCUUUCGAUUCCAUUCACACCUUUGCCGUUUUUCCCUCUCUUAUCUUCUUACCCGAUUAAUCAAAGCUUACCCCGCCGACUUAACCCGCCGCAGCAGAGCGGAGAACUUGGAAUUUUUUAGUAUUUUACUUUUUAGGUCAUUCAUUUUCCUUUGUUGUUUUUUUAUUUUAAAAGGGUGAAAAGUGUACCCGACCACGUUUUAACAACACACAAUAAUAUGUGGUGUAAAUAAUAUGUACUAACAAGGUACAAUAUUGCAUUAUCUAUAAAUUCUUAAUGGAAAAAAAAAAAAAUUACCAGAAAAUUUAGUCAGAACUUAAUCAGAAUGAUAUUUUAUCUAUAUUAUUUUAUCUUUUUAAAUAUUUUUACCCUUUUAACUUUAAUACCUUUUAAUUAAAAAAUGGUAAAAAGAUCAAAAAAAAAAAAUUAAAAAAAAUUAUAGUUUUUUUAAAAUUAUGAUCAUUUAGCACUUUCCAUUCUUAAUUAUAGAACCAACGAGUUGUUUGGUGUAAAGUAUAAGAUAUAAUAAUUUUAGGAUAAAUGUAGGAUUAUUGUAUUACACAUUUGGCUAGAGGUAUUAGGUAGUCAUUGUACUCUCUUCGUCCACUUUUAAUUGUCACUAACAUUUUACGAUGUAAUUAUUCAUUAUAUUGAUAUGCGAAAAAUUGCAAUUUAAAGUACUUUUCGUAUAGUUUUGAAUAUCUAAUUUUUUUGUUUAAAAUAUCAAAUUAAUAUAAACUAAUUUAAGGGAAAAGGCAUAAAUUCACCCCCGAACUUGUUUCGAAAAGUCAGUUACACGCUUAAACUAAUAAAUGACCUAUUACACACCUCUGCUACACCUUUACUCUUUAGUCAAAUUGGCUUUCGUAAAACGCAAUAUGACAAUUAAAAGUGGACGGAUAAAGUAUUAUUUAUUACACCGUUUAUCAUGCGAUAAGUUAUCAUAUACAUGAUGGGAUAACUCAUUCUAAAAUAAUUAAGGGACAAAGUGUUUGAUCUAUUAAAUGAAUUAAGUAUGCUUGCAUUACUUAUGUAGCAUGCAUUACAUAAAAAAAAAAAAAUUAUAAAGAUACCCUCCAUUAUUAUGAUGGAAAAAAUGGGGGGAAAAAUUGAGGGGCAAUUGGGUUUUGCAUUAAAUCAUUGUAUUGUUAAUACCUACAAAUACUUGAUAUUAGUAAUACACAUCUUAAUACAUAAAGGGUAUGUUAAAUUGGAAAAAAAAAUCCUUCUGUCCAACAACAAUAGUUAUCCGCUAUUGACUUGGCACACUCCUUAAGAAAUAAUAAAUAAUAGGGGUAAUAUUACUAUAUUAUCCUUUGACGUUAUUAAAUUGAAUGCUUUGAAAACUGUGUUCGAUGAUAAAUAAUAUUUAAUAGCAAGGGUAAAAUAGACACAAAAGAUAGAUUAUCUAUUGAUUGUCUAAAUUAGGGGUGAGCAUUCGGUUUUUCGAUUUGGGUUUUUCGGUUUUUGGUUUUUAAGAAGUGUAACCCAAUCCGAACCAAAAUAAAUUUGAUUUGAUUUGAAUUUUUUCAAUUCGGUUAAUCGGUUAUGUCAAUAAUUAGAAACAUAACAAAGUUAUUAUAUAUAUAUAUAUAUAUAUAUAUAUAUAUAAAUUUCUGAAAUAUACUCGUCUACCUCCUGAUAUGUUCAAUAGUGAUUAGGUGGAUUUACAACAAUACUUGUUUUCUUUAAUACUAGACCUAAAAGAGUUAUAACGUAUGUUAUUCUCUUUUAUAAGCUUGACAUUAAGUAGAAAUAUAUUUUCAACUCUAGCUUGUUCUUUGUAUCUCAUCUUUUGUGUUAAAUUUAGCUCUUAUAUGUUAUAUAGCACUAAAGUGAGGUGUGAAAUAAACAUCAUUUUGCCUGACAUAUAGUUAUUUUCUUAUAAUAUUAGGUAGCACUACUAAUGUCAUUUUGACGCGAAUAAUAAUCACUUGAUCAUAAUACUUUAGAGUUUGAGUAUAACUUUUUCAUUGGUUGACAUAUUACUUUUAGAAACUUAUAAAUUAUAGUUUUAAUACAAUUAUAAAAGGUAUUUGAUACUAAUUAAGUAAUACACCAAAAAUAAACUUACACUCUUGUGCUCUAAGCUUUUCAUAUUUGCGUUGUCUUUACUUUAACAAUGACUUACUUCACCAUUUUCGAAUCUAAAGCUAAUAACACUCAAACAUCACUGAAUCUAGUGAAAACGAAUAUCAUUUGGGAUCCAUUAGUCCAUACAACUUUCUUUUCAUUAUCUUUAUUUCAUUUUUUGCUUACGUACAAAAACAUAUUUAAUUGCUAAUAAAUAAUAAUUAAACCUAACGAGUAAAAUCAAUACCAUCAGAACACAUUUCCUUAACCUUAUACAAAUUCAAUCGUAUCAUUUUUUUGGAAACUAUUUAAUUUUUUUUUUGGAAAAAGAAUCAUAUUCUUUUAAUAUAAAUUGAAAGUAAAAAUAUGUGUAUAUCUCUGCAACUUUAAUAUUAAAUGUUGAAGCCCGAUUUGCGGGCGAAUUCCAUAGACUAGAGAUUUUAAAUAGAUAAGUUCCAAUUUAUUUUUGGUUGUGAGUAAAUUCUCUGAAUAUCAAUUAAAUUGGGGAAAUGGGCCCACUUAUCCACGUGACAUGGCCCAAGAGGAGAGACAGAGGGAAGUAAAGCCCCAUAAUCACACUGUUUUGGACUCCACAUCUCUAACUGCAUCUGCAUCUACUUCUAAUGGAAAAGGUUUCAAGUCAAAUUACAGUUCUUAUAGAGGCGGGGGGGGGGGGGGGGGGGGGGCGA
rnacentral:lncRNA from 1 species